rnacentral:lncRNA from 1 species
UUGAGUGCUUGUAAAUUAGGGUUUGGAGUGUCUGCUAGGGUUUCCUAGAUGCCAGAAGAUUGGGAGUGAAUUUGCGGUUGGUUUUUUUUGUGGUACAAUUUAAGGGUAAAUUCUACCUAUCUUGUAAAGUUAAAACAAACAAAACGGUUAGAUCAAUAGUUAUGAUUUUCUAAAUUUCCGAGCGAGAAAACCCUUCGCGGGAAAAAAAUGUUUUGAAGGGAUUUUGUUAUAUUUGGAGUUUUAUACAGAAAUAAAGGAGUUUUGGAAGCCAAGAAAAGAAUCAUAUAAAGGUUUAAGGUACACUCUCUAUAGCUAGAUACCCAGUGUAUUCCCAGAUAGCAAAUCACACCAUACGAGACCGUAGUGACCCAUUCUUCUUAGGUACCAUAAACCAUCGACUAGAAUACGGCGCAAAUGAGGGUUCCAAUAUUUUCAUCUUUAUCUUUUCUUUUAAUAGUUCUACCAAUUUAGGUAUAGUACCCUCGGUACUGGAAUCGGUCUUAGAUUCCAAGGUACAUGCGGUACAGUGAAGAUAACCAUAGGUAUAAUAAUAUUUGGAUCCAGACACCCAAUUUCAUAAAAUUCAAAGGCAAACGAUCUACCUUGUUUAGCCGACAUCUUUUUGAAGCAAGUAAUUUCCUCCGGCAAUAAAGAACCAUCAGAACCAAUCUUCAAUUCUUCAAAAGUCUCUUUAGUAAACUGAUUUCCAAUACUCAUUGGAUCUCUUAAAGUUACUUCUUUUGAUAUUUGUUCCUUAGAAUAUUCUGAUAAUGGUCUGGCAACAGGCUUUACCUUCUUAUCUGCUGUUUUAUAUCUCGUCUCUACUGUGACUUCUAGUGCUUGAAAAGAUUCAAGCAUGGUAUAAACCUCUCUUGAAUGAAUCUCAAUAAUCUUAUCAUUAUCUCCUAACCCAAUAGAUGUAAUCAAUUCCAAUGAAUCUUCUAGUCCAUUUUCUUCAUAAACACCCAAAAUCCUCUCAUCAUCUUACAAUGUACCUAACUUGCGUAAUUCUCUUUCAAUAUUAUAUAAUCUUUUUCUUUCUUUUCUUUUAAAAUCAUCAACUUUCUUAUACAUAAUAUUUCCAUUCUCCAAUAUACCAAUAAAACUCGCAUCAAAGGCACCUUCAUCUUGCGAGAGUACCUCCUCUUUUGUACCUCCAUAAUCUCGCUUUACAGUGGUACCUCCCCAAAAUCCUUAAAUCCUUCAACAAUCUUUGGCAAUGGUUUCUCCUUCAACCUAUCUCGAUUCCGUUCAUGGUUAGGAGGUGUUGUUAGAAAUUGUACAGCUUUCCUCCCAUCUUCGCUCCGUACCCUUGCAUAAGCAGAACCAUCGUCAAGAACUUUUGUUUCCAUCCGUGUUGCCAUGAUAUAAGGUUGUUCUAAAAUCAACGGAUAAGACGUUGUAUCUUGAACAAAGAAAUGUUGCUCCGUCGCAACAUCUCCAAUCCAAAUUUUGACAUCUUGACAAGCUCCAUAUAAUUCGCCCCGUGUGUGAUUAGCUGCUCGUAUUGCUUAUCCAUGUUCCAUAUCAAUUGGCCAUUUUUGCUUCUUAUAAAGAUCUUUAGACAUGAGAUUUAUUUCACAACCAUGGUCCACCAAAGCAACUAUUGGUUCUUCUAUAUCUCCUACCUUCACCAAUACCUCAAUAGUUGCCCUUGCCCAAUGCUUUCGAGUAUAAUGGCUCAAAGUUUCUAUUUUCUUAUCACUAGAAUUUUUGAAACGUACUCGCUAAUUAUACCCAUUCUUUUCAUUUGUUGGUUGCUUGUAACCAAUAUCAACCUCUUCUUCAUCUCUACAUAUUCUUGGAUCAAUAGCAUGACUCAUUCCAGUUUCGCCCAUUAAUUGCCUCUUUCGCUUAAUGCUGUCAAUGAUAACAUCAUGAAACUCCUUCUUUACAAUUCCCAAGACUUCUUUCAAUGUGAAUUCCACCUUAGCGUUUAAUAUACGUUCUUCCAACACCCCUUUCAAAUUUGUUGCCGCUUCAAUGUCAGAAAGUAGCUUAUAAGCAAUUGAUUUGCCCUUAUCUUUUGUCUCCAUUGUUUUUUCUCCCAAUAAUGAUGAGGUAUCCUUUAUAGGCAAUUCUUGUGAAGCUGCCUCCCGAGCCUUGUCUCCUCGAGUUUGCCUCUUAGAAAAAUUUCCUUCUCUCGUAUCAUCAAAAUUUCCUCGUCUCUUUUCUUCCAUCAAAGCUUCAUGUUGUCUCUUAGCAAUAUAUGCAUGAACUGAAAGAGACUCAACACGAUCCUUCCAACCUAUUGCACCUCGUAUUGUAGUUGCAGUCCUCAAUAACGCUUCUUGAGGUAAUUUCCCUUCUUGCAUUGUAGAAAUGGCAGAAGCCCAAAACUCACUAGUUUCCGUACUUCCACCAAGGUCAUCAUCUACUCUAGCACCAUAACUUGCACUUUCUCGUGCUGCUGUUUCAUGCUCUUUUAGGUAAUCUUGAACCAAUGCUCUCAUUCCUUUCUUGCCAAAAUUGGUUUGAAGAAGAUCCUCCCUAUCUUUUAAUGCUAUCUUCCCAUCUUUCCAGCAAAUAAUUCCUUGCCGUAUCAUAUUAUUAAAUUCAUUGCAAUCUUUUCUAGUGUGUGAAGCAUCAUUACACCAAAUGCAUCUUUGUACAUAUCCUUGUUUUGAAACAUUCUUCGAAUUGUUUGUAGAAGUAUUCUCUUCAAGUCUUGCUAAUUUGAUUUGAAGAUCUCUCAUUCUUCGUAUAAUUUCUUCCAUCCCCAUAUCUGCUUUCUUUGAUAAGGAUGUCGAAGGUUGAAUUGUAGGCAUUGUUGGUGGUGUUGUACGUACUGGAGCUUUGGGUGCUUGUACUGUUUUUGGAAUAUUACUCCUAUCCUUCCUCCUUUCUCUUUUUAUAAGUAACCCCAUUGCAUCUUCAAUAUUCUUCUACUUUGUUGUCAAUCCUUCAUCUUCUUCUUUGUCUUCAAGAAGGACUUCUAAUUCCCUUACAAUUGUCACGGACACAAAAUACAGACUUGAAAUCUAACAAGAAGUUCAAGAAGAAGUGGCAGAAUUAGAUUAAACAGAUGAGUACAAGAACAACACCAGAAAGGUGAGCUAGAACUCCAAGAGAUGUGUUGUCGAGACUGAAAAACUCUUCAGCCUUGAUCCCUAUAUAUACUCCUACUUAGGAAGCUUCUCGAGCUACUUCUAUUAACUAGGAAGCUUCUAGAAGGUUCUAGAGGCUUCCUUUCUAGAAGGUUCUAGAAACUUCUUGAGCUACUUCUAUUAACUAGGAAGCUUCUAAAAAGUUCCAGAGGAUUCUUUUCUAGAAGAUUCUAGAGACUUCUUUUCUAGAAGCUUCUAGAAACUUCUUUCUAAAAGGUUCCAGAGGCUUCUCUUCUAGAAGGUUCCAGAGGCUUGUUUUCUAGAAGGUUCUAGAAACUUCUCUCUAGAAAGUUCUAAGGAAUAUGUCCCUAACAUCAUCCCCUCCUUUAGCUUCGAGGUCUCUGAGAAGCAAUGUUGUUGAUCAGUACUAACGCAAGAAAAUGAAGAUCUGUCGCAUAACUUCUGCUAUGAACUCCAACUGUUGUUCACGAGGUAAGUGGUUCAUCGACCCUUGAAGCCAAUGGUAGUGGCCCACGCCUUCGACUUUUGACCAAGCAUGAACUUUCGUGUCCUCAUUGUGAAAUUGUCUUGCAAACACGCCUUCUGGUUGACCAUCAUAAGCAGGCUCGAUCUCAAAUACGAUCACCAGUGAUCGGUUACUCGGUAUCCUCCGUCGUCGUCGUGGUACAUGUAGUUCUUCAUCUCGGGGUCGCCUUCAUGAGCUACUCGGUUGCGAUACUCUGACUGGCAUAGUAUCUAUCUCUCAGCUAUCCAUAUCAAAAGACCAAACUACGAUCUAUCUUGGAGAAAAUAACUACAUCAACUAUGAAUUUUGCUGGUGCUCUCCCCUUUUCUUAUAUUGUUGGGAGAACAAGCUUCAGAAAGAAGCUAUCAUCGAAUUGAUUUAGGUUUAUCGGGAUGUCGUUGAUGAAACUCCUGUACCUUUUGUGGCGCAUUCGCAAGAUUUUCAGCUGGCUCCCACGUUCGCUCAUUAAUUUCAUAGCUGCACCAAUGAACAAGAUAUUCUAACUUUUCCUACCUUCGCCGUGAAUCCAAUACCUUUUCAACCUCGUAUUCUUCGUGGUUCUCGAUUUCAAUACUAGGUGGCGGACAUUGCACUCUUCCAAGAAAAGAUGACUCUCGAUAAGGUUCCAACAGAGAAACAUGAAAGACUAGAUGUACCUUCAUAGAAGCCGGUAACUCCAGCGGGUAUGCCACUGGAUUAAUUUGCUUCUGGAUGAUAAAUGGUCCCAAUCUUCGAUAGUCCAACUUAUCACAUGGUCGCUUGGUCUUGAUAUUUUGUCGAAGAAGCCAGGCUUUGUCUCCAACUUUGAAAGUAGGUGCUGGAUUCCGAAAUCUAUCUGCAGACGUCUUACAGGAUUCUUGAGCGGAUUGUAAUUGAAGCUUCAACAUAGUUUGACGCUCUGAUAGUUGCUUCGCAAAUCCUUCAGCUGCUGGAUUGUUAUUUGUUGACGGACUCAAUAAAUUAAGCUUCGGAUGAUACCCAUAGUUAGAAAAGAAUGGUGUUUGUUGAGUCGACGCAUGGAAGGUGUUGUUAUAUGCAAACUCGGCUAGCGGUAGAUAUGCAGUCCAAUCGUCUUGCUCAUAGUUGAUGUUGCAUCGUAAGUACUACUCCAAGACUUGGUUCACCCGUUCCGUUUGGCCAUCAAUUUGAAGAUAAAAAGCUGAAGAAAGCUUGAUAUCCACCUUCAAUAUCCCAAAGAAAGAUCUCCAAAACUUUGACACGAACUGGGUACCUCGAUCUGAUAUGAUAUCAUCUGGUAGUCCGUGAUAUCGAUACACAUUAUCGAGAAAGAGUCUUGCUGUGACUUCACUGGACGAUGUCUUCUUACAAGGAACAAAGUGUGCCAUCUUCGUAAGCCGAUCUACCACGACAAAGAUGCUGUCAAAUGAGUUUGAUGAUGGCAAGUCCAUGAUGAAGUCCAUAGAAAUUGAAGACCAUGGUCGACGUGGAAUUGGCAAUGGCUAUAGAAGUCCAUAAGGGCGAUGUCGAGGAUUCUUAGAUCAUGAACAGAUGUCACAAGAGAGGACAAAAUCUUUCACAUCCUUCCACAUUUGGGGCCACCAAAAAUCUUGGGAAAUAAGCUCCAAGGUCUUAUUGAAUCCAAAAUGUCCCGCAGCUAGAAAAUCAUGGCGAGAUUGAAGAACUCGGAGUCGUGCUAGUCCUUUUGGAAUGUACAAUCGCUCUUCAAAGUAUAAAAGAUCUCCCUCCACCUUAAACUUGUCGUCAUUGGUACGUUGCUUGAUAUCAAUGGCUACUGAAUCUUUAAUGGUCAUAGCACGUACCUGGUUUAGGAAGUCAGCAUCAAAUGAUACAAUAGUAGCACAAAGUUGAAAUCUCUCUGGCUUCAAUAACGUUGUACAUUGUUGAUCAAACGCUGCUUCUCUAGCCUUUAGUGCAAGAUGCGAUCUCCUUGAUAAAGCAUCGGAUAGUCCUUGCUACCUUCCAGGUCGAUAAGUGAUAACAAAAUCGAAUCUAGAUAGCGACAUAUUCCAUCGAGCUUGACGCCGAUUUAAAACUUGAGCCGUCAUGAAAUAAUCCAAAUUCUUGUGAUCCGUAUAUACGGUUACUGGAUGUGCAGCUCCUUCAAGAAAGUGACACCAUUCUUCGAAAGAAUCCACUAUAGCAAGAAGUUCCUUAUCGUGGAUCUCAUAAUUGAUUUCAACAGCAGAGAACUUCCGAGAAUAGAAUGCAACUGGAUGGAACUUUUUAUCUUCACUCAUUUGUGAAAGCACAGCUCCCAAAGCAAAAUCUGAAGCAUCAGUUUCUAAAUAGAAGGCCUUUGUAAAGUCUGGAUGUACCAAAAUUGGAGCUGUAGUAAAUGCUAUCUUCAAAUCUUGAAACGCCUUCUCCGCCAAAGGUCCCCAUUCCAACUUAUCUUUGCAUGUUAAUCGAGUGAGAGGAGGAGCAACUUGACAAUAAUUCUUGAUGAAGAUCCGAUAGAAGUUAGCAAAACCAAGAAAGCAUUGUACGUCUCUAACCGUCUUCAGAACCUCCCAAGACAUGAUUGCUUCUACUUUCUUGGGGUCCAUCUUCAAACCUUCUAUAGUCGCAAUGAACCCCAAAAAUUCCAUCUCCGUCUGGUGAAAUAAACACUUUUCUAAUUUGGCAUAUAGUCCUCGCUUGCGUAGUUUCUUCAAGACCAAACGAACAUGCUCUUCAUGCUCUUCCUCGUUUUUAGAGAAUAUUAGAAUAUCGUCCAAGUAGAUGACAACAAAAUCAUCGAGGUGUUCUCGAAAGAUGUCAUUCAUCAUAUGUUGGAAAACCGUUGGAGCAUUGGUAAGACCAAAAGGCAUGACAUUAUAUUCGAAAUGACCAUACCUUGUAUGGAAUGCUGUCUUCCACUCAUCUCCUUCCUUGAUUCAUACGAGAUUAUAAGCUCCCCUUAGAUCAAUUUUUGUAAAGAUCUUCGCACGUCGAAGUUGUUCUAAGAGACUAGAAAUCAAGGGUAAUGGGUAACGAUUUUUCUUUGUUACCUUGUUGAGGCCUCGAUAGUCCACACACAUCCGUAAUGAUCCAUCUUUCUUCUUCACAAAUAAGAUGGGUGCUCCAGCUGAUGAUUUUGAAUGACGAAUGAAGUUCUUGGCUAGAUUCUCGUCGAUGUACUUUCGUAACUCUACCAACUCCGUUUGCGAUAGAUUGUAGAUUGGGCCAAAAGGUGGUUGUGCUCCUUCUUGCAAGUCUAUAGCACAAUCAUAUGGUCGGUGUUCCGGUAGUAUGUCGGCGUUUUUCUUUUGAAACACGUCUUCAAAAUCUUUAUAUUGCUCCGGUAUACUUGCUGUUGAGAUCUUCUCCUCGGUAGUUGGAGCCGCAUAAAUGACAAAUGGAGUGCCUUCCUUAGAUGAUCUUAUAAACGCUCUUGCUCCAAUGAAUAAGGAUUUCUUUUUUCGAGGUUUUUUACUAGGUUUUUUCAUGGGUGGUUUUGUAGGAAAAGUCAUCUUCCGUAACCUCCAAUCUAUCAAUGGAUUAUGUUUUUCCAACCAAGAAAGACCAAGAAUAAUAGGAUUUGAUGGGGUUCUAAUAAUAUUAAAAAUAAUAUGACUACUAUGGUCUUUAAACGUUACUUCUAUAGGUUUUGAUUCAUGGGUGAUGCUACCAGACAAUAAAGGUCGCCCAUCUAUGACCUCAACAUGAACAAGUUUUGAUUUUUGUACUAAAGGGAUCUUAUGACGCUCUGCAAAUUCUUCGUCUAAAAAACAAGCAGAUGCUCCUGAGUCUAGUAGUGCUAAGGUUCUCAAUUUUUGAGGGCCGAUAAACACAGGGAUUGUAAAACAAAGUGCAGGUUGGGCAGAAAGAAAGGAACCUGAUUGUUGUUGGGAUAUUUCAUUGUCCAGCCGCACGGUUCCUACUGUGGUUGGGCAUCCUCGUUUUCCUGAACAAAUACUCUCCUAGUCUUGACUAUGCCUCGAUUUUGCUUUUUGGGGCAGUUUCCAACUUUGUGGCCUUCUCCACUACAAUACAAGCAUAAAUUUUCCUCCAUACGUCGCUUUUUUUCUUCUAAAGUAAGAGAUUUGAUACGUACCGCAUCAAUUUGCAUGUCUUCCACCUCUGAAUGCGAAUUCACACUGCUUGCCGACAUAGUUGGAGCAUGGCGAAUUGUAUGUUGUCUUGAGCGUUGGUCUUGGCGACAUUGGAAUAGGCGAUUAUUGCACUUCAUAGCUUGGCUAAUGGCUUCAUUGAGCGUUCGUGGAUCAGGAAGAGUUAACAGCAAAUCCUUCACAUCAUCUCUUAAACCCCAAUAGAAUUGACUCAUCAAUGCUUCUUCAUCCCAAUUGAUGUCGCAUACUAAUUGCCUGAAAUCCGAAGCAUAGACUGAUGUAGAACGCAUCCCCUGUCGUAGCGACCGGAUCUUUGUUGUAGCCCAUCGAACCUUAUCGUGUUCACCAAAUGCUUUCGCAAAUGCUUCCAAAAAGGUUUCGAAGUUGUUUAAUAUGGAUGAUCGUUUCUCAAACAAAGGAGCAAACCAUGAUAGAGCUUGUCCCGUAAGUAAGGUUCCAACAAGCCCAACACGUGACUCCUCCAUUGGGUAUCGUUCGAGCUGUAAAACUGUUAUCAACCUGAUUUGAUUGACGAAUCCUCGAAACUUGGAACGUGUUCCAUCAAACUUAUCUGGAAGGCUAACUCGAGGCUCCUUAUGUUGUAGAACUAGUGGUUCUUGUCGAACCUGAGGUAAAGUUGUUUCUCCAAGUGCCGAAAUUUGAGGCUGGUGUAGUUUAGAUUGUGCUAUCCCAGAUACUCCAUCAUUAUGAAGCCUUGCCACCACUCCUUCAAUCUCUGCAAUUCUUUGUGAUAAUGUAGCGAGGGCAUUCAUAAUAGCAUCUAACUUAGACUCCGAACUUUCUGUCAUACUAAUGUCUUGACCUCCGGCCAUUCUAAAAAAAAGGACAAAAAUGACCCUAUAAGAGGCAAUAUUGGUUUAUAGGAGGGUAAUCGACAACCUAUAAAAUGCCUUAAGAAUUUCAAGAAGAGGGGUAAUCCACUCUUUCCAAGAAGAAUAAGACUCCAAUAUUGUAACAGAAGAAGUAUCAGUUUAAAAGAGGGUAAUCCGCAACCUCUAAAAAAUGCUAGUAUACCUUCAAGUAGAGGGAUAAUCUACACUCUACUAAGAAAGAACUAGCUCUGAUAUCUCAAGUUAGUGUAGUCUCAACAAACUGUCACGGACACAAAAUACAGACUUGAAAUCUAACAAGAAGUUCAAGAAGAAGUGGCAGAAUUAGAUUAAACAGAUGAGUACAAGAACAACACCAGAAAGGUGAGCUAGAACUCCAAGAGAUGUGUUGUCGAGACUGAAAAACUCUUCAGCCUCGAUCCCUAUAUAUACUCCUACUUAGGAAGCUUCUCGAGCUACUUCUAUUAACUAGAAAGCUUCUAGAAGGUUCUAGAGGCUUCCUUUCUAGAAGGUUCUAGAAACUUCUUGAGCUACUUCUAUUAACUAGGAAGCUUCUAAAAAGUUCCAGAGGAUUCCUUUCUAGAAGCUUCUAGAAACUUCUCUUCUAGAAGAUUCCAGAGACUUCUUUUCUAGAAGCUUCUAGAAACUUCUCUCUAAAAGGUUCCAGAGGCCUCUCUUCUAGAAGGUUCUAGAAACUUCUCUCUAGAAAGUUCUAAGGAAUAUGUUCCUAACAGCAAUUCUCCAUCAGCAGCUUGAAGAAAUAGAUCAACUUUAUUCGGCUCCAAUGUUAAUUUUUCUUCCUUCGAUAAUUGAGAGUAAAUGUCACGGAACAAAAAUACAAACAAGAAAUCUAAACAAGAAGUAAUGACAAGAACUAGAUUAUCAGAUGAGUACAAGAGCAACGCCAAGAAAAUUGAGCUAGAGCAUCAAGAGAUGUGUUGUCGAGACUGAAGAAUUCUUCAACCUCGACUCCUAUAUAUACUACUGGCCUAUGGUUCUAAUGAAGCGCAUCAAGAAGCUUCCCAAGAACUAUGAAGCUUCUCGAGCAACUACCCAAGAGCUAAGAAGCUUCUCAAGUAACUUCCUAGAAUCUACUAGAAUAUUCUAAGAAUCUUCUAAAGCCUUCUAAGGGAAUCUUUAAAGAAUCUUUAAAGAAUCUUUAGGGAAUCUUUAAAGAUAUUCUAAGAGAAUAUUCAAGGAAUCUUCUGGAAGUUUCUAGAGACUUCUUUCUAGAAGGUUCUAGAAACUUGUCUCUAGAAAGGUCUAAGGACUAUGUCCCUAACAUCACCUCCUCCUUUAGCUUCGAGGUCUCCGAGAAGCAAUGUUAUCGUCAGUCAAUACCAACGCAAGAAAAUGAAGAUCUGUCGCAUAACCUCUGCUAUGAACUCCAAUUGUUGUUCACGAGGCAAGUGAUUCAAUGGUCCUUGAAGCCAACGGUAGUGGCCCACGCCUUCAACUUCUGACCAAGCAUGAACCUCCGUGUCUUCAUUGUGAAAUUAUCCUACAAACACUCCUUCUGGCUGACCAUUGUAAGUAGGCUCGACCUCAAAUACAAUCACCAGCGAUCUGUUGCUUGAAAUCCUUCGACGUCGUCGUGGUGCAAGCGGUUCUUCAUCUCGCAAUCGUCUUCGUGAGCUAGUUGCUUGAGAUGACAUGACAAGUGUAGUAUCUUGGCUAUCCAUAUUCAAAGGCUAAAACAAUAAGAACAAACUUGGGCUACUAACAAAGUUCUACGCUAUCUUGGAGAGAAUGACUACAUCAACUAUGGAUUUUGGUGGUGCUCUCUCCUCUUUUCUGUUUUUUGGAUGAGCAAGCUUCACUAAGAAGCUAUCGUCGAACCGGCUUGGAUUUCUCAGGAUAUCGUCGAUGAAACUCCUGUACCUUUUGCGGCACAUUCGCGAGAUUUUCGGCCGGCUCCCAUGUUCGUUCAUUAAUAUCGUAACCGCUCCAAUGCACAAAGUAUUCUAAUUUACCCCGUCUUUGCCGUGAAUCCAGGACCUUUUCCACCUCGUAUUCUUCGUGGUUCUCUAUUUCUAUGCUAGGUGGUGGACAUUGUACUCUUCCAAGAAAAGACAAUUCUCGAUAAGGCUCCAACAAAGAAACAUGAAAGACAGGAUGUACCUUCAUAGUAGCUGGUAACUCCAGACGAUACGCUACAGGAUUGAUCGGCUUCUGGAUAACAAAUGGUCCCAAUCUCCGAUAGUCCAAUUUGUCACAUCGCCGCUUGGUCUUAAUAUUUCGUCGAAGAAGCCAAACUUUGUCUCCAAUCGUGAAUUUAGGUGCCUGAUUCCGAAAUUUGUCCGUGGACGCCUUGUAAGAUUCUUGGGCAGUUUGCAAUUGAAGCUUCAAUGUAGUUUGAAGCUGCGAAAGCUCCUUCACCAAUCCUUCAGCUGUCGGAUUGUUAAUCGUUGACAAACUCCAUAAGUCAAGCUUCAGAUGGUAUCCAUAAUUGGAAAAGAAUGGCAUUUGUUGAGUUGACACAUGAAGGGUGUUAUUAUAUGCGAACUCGACUAGCAGUAGAUAUGCGACCCAAUCAUCUUGUUGAUAGUUGAUGGUGCAACGUAAAUAUUGCUCUAAAACUUGAUUCACCCGUUCUGUUUGACCGUCCGUUUGAGGAUGAAAUGCCGAAGAAAGCUUGAUAUCCACCUUCAAUAUUUUAAAAAGAGAUUUCCAAAACUUUGACACAAACUGGGUUCCUCGAUCCGAUACGAUAUCAUCUGGUAGACCAUGAUAUCGAUACACAUUAUCAAGAAAGAGUCUUGUUGUGUCUUCGCUUGAUGAUGUCUUCUUGCAAGGGACAAAAUACGCCAUCUUUGUAAGCCGAUCUACGACAACAAAAAUGCUGUCAAAUGAAUUCGAUGGUGGUAGAUCCGUAAUAAAGUCCAUGGAAACUGAAGACCAUGGUCGGCGCGGAAUAGGCAAUGGCUGUAGAAGUCCAUAAGGCCGAUGUCGAGGAUUUUUGGAUCUUGAACAAAUGUCACAAGAUACAAGAAAAUCUUUCACAUCAUUCCACAUUUGAGGCCACCAAAAAUCGCAGGAAAUAAGUUCCAAGGUCUUAUUGAAUCCAAAAUGUCCCGCAGCUGGAAAGUCAUGACGAGAUUGAAGAACUCGGAGUCGUGUUGGCCCUUUUGGGAUAUACAACCGCUCUUCGAAAUAUACUAGAUCUCCUUCCAUCUUGAAUUUAUCAUCACUAGCAUGUUGCUUGAUAUCAAGGGCUAGAGAAUCUUCAAUGGUUGCGGCCCGUACCUGGUCGAGGAAGUCAGCAUCAAUUGGUACAAUAGCUGCGUUGAGCCGAAAUUUCUGUGGCUUCAACAAUGUCGUGCACUGUUGAUCAAAUGCUGCAUCUCCAGCCUUUGGCGCGAGAUAUGAUCUCCUUGAUAAUGCAUCGGACAACCCUUGUUGCUUCCCAGGCCGAUAAGUAAUAACAAAGUCGAACUUGGAUAGCGACAUAUUCUACCGAGCUUGAUGCCGAUUCAAAACCCGAGCCGACAUAAAAUACUCCAAAUUCUUGUGAUCCGUAUAUACGGUCACUGGAUGUGCAGUUCCUUCGAGAAAGUGACGCCACUCUUGGAAAGAAUCUACUAUAGCAAGGAGUUCUUUAUCGUGGAUCUCAUAGUUGAUCUCAGCAAUAGAGAAUUUUCGAGAAUAGAACGCAACAGGAUAGAGCUUCUCAUCUACGCCCAUCUAUGAAAGUACAGCUCCCAAAGCAAAAUCCGAAGCAUCUGUCUCCAAAUAAAAGGCCUUUAUAAAGUCCGGAUGUACCAAGAUAGGAGCUGUAGUAAAUACCAUCUUCAAAUCUUGAAAUGUUUUUUUUACGAUAGGUUUCUAUUCGAGCUUGUCCUUACACAUUAACCGAGUGAUGGGGGCAGCAACUUGAGAAUAAUUCUUGAUGAAGAUCCGAUAGUAAUUAGCAAAUCCAAGAAAACAUUGUACGUCCCUAACCGUCUUCGGAACUUCCCAAGACAUGAUUGCUUCCACCUUCUUUGGAUCCAUCUUCAAGCCUUCCGUAGUCGCGAUGAAUCCCAAAAACUCCAUCUCAGUUUGGUGAAAUAAGCACUUCUCCAAUUUGGCAUAGAGUCCUCGCUCCCAUAGUUUUCUGAGUACUAGACGAACGUGCUUCUCAUGUUCUUCCUCGUUCUUAGAAAAUAUCAAAAUAUCAUCUAGAUAGAUGACAACAAAAUCGUCUAGAUGCUCUCGAAAGAUGUCAUUCAUCAUGUGUUGAAAGACCGCUGGAGCAUUAGUAAGACCAAAUGGCAUGACAUUGUAUUCAAAAUGGCCAUACCUUGUUCGGAACGCUGUCUUCCAUUCAUCUCCUUUCUUAAUUCGCACAAGGUUGUAAGCUCCCCUUAGGUCAAUCUUUGUAAAGAUCCUUGCACGCCCAAGUUGUUCUAGAAGACCAGAGAUCAAAGGCAGUGGGUAGUGAUUCUUUUUUGUCACCUUGUUGAGACCUCGAUAGUCCACGCACAUCCGUAGUAAGCCAUCCUUUUUCUUCACAAAUAAGAUUGGUGCCCCAGCUGGCAACUUCGAAUGACGGAUGAAGUUCUUGGCUAGAUUCUCGUCAAUGUACUUCCGCAACUCAGUCAACUCCAUCUGCGACAAAUUGUAGAUUGGUCCAAAAAGUGGUUGUGCUCCUUCUUGCAAUUCAAUGGCACAGUCAUAGGGUCGAUGCUCUGGCAGCAUAUCAGCAUUCUUCUUUUCAAAGACAUCUUUGAAUUCUUCAUACUGCUUUGGAAUAACCAAAGUCGGAGUUGCAUCUUCUCGAGUCGGAGUUGCGAAGAUGACAAGAGGUGUAUUUUGCUUGGCUUCCUUCAUGAAAGCCCUUGCACCUAUAAACAAGAAUUUGUUUCUAGACAUUGUCUUGGCAGAUUCCACCUUCAAGGAGUUUGUUGGAAAUGUCACUUUUCGCAACUUCCAAUCUAUCAAUGGAUUAUAUCUAUCAAGCCAAGAUAGUCCCAAAAUGAUAGGACAUGAAGGGGUCUUGAUAACAUUAAACACAAUAUUGCUCUCAUGGUUUUCAAGACGUACCUUCAAUGGUUUAGUUUCAUGGAUAACAUUGCCCGAAGACAAUGGUCGUCCGUCUAUGACUUCUACAUGGACAGGCUUAAGUUUCUUUACAAGAGAAAUAUUGUGAAGCUUGGCAAACUCUUCAUCUAUAAAGCAAGCGGAUGCACCCGAGUCUAAUAAAGCAUCGACUUGUAGUUCUUGAAUACCCAGAUGUAAAGGUACCAUAAAACAAUCUGAAGGUUGAGCUGAGAGAAAGGGACCUUGAUUAAUUUUGGAUGUUGAGAUGUCCAGCCGCACGGUCCCUAUUGUGGCUGGGCGUCCUUGUUUUCCUGCAUGCUUGUAGUCUUGAGUCUUGUUGUUUGAGGCUUCUGUUUCUUCCGACAAUCUACAGCUUUAUGGCCCGCUUCUCCGCAAUAUAAACACAAGUUUUGUUCAAACCGUCGCUUCUUUUCCUCAGCUGUGAGGGAUUUGAAACGUACUGCAUCAAUUUGCAUGGGUUCAGGAUCUGUGGAGUGAUUCUCUGGAUCUUUUGAAAAUGUAGCAAAUGCUCCAUCAUUUCUCCAGCCUGAUCGUCUUUCUUGUCGUAAUUCAAAGAGGCGGUUGUCACAAAUAAUUGCCUGAGAUAUAAGUUCUUCUAAAGUAUCCGCCUUAGGCAUGGUGAUCAAUAAGUUCUUGACAUCAUCUCUCAGUCCAUAUCGAAAUCGUGUCAUGAACGCCUUAUCAUUCCAAUCAAGAUCACAUGUAAGCUGUUGAAAUUCUGCAGCAUAAAUUGAAGCAGAAUGUGAUCCUUGUCGCAGAUUUUGUAUCUUUCUUUCAGCCACUCUUUCUCGAUCGCUAUCUCCAAACGCAGCAGUAAGUCUCUCUAUGAAAGCCUCUAGGUUGUACAAUAUUGGAGAAUCCUUCUCCAAUAGUGGAUCAAACCAAGAGCGAGCAUUUCCUGAUAGAAGAGUACCUAUGAAAGCAACUUGGCUAAAUCCAUUCGGAUAAUGAGAAGGAUAUAGGCGUAGGUAAAGCCGUACUUGUUGCACAAAACCUCGGAAGUUGGCUCUUGUUCCGUCAAACUUGUCUGGCAUACUCGCUUUUGGUUCUUUCGUACUAAUCCUUGAAGUAUCCAUAGGGGUCGUAUGUGACACAUGUCUUGCUUCUCUCAAUCGAAUAAUCUCUUGUUGUAGGCUAUGAAUUUCGCGUCUAGCUUCUUCGGUCACUAGAUCAAUUUGAGGUUCUUUACUUGGAUUGCGAAGAAAUGCAAUCUCCUUUCGUACACUAUUCAUAAGAGCUUGAAGAUCUGCAAGAGUUGCCACUCUAUUAUCUACUUGUGGAGAUGCACUGUCUAUGACCUAGUCUACUUCCAUAUUUAGAGAAUAGAUGGAUUAAAAUUUUGAGAGAAGAAGAAAUUGCUAAGUCUCUUGGAGAAAAUUGUAGCACUACCUGUCACUAAAACCUACUCGAAGAAAAAAAAAAAAAAACACUAAACGAUUUCAGUUUUAGAGGAGGGUAAUCCGCAACCUCUAAAAAUGCCUCAAUGCUUUCGAGAAGAGGGGUAAUCCGCACUCUAUCAAGAAGGCAAAGCUCUGAAAUCGAUGUUAAUAGUCUUUUCUACUAGCUAUGCUAAACAAAAAGAAGGAAUUAAUAUCAGUCCAAGAGAGGGUAAUCCGCAACCCUUAGAACGCUCAAGAAUCUCCAAUGAAAGGGGUAGUCCACUCUCUUCCUCAAAGAACUAAGCUCUGAUAUUGUGAUUGAGAAAAUAUCAGUUUAGAGGAAGGUAAUCCGCAACCCCUAAAGCGCUAGAAUACCUUUAAGAAGAGGGGUAAUCCGCUCUCAAACAAGAAGGAUUCAGCUCUGAUAUUAAGAUAAAGGUAGUCUCGACAAACUGUCACGGACCAAAAAUACAAACAAGAAAUCUAAACAAGAAGUAAUGAUAAGAACUAGAUUAUCAGAUGAGUACAAGAGCAACGCCAAGAAAAUUGAGCUAGAGCUUCAAGAGAUGUGUUGUCGAGACUGAAGAACUCUUCAACCUCGACUCCUAUAUAUACUACUGGCCUAUGGUUCUAAGGAAGCGCAUCAAGAAGCUUCCCAAGAACUAUGAAGCUUCUCGAGCAACUACCCAAGAGCUAGGAAGCUUUUCAAGUAACUUCUUAGAAUCUAUUAGAAUAUUCUAAGAAUCUUCUAGAGCCUUCUAAGAGAAUCUUUGAAGAAUAUUCUAAGAGAAUAUUCAAAGAAUCUUCUGGAAGUUUCUAGAGACUUCUUUCUAGAAGGUUCUAGAAACUUGUCUCUAGAAAGGUCUAAGGACUAUGUCCCUAACAGUAAUUGAUAGUCCUUUUUGCCCCAGCCGGUAGGUCUCUAGACGUUAUAGAGAACCCCGAACAACCCGAACUAGUAAUCUUCGAUACCGCUUUAUACUCACGAUCUUAUAUCCAUUGAUUGUCUUGUUAGAUUAACCCAAUAAAUUUCAUUCACUCCGCAUACUCAAUCCUAUAUGCACCCUUUUAAUUCUUCAUCACAGACGUAACUCAAUUUCACAAAACAAUUAAGAGUAAUCACAUCCACUUCAUUAAAAUCCCGAUUCACCAGUACAGCACUGACUUCAGCAACGAUUGCCUCAGUCUUCCCAAAACCCUAUGAAGAAAAAAAAAACCCCAAUUCUCUGUCUUUUUUCCCCGCUAUGAAGCAUGAAGCUAGCUCUUCCCUUUCUAAAAACUCUCCCCCCCCCCCCCCAAAACCUUAUUCUCUCCCCUUCAUUUCUUAACCUAUCCUCCCCUUUAACCCUAAUUCUCCCCUCUCUCAAACCCUAGCCUUUGAAUUUCUUCAAUCUUCCAUCUUAGAUUCGGAAUUGGCUCCGCAGUCAGAGCUUUCUCCUCCGUUUUUACCUUUAAGAGAUCCUUUUAUCGAAAGGAUGUUCCCGGAACGACACAAAGGACGAUGUCGUACUGUAAUUACUUACAGUAUGUAAAAAUUAGUGAAAACAUGUAAUAUGUUUAUAAGUCUUAAUGUGAGUUAGAAUAGUUAGUAUGUUAAUUUAAAAUGAAUUGAAAUAAGAAAAAUUAUUUGGAAGUUAAUCUAGUUUGAUUAUAGAGUUUAUAUUAUAUAGGAUUUAGAUAGUUAGUAUAAAGAUUAAGGAAAGGGAGGAGUUAAAAGAUGAAAAUAUAACUAGAAAGAGGCUUAUUGGGAAGGAUGAAAGUAAGGCAUGGUUGGAUGAAGGCAAGGGGUGAAGAACUUCAUCCCUAUUGGUCGAAUACCAUACCCAAUGGGCUUUGAGGAGGCUGCCCGAGGCCAUAUUAGGAAUUAGGGUUCCUCUUUCGAGGCCAUUCGAGCUUUUGAGGCUAGGAUCAGAAGGUUUAGGGUUUUGGGUAUAAUUUGGGUGAAGAUUUUGUGUGAUUUCGAGUUUUUAUGGAAAAGAUAUGUAUGUUCAAAGAUAAGGUGUCAAUUUCGUACCUACUGUCACUUCUUUUGGGCAUCACAUACGAAUACGGAGAGCAACGGAAGAUCGGCGACUAGAUUUGGAGGGAGCAUUUUCUCGGCUACACAUUCUACUUACUGUAUAGUGAAUUCUAAGAUUGGGUGAAGGAGUUAUGAGGCGUUGAAGACAGUUCUUGUAAUUUGAAGGCAGUAAGUAUAUCGUUUUGUUGCUAGUUAUGGGUGAAGCCAUAUCUUGAGUUUCUGGACGAAUUUUUGGCUCAAAAUUUCCACAAGUGUGUGUAAUUGGAUUAAGAGGCUUUAGAUCAAAGUUUCAUAGUAUUUGAAUAAUUACUUUGUGAGAUAUGAAGGAAGUUGUACACGGGUGUAAAAAAGCUAGGGUUUGAAGCUAUAGUUAGGGUUUUCAAGAUAUCACAAGAUCCAAGACGAAUUUACGGUUGAAUUUUGGUGUGGUAGUUGCUAAAGAUAUAUCAGUACUCCAUGUAAAAUUUGGAGUUGUUUAGACGGUUAGAUCGUAAGUUAUGAGCUGUUGAACUUCGGGAAAAAUUCCUCAUAAGGAUAUAUAAGUUUUUUAUAACACCUUAUCAAGUAUUUUGGUGUUCUUUGGAUUUUAAGGCUUGUAUAUUGAUGUAAUUGCUCCAAAGGAGAGGAUUUUAUAUAUUUUUAAAUUGUUACCCUUAUAUUUCAAACUUGAUUGAGUAUUUAGUGACAGCCAGAAGCCCAGCGCUUUCUUGAGGCAAACUCUCUCUACCCCGACAACGGAACAGCCUGAAACGGAAUCAGAACCCCCAUAAUCGGGACCACAUUGAGUCGCCCGACCAAUUCAGGUCUCAUAUUGGCUAAGAGGCCCAUAGUAAGACUUGGAUGUUCCCGUAAUUGGACCGCAUUGGGUUGGUAAUCGGGACCACAUUGAGUCGCCCGACCAAUUCAGGUCUCAUAUUGGCUAAGAGGCCCGUAGUAAGACCUGGAUGUUCCCAUAAUUGGACCGCAUUGGGUUGCCCGACCAAGUCAGAUCUCAUAUUGGAUAAGAGGCCCGUAGUAAGACCUGGAUUGGAUGUCUUGAAAUUGGAUCCAAUUGGCUCUUCGAACCAGAUUCAUCCGUCGUUGAAUUGGUCCUUUUCCAUUCUGCUGACUCCCAUUAUUGGAAUCAAACGGAGCAUUUCAGUAUGCCCCGACUUACUGUAACGGGGUGACUGAUCCUGGCCUUUCAGUAUUUGCACUAGAAUUGGUUGUUGCUCCCAAUAUUCGAGGUAACUGAACAUUAAUAAAAAGUCCUCUUUCUUUAUAUUUUCACGGUAUACUCAUAUUACAACACGACAACGGUACACUCUAUGGUCCAGAUGGAACUAGUCCCAUCUGGCGGAGGUUUCUUUAGUAAGUUUGUUAAAGGUUGACAAAUAACUGCAAACGAACGAAUGAAUCCUAAAUAAUAACUAACAUGGCCGACAAACCCACGAAUACCAGAGACCAUCUUUGGGUGGGAUAAGUUCAUUAUAUGCUGCACUUUGUUCGAAUCCGUAGCAAUACCACGGCUAGAGACGAUAUGUUCCAAUAAUUUAUUGGAUAGAAUACCAAAUUGACACUUCUUCGAGUUCAAAGAUAUGCCAAACUUAACGCACCGAGCCAAACAUUUGCCCAUACAAUUAAGAUGAUCAUAUUUUGUACUGAAUGCACAAAAAUCAUCUAAAAAGAUCUCCAUAAAUAGCCAGAGAUAGUCUUGGAAGGCUUGAGUCAUCACUCUCUGAAACAUGGAUGGGGCGUUACAUAACCCAAAAGGCAUCACACGAUAAGCAAAUGUGCCCCAACCAUAGUAAAGAUCAUCUUAAGCUGGUCUUCUGUUGUAAUUUGAACUUAAUUAUAUCCAAAAAAUCCAUUGAGGAACAAAUAAUAUUCAUGACCGAUGACGGCGUCCAAUAUACUAUCUGUGAAAGGCAACGGAAAGUAAUCCUUCUUGGUGGCCGCAAUAAGUUUCCAAAAAUCCUGAAAAAUGUGGAUUUUUCCAUUCUUUUUUGGCACCAUGAUGAUUGGAGAAACUCACUCGCUAUUCGGCACUGGAUAAAUGAAACCAACCGUAAGAAGCUUGUCCAAUUACUCCUUUACCAUAAAGGAAUAUUUAAGAUUAAGACAAUGUUGUCUUUGUCGUACCGGUUUAGCGUUCUCCUCUAAAAAGAUACAAUGCUCACAAAUGUCAAUAAGAAUAUCCUUUAAAUCAGCAUAAGUCCAAGCAAAAGCGGACUUAUGAUGUAAGAAAAAUUCUGUCCAACAGGUCAAUUUUUGGUCCUUAAUACCUUCAUAGACCUUAAUUGUCCAUCGCUCUGCUGUGGUCGUCAAGUUAAUAGUUUGAUAUAAAGGUGCAACGAUGAUGUUGUGUUUCAACUCCCACGCUAGUUGAAAACCAGUCGGUAAGUCUGACAUGUAUGAAGUACUGAAUCAUGUAUCCAAGGCACUAACAUGGUGCACAUCAUACUUGGUAAUCCAAUCAAUACUAACAUACUCAGAGUUUUCUGAAUUCAUCGGGUAUAUCAAGUACUCUCUCGGACCUCCACAUUGGUACACCACUCCAGGGUGUUGCGUUGCCUCCACGGACGCCUCCGUAAUUGGUGUGAUUGCAUCAUCAUUGGAGCUAAGCUCAUCGUCCAAUGUCAAUUCAGAUGCUGGCAAUUAAGACUCCCCAUGAUAGCGUACUGAGUACAUUUGUAAUACCAUUUUAUUGUUAUCCUUAUCAAUUAUCAAAGUACCCCGACUCCAAUAAUUCUUGGCCUUCGUUUGAUAAAGCCAAGGUUGUUCCAAUAAAAUUGGAUACGAUAAAGUCAAACGUUGUAGCCGAAAGAUGAUAUAGUCAAUUGCAUAUGCAAUACCAACAAUUAUAGUUUGAACACUCCGUAAAAUAUCCAUUGGUUUAACCCGGCUAUGAUCUGCCAUCCGUAAUACCAAUAUCGUGGGUACUAAGUGUUCCAAAUCUAAAGCAUCUAUUGUAUCAGAGUUCAUUAAAUUGACACUGGAACCACCAUCCACCUGAAUAUCCGAGAUCACAAUACCGUCAAUCGAAACAUUGAUGGUUGGUGCACCUGGGUCAGGAUUCAAACUAACUUUACAAACUUCCUUAUUACGUUGCCUAUGCCAUGUUAUCGAUAAAUUCAAUGUAUAACGGCACUCUUGUAUGACCGUUAGAAGUUGCUUCAUAGAAAUAGAAGGCUGAAUAGCAUCCAGAUCCUUUAAUAUGUCAUAGAGUUCUAUAUUUAGGAUAAUACCCAAUACCCUCUUUCUUUUCAUUGGUUGGAGUUUAAUUCCUUGAGGUAAGAUAUUCUUCCGCCCUAGACUCGGAAUUGGAAUAGCAGACGGAGCUUCUUUGGAAUUCAAGCCUCCUAGAGGAUCUUUCAAUGGACAGGACAUUUUUCGAAACGACAUAGAAAAUAGAACAGCUUGAAAUGGAUCCGAAGCCUUUGUAAUCAGUAACUCAUUAGAUAGCCCAACCGAGUCAGGUAGCAUACUGGGUAAGAGGCCCAUAAUAGGACCUGGAUUGGAUGUCCCCAUAAUUGGGUCAAAUUGGCCCUUCGCUUCAGGAUCACCCAAAUGUUGAAUUGGUCUUUUCUCUUUUUGUUGACUCUUAGUAAGAAUGGCUUGGACACAUUCCACUCGAUUUACUGAAGAAUCUUGAAGCCCUUGAUGUAUCUCCUCCAUUUUUCCUUGGUUUUGGAUCUGUUGAUCUCGAUUAUUGAAAUUGAACAGAGCAUUACAUUGCUGAUAAGUAUGCCCCGACUACUUGUAAUUCCCACAAAUUGGUGCAUAAUCAUCACUGGCUCUGGGAUUGGAACAUUUACUAGCAUAAUGGCCAAUCUGUCUGCGACGGAAAUAAUGAAGUGGUCUUCUUGUACUCCCAUUAGGCAUAUUUGGUGUCUCCAUCGAUAUAUACCUACUAAACUUAUUCCACGUAGGAUUAGAAAAUGAUCCUGGUUAUCCCAUUGGAAUGGAGAGAACUUGAUUUGAUGAUGCCGGUGGAGCAUAUUGCUAAUACCUCUGCUGCUCUUUCUCGUAGUUCUGGGGGUUUGAUACAGAUCCUUGAUUAAAAUUGGAACUUUGAAAGUUAUUGAAUCCUUCAUUUUGUCGAUUAAAUUGAUUUCCAUUCCAUCCAAACGUAUUUUCCGAUUGAACUUGAUUGAUGUCCCAAUGAGUUGGUGGAAUCAUGGUCUGAUUACUGAAUUGUUGUUGCCUUUGUAAAUUCCAACAAUUAGCUGUUAAGUGCUUUCGUCCGUAAAAUGUACAUUGAUCCAUCAUUUGUGAGGGUGAAGGGCAUUCUGUUAUCAAAUGACCGUAGCCCUUACAAUUAUUGCACCAAACAUUGGUUCUAGUAUUGGUAGGCUUUUGCCUCUUCUCCUUAUCUUUGGCCAUAUUGAUGGCCAUUUCUUCCAUUUUCUUCGUCAGGUUCAAUAACAAGGCUUCAUUUGAAUCUUCUGGUGCUGGUAUUAUUGGUAACUCUAUCGUAAUUAACACUUGUUGUUGAUACUGAAAAUAAAGAGCAUACGAUGUUGUCACUUUUGAUGGUAUAGCUUGCAAUGGGGUGACAUUAACUGGCCCCUGAAUAUUGGCACUGGAAUUGGCCCUUGUAUCUAACAUCCAUGGAUAAGCACCCACUGAUCCGUUCCAAGUCGGAUUUUGAUAACUACCUUGAAUUGGAAUCAACAUAGCUCCCCCAAUUAAAAACUUAUCAUAAUGGCAUUCCUCCCAAACCUUGGCUCUAUUAAAGGAUGUAGACACCGUAACGGAUUGAGCUUCCUUCACAAAUAUUUUUAACUCUGGUGGCUACAAACCAUUGAUUAAUAUGGAUAAGAUAAAUGCCUCUGACAUUUGGUGAUUCAACCACUUACUCAGUAUAUCAACCACCCGACCAUAAUACGAUUCCACCGCCUCCUCUAGGAUCAUUUUGCUAUUCAUUACACUCUCUCGAAGAUGAUCCUCAAAACUUAUUGGCCGAAAAUGGAUUAAAAAUACAUUCUUUAAUGCUUCCCAAUUCAAAAAUUGACCCACUAGUUGAUGGUUGUACCAUUCAAAUGCCAUGUCCUUUAAGGUUGUUGGCAACCAUCAUAACCAAAUAUCUUCGAUUCUUCUAUUAUUGGCUAUACAUGCUGUCAGAAACUGAGAUAAAUGUUGAUUGGAAUCCACACCCAGAAAGCCCUUAAAAGUAGGUAAUGGAGCCACGCUCGUUGUGCGAUCGCUCAUGUCACCCAUUUGUACUGCUAUUGGAACCGCUGGACCAUCCGUUGCCAUUGAAGAAGACAAUGUGUUGCUUAAUCUCUUAUUAAAAUUACCAUUGCCUUCUCCAAUUAUCUUUUUUAGUCUUUUCAACCUCCUAAAUUUACUAUUAUUAUCCUUAAAUAAGUUUAUUGGUUGAAUUGGAGGUAAAAAUGAUGGAUUUUGAAAUACGCUGAAUUGGCUCUUAUUGGCAAGCAAUUUAUGCCAUUCUAUGGAACCAGUUUUUACAGAAUUGGCAGUUACUACUAUUGAAAAGGUAUCCAAUUAAGUACCCAAUUCUUCUACGUUUCUUCCACUUGUAGUUAACGAGCUCAAGAGAUACGCUGGGCUGUUGACAAAAUUUCUUGCGAGUGCUCUUGGCAAUUUUUUUAAUGGUAUAUAUAUCUGAAAUAUUAGAAAAAGGUCAGCUUCUGGAUAUGCUUGGAUAUGCCAGCAGGCAUGCAACCAUGGCUUAAUCCAACUUUUUCGACACUGUCGGAGUAGAGAGAGUUUGCCUCAAGAGAACGUUGGCCUUCUGGCUAUCACUAAUUAUUCAAUCAAGCUUGAAAAUAAGGAAAGCCCUAAGUUUAUAUAUAAUUUUUCUUUUUUUGAGUAAUUACACCAAAUACACAAUCCUCAAGUAACCCACAACUUCCAAAAUAUGAUAAAAUCUUCUAAAACCUUGUUUAUUCUGAUGUAGAGAUUUUUCCGAACUUCAACACCUCAUAUCUCCUAAUCCGACCGUCCAAACAAACUCAAAUUUUACAUAAGGUACUGAUAUAUUCUAAUUAACUUCUACAACAAAUUUCAACCGCAAAUUCGUUGCAGAUCUUGAAAUAUCUUGAAAAUCCUAACAGUCGCUUCAAACCCUUGUCUUUAUACAUUCACGUGCAAUUUUCUUCAUAUCUCACAAAAUAUAAGCUUAAAUGCCACGAAAUUUGUAUGUAUAGCUUUUUAACACAAAAAUUUACAUUCUCCAAAAGUUUGAGCCAAAAAUUCAUCCAAAUACUCAAGUUAUGGCUCCAACCAUUACUACAAACAAAACCACUUACUUACUGCCUUUGAUUUGGAAGCGCCGCCUUCAACUCCUUACAACUCCUUCAUAUAAACUCUAAAAGAAAUAAUUCUUUCAUGAAAGAUGUAGGUCUUAAAAUCGCCGUUCUAUUUGCACCUUUCGAUCUUCAAAAGCUGCUGUAAAACUCCUCGUACCCUCAAAAGAGUAAUAGUAUGUCUUAAAUAAACACCUUAACUUCAAAUGGCUAUAACUUCUUCACCCUAAUUCCAAAUCCUUUAAUUUUUGUACAAAAAUUGUACUCCAAACCCUAAAAUUUACAACCCUAGCUUUUAAUCUCCGAAUGCCUCUUUGAAGUCGCCGAAACCCUUCUUAAGGUCGUGGGCAGCCUCCUCAAAGCCCAUUGGGCAUGGUAUUCGACCAAUAGGGAUGAAGUUUUCCAUUCCUUGCCUUCAUCCGACCAUGCCUUACUUUCAUCCCUCCCAAUUAGCCUCCUACUAGUUUAGAUUUUAAUCCUUAGGUUUCCACCUUCUCCCAAGGCUUCAUACUAAACAUUUAGGUCCUAUAUAUAUAUAUAUAUAUAUAUUUUUUAAUGUCAAAAACAAAAGAAAUAAAGAAACAAAGUAAAGUUUCUUAUACCAACUUCUUUUAAUUUAAUCUACUAGCCACUCUAACACACAUCUAGAUUUAUCAACAUAUAAUAUGUUUUAACUAAUUUUUACAUACUGUAAGCAUUUAUAGUACGAUAACGCUUCUUUUUUAACUUGCGUUCUUGCUCAUUUUGCAACGGCUCUCUUGCUUGCGCUCUCUCUUAUCUUUCUUUCGACUAGCAUAUUUUCUUUACUGCAAUGUUCUCAUUCUUAAUAACCAUAAUCUUUUAUUAUAUACUACUGAAUUUGCUUCCUAUUUUCCAUCUGCUCAUCCGGCAGUUAAUUCUUAACACUCAAUGCUAUUGUCAAUCCCCGAUAGCGGCGCCAAAAAUGUGAUUGUCGUUUUACUUAUUCUACAAUUCCUUCCAGAAUAAACUUGUAUAGGAAAAUUCGAACACAUGGAAAGACUAAGCGCAUGAGUUUUACUUGUUAGGAUCACACAAUUAACUAUAUUCUAAACCACUAAAACACUAAGAAAUACUACAAUGCUUCCUCCCAGUAACAAUACUCCUUCAUCAACUGAUAACCACAAUGUGUAACCCUGCACUCUCAAAAGACCGCUCAAAACUCAAUAAAUUCCAUCCAACACCAGGAAUAACAAACUUCACUCCAAUCAAUCUGAAUUCACUGAAUUCCUGUAAUCAUAGACUUCCUCUGUCGAAACAUACACAUACAACUCUCAAUAAACAACAAUCAUAAUCUUCCAUCCAUAAUCAAGCUUCCAAUAACUUCUCAUAUGAUUCAAUGACUCAAUACUCCAAUUACAUAAUCAAUAACUCAUAAAUCAAUCUCUGAUUUAUUCCAUAGACUCACUUCUCAGUAUUCAGAAACUAUCCAUUAUUCUUCAACAACAAAGAAAACAAAAGAAACAAAGAGGAAGCACCAAGCUUAAUCCCGGCUCAUGACUAUCACAGUCUAGCGCCCCAACAAACUUCUAUAUAAUUGCUAUUGAUUACUAGAUUCUAACCAUAAUCCUAUAAUAACCGCUUUUAAUAAUUGAAUCAAUCAUCCGACCUCCUAAACUGACUAUUCUAUAGACUAUUAAUCUAUUUUACUAAUAUCUUACAAAAACAAAUUAAUAUCUAUUCUACAAAUACAUAAGUAUUUUUUUUAUUCUUUAAUAAAGAAGUUUCAAUACUUCUAUGGGCACUACCUAUCAUUGCAAAAUAAUAUUUUAUUAAGUUGGAAUGGCUUGAGCUUACUAGAAUGUUCACUUCUUUCAUAAAAAAAUUAUCAAAUAUUAUAUCAACCUUUUUAAAUGCAUAUACAAGUCCCAUCCACUUUGAUUUAUAAUUUUUUUUAUAAUUUUCUUUACUUAUAUGAUUUGAAAUUUCAAAACUCUUUAUAUUUGACAAUUGUUUUAAUUCAUCCAAUUUUCGACCUUCUAUGUGAAGCAAAUCCUCUGUUUUGUAUAAUAGAUGCUUUGCUAAUCCAAAAUGCUCAAAAUCUUCUUUUCUACUUGCAUAAUCAACUUCUCUUGUAAAAAUUCAACAUCCUCUUUUACUUCAUGAAAUUUUACUAUCUAAAAAGUAGCCAAGGAGUUGUCUUCAACUUAAUUGGAAUAAUACUUUGAAAGCAUAUUAUUUGUUACAUCAUAAUAAAAUUUUAAAUCCAAAAUUAAUUCUCUAAAAGUCUCUUUGUUAUUCAAGUAGAAGAUAUCUUCUUCACACUAAUUUGGUUUUCCACAACUUUCUAUUACAAAAUAAGUUUUAUUAAGUAUAAAAAAUAAAUCAAUAAAAGUCCAAUCUCUAAUCCACCAUGGGUACAAAUUAUUAGAUGACCAAAAACCUUUAUAACUUCUUUAAUUUUCUUGUACAAAUUAGCACAUUGGUUUUUAUUUAAUAAUUUUUUUCUUCAAUAAAACUUUAAAUGCUCCAAUGUAGACUUUGGAUCCUUUCUAAGUAUCUUCAAAAGUACCUUGCAUACUUGAUAUUUGGUCACAUUUUUCUAUACUAAUUAAUAACCUUGAAAUGAUCAAAUUAUGUACAUAGCUCCAAACCAUGAUUAUAUAUUGUCUAAAUAGUUUUAGAAGGUACUGUAUGAUGAAUUAAUUUUAAAAAAAUCCAAUUUCAUCUUUUCAAUACCUAUAAAUAAAAAAUAAAAAUAAAAAUACAUAUUAAAUUUGUUUGAUAUUUCAAGAAUAUUUAUCAAACACUCUUUUAACUACAUUGUUUCACAAACCAUAUAACUAUUCAUCCUACAAAUUCAAUCUAUAAUUCUAAAGCUAAAUCAUCAAUCUUAAAUAAUCUUAAAACCAAUAAUUUAUUUCUUUACAUAUUUUAAUAACUUUAUUUCAACCUACAACUUUAAUUUUAAAAAAAUAAUAAUAUUAUAAGAUAAACUUGAACUGUAAAUGUCAUCUACUUAAGAAAAUUCAUCUUAUAAACUUUCCUACAUAACUUCAAUUAUAAUUUGAUAUGAUGCAAACAUGCUUCAAGAAUUUACAAUCACAACAUGAAGUUUUUUAAAUGCACUCACUAUUUGAUUGAAUAAAAAACCAACUUUAGAUCUAAAAAACAUCCAACCAAACAAUAUAUGUAAUUAACCAACUAAAAUAAGAUUUAUUAUUGCAAAUUCUAAUAAGAAUAACUUUCAACCAUCCAAUAUUCUUUUUUAACUUUUAAAUUCUAUCAAUUAUAUUAUAAAUAGGACUCAUUUGUCCUUUUCACUCAACUUUACCUAUACUUCUACUAACUUCUAUCAUCUCAAAUUUCAACUUGAAAAUUAUAUAGACAACUCUUACUAAUUAAAAUAUCAAUAUCUACAUUUUUUUAAACCUGAUAAUACUAAUUACAUUCACUCAUCACUAGACUCUUGCAAUUUCUAAUUUGCCAUAAAAAUAUACAAAAGAAACAUGAAAAAUAAAAAUAAUAAAAGUAUCACUUACUACACCAAUUCAAAAUUAUUUCUAUAUCUAUACAUAUAUUCAUUCUUCAAUAUAAUUUAACUAUUAAGCAUAAAUACAUCUUAUAUAUAAAUAAAAAUGAAAAUGCUUCUAUAAGAGAAAAAAAUUAAAUCCAAAAUCCAUUAAAUAUUUUAAAAUCAUUAAUAAAUAUCUUACAAAUAAUUCUUCGAUCUACAUUUAUAGAUAUUCUACUAAAAAUAUCCAUAUUUUUUACUAAAAUAAAAAAAUUGAUACAAUAUAUUAAGUCACUUAAUAUUUUGUUAAUAUAUACAAGUAUAAAUCUAAUUGAAUAUAAUAUAAAAAAUUAAAAUAUGAUUUAUAAGAGAUUAUGAUGUAUAAAUUAAUUAAGUAAUUUUAAAAAACUAAAUAAAAAAAUUUGUUGUACUAAAAAAAUCUAUUUUAUAAAGAGACAUAGCUUCAUUUUAUUCUCAUGCAACUUUUACUUAUAAACUAAAUUUAUUCUCUUUUAAAAUAGCACACUUUUAAUUUUCAAUAAAAACAAUAAAUUAAUUAUUUUUUACUUCUAAUAACAACUAAUGACAUAAAAUACAGUAUUUGAAAAAGCAAACCCUCAAUCUUCCAAAAACUAUUUUCAUGUCCUUGUACUCAUUUUGCAAUCCAUCUAAUUUAUCAUACCAUCAACACACCACUCUCUAAUCCAUUUGGAUUAACACAACUAUCUAUUUAUUAUGAAAAGCAAGCAAGGUACAACAAUCUUUAUCAAUUAAUUUUACAACACUUCUAAUUACACCAACAACAACAUAUUAAACCUAAUUCAGCAAUUGUCACCCAUCUCAACUAAUUAUGAGACUUAACAACUUAAACCAAGAUAAAGACUUUCCAACAAAUGCACACAAAUCAACUAUUACUAAUUCAAAUUGUCCAUAUAAUUUGAAAAUCUCAACCAUGUCAAUUCAUUCUAAGAAUGUUAAUUUCAAAUACUUGCCCUCAUAACAAUAUCCAUCUAAUCCACUACACCAUCAACAAACCACUACAUAAUCCUACCAAGAGCACACAAUUGCCAAUUUAUUGAAAAAAAUUAUUACUAAUUUAUUACAAACUUAAAAUUACUACCAAAGCAAUGCUACAUUAAUGUAAUUAUUCCCUAUUGCAACUCCAACAAUAUGUUUAAUCAAAAUUUUAUCUAACUUACCAACAAUAUCUUCAUAAUAAUGUAGACAAUAAUGUAGACAAUAUAUGUAAUAUAUGUAUAAUUAUGAGUCAUAAUUAUAUGUAUAAUUAUGAGUCAUAAUUAUAUGUAUAAUUAUGAGUCAUAAUUAUAUGUAUAAUUAUGAGUCAUAAUUAUAUGUAUAAUUAUGAGUCAUAAUUAUAUGUAUAAUUAUGAGUCAUAAUUAUAUGUAUAAUUAUGAGUCAUAAUUAUAUGUAUAAUUAUAAGUCAUAAUUAUAUGUAUAAUUAUAAGUCAUAAUUAUAUGUAUAAUUAUAAGUCAUAAUUAUAUGUAUAAUUAUAAGUCAUAAUUGUAAGUUGUUUAUAUAAUUAUACAUAUAAUUAUGUAUAAUUAUAAGUCAUAAUUGUAAGUUGUUUACAUAAUUAUACAUAUAAUUAUGUAUAAUUAUAUGUAUGUACAUUUCCAACAACUAUGACCUACUUGCUGCAACUCAUGUCUGAUCAAGGGCAUGUUGCAAUCAAGGGCACUACCUCGGGAUCCGUCGCUCCCAUUCUCUGCACUAUAGUGGAGGGGAAAAGGUCCUAUGCUGCUACUAACUCCAAUGAGUGUUGAACACUUCAUUCACACUCUUCAUCACAACGGAGCUUUCAAAUCGACAAAAAAGACACAACUGCUGGCAAAAGACUUUGUUGUCAAGGUCGACGUUUACUUCAACCUGCAAUUUUCAUUCCCAAUGUUUACCACCGAUUGGAUUGUCCAAAACUCGAAUUCCGAACAGGGCAAAAUCGAACACGUAUCUAUCCGGCAUCUCUAAUCUUCAACAGAAGCGAGGGGGUGAAUAUCAUGCACGUAGUCAUCAAUAUCCCUACACGAAUUCCUGGUGCUUUCUUCAUUUUCAACGACUGUCAAUUCCUCUUGCAGGGCGUCCAGUUUCUUUAUUUCCCUUCGUAUAAUAUGCUUUUCUGGUUCCAAAUUCCUUAGUAAUCGAUGAGUAAUGGUGAAGUUGUGUGUCACUAUUUCCUUUUCUACACACCCAAAAUCUCUGUUACAAGCACGGUAUCGCAGUGUCCAUUUUGAGAAAUCUGGCUUCUGCUUUGACACCUGUGUACAUCCAAACAAUGAUGUGAACCCACUGGUACGUAUUACUGUUUGAUCACCAAUCCGCUGCCAUCGCAACUGAGUACAUGUUACUCUAUGGUAACUUUCGACCUCGACGGGACCCAGCCUUCACCAUACUUAUCGAAGCACAAUGAGGUUCUGUGUUACACUUACACGACAGAACUACCGCGAAAUUAGUUCUUAACAACAGACAACCCGAAGUCGUCCUCUGCGAAUUAACUUAGACGGCCUUCACUUCCGGUUGGCAUGAAUACGGGCUGAUCACCCUUCCCCAAACCCACUACUUCUCUAAACAAGUGCAUCAAUGCUGUCCGACCAACACACUCUGACUGUGCUCAGAACCCCAGUCAGAACCUCACAACCGCCAGAACCAUCAUAACCUCGCUGCUAGAACGCCAUGAUCAGAGAAAACAUUCAACUCCAACUCCGACAAGGCCAUGACUGCGCCACUACCACCGCAGCUCACCUCUACUGCCCGGGUUAAUUCCCUCACUCGCUGUAGGAACCGCCACAAAAUCCCCGCGAGUCGGUUUUGUACGAUGCAAACAAACCAAGCGCUCGCCUCACGGAUUGAUUCGAAGCAAAGGAAACAACAAAAACGGAAGCAAUCAUGCACACAAGUGUUUCUUAUUCACCACCUCCCCCUCCUCCUCCUCCUCCUCCCCCCCUGAGCUCCCGUGCGGCAUCCCCGGGAGCUCUGUACAGAUCCCAAUUACCUAGACACGACUGUUAUCGGCUUUCACAACACACUGCAUCGGUCCGCAAGACGUGUCCUCCUACACUCGGACUCACGCUUCGACCCCUUUCCAACCAAGACAUCCGCAGCAAGUGUCCCACUCCGAUCCCAGCCACUCAGACAACCGGAUCUUGUAAGCAGCAACACUAAGCUGAACAAGAGGAAAUGCGUACCAGCAAUUCCCCGCUCUCACGUCAUUGGCGUCCAGCACAGCACGGCGAUGCUACGGCGUGUAAGAAUGCGCAGAUUUGAGCAAUUCGAAGCAUGAAAGCACGGAGCUCUCAGGGUUUUGCGGCGAGGGCAAGAAAAAACAACGGGAAGGCUUGGCUCCGUCAGUGAGCCUGAAACCCAACUCUAAAUGGAUGAAAAAGUUACUCACUUCUUACACUCAUUCGUAUGACGAUGCACAGAAUGGUGAUUGGGUUACACUCUGUUCAUCAACCCCUGCCUGGUUUUCCAGCUACGUUGCUCCCAAACCAAUUUGCCUAUAUUCAUCGACAUAUGAAUUAAAGUUGAUUUCACCCUUUGUCAUCUGAAGUCUGAGAAAUUGCACAUAACUUUACCACUCACUGAUCGGUCCGUACAAGGUUUUUUUUUUCUCCUUUUGGAAUCUAUGAAAAGUUAACCGUAAAACCACAACUAGAAGCGAUGCACUGACGAUGUGUCCAGCAAAGUCAUACACGGAAUAGACAAGAACGAGUAGAAGACGACUCUGGAGAAUGCUCCGAGUGUAGUAGAAAAUUGGAUUGAUGAGAACAUAAACUUGACACAAAAGAAAAAAACAAUCUGGGAUCUCCAGGAAAAUACCAUGUACAGGAAGUGUGGAGAUGAACUUUGUUUCCACCAUCGUCAUCUCUCCCUUAGAAGUCUAUAAUCCAACAGAAGUAACAAGUGCCAACUUCUUCCCCUAACAACAAUCACCCUUGCUCGUGUUGGUACUGCUCCUUCCUUCACAAUUAUAUUCACACAACCUUAGUUGUGAAAAUAAACUUGUGAAUAUAUAGUGGGACUAGUACAGAGAAAGAGGAGACACUUCAAAGAUGAUAAUUUUCUGCUACUAGAUCAUAAGGAAAUAUCUUCAUUCAGUGGCAAAUCGCUUCCAUGGAGGGUGACUAUACAUGACAAGUCGGGAAGUAGCAGAUGCCAUGCGUUGGCCAUGUUUUACAGAAAGUAAUCCGGAGUCCUUCGCGUCACAUCUGGUUCACUUUGUCUCGGCGCUGGUUCGAAUUGAAGGAAGGAUCGAUUCAUGGUUUCGUCUAUCUCCAUUAUGGCUGCCAUGUUCCCACAUCGGUAACAGUAGUUGGGAGCACUGAAAACUGUGACGACAUUUUUAUCCUGCAGCUCAUCAAAACAGCUAGGUUAGAGAAUGGAAAAUCAAAACUGAGACAUCCUCUCCAAACAUACGUCAAUUUAAUUUUAGUUUGAAUUAAUCAUUAUAUUUAAAAAUAAAAAUAGACCUUCGAAGCAGUAGAACAUUAUAGAAGAGAGAACGAGCAAAAGUAGACAGAUUCAUUCCAAGCAGACUUGACUAGAAAAUGCCCUGCAGCAAUUGAAAAGCGGGGGUACGCCAAAAGUGAAACGACAGGGAUAACGAUCAAGCAGCACAGCAGGGAUGGAAACCAAACGAACCUGGCACCAAUUGUAGCCUUCCAUCACAAGCUGGUGAGCACGUGCAACUAAACUAAGGCCAUUUGUGUGGUUGAAUUGCUCUGCAAUGUCUUGGCCAAACGUAUAACCAGCACCACGUGGUGAAAUACCCCAUCCGCAACGAUCAUCGGGAUCAGACCAGAGCAGAUCACACAUUGGCCCCUCAUGCGGGACCUCUUGAAUACGAUCCAGAGCACGGAUGUGGUCUAAUGUAUCGAGUGAUGGAGACAGACCACCAUGGAGGCAAAAAAUCUGCCCACAAAAGCAUAUCAAUGUAGAACGUGUCGAAUUAGGAACACCAGGCAAAGACAAAAGGUUAAUCUACGAACCAAUCACUGAUUCCCCAUGAAAACAUAUGCUUAUUAAAUUCUCUUAUUAUCAAACAUCCACAAUUAGGAAAUAAUAAAUGGUUUAAAAUUAUGAAGUUCUUCUACGUCCUGAAUUCUUUGUCAAUGUAAUACCUGGUGCUCAAUAAGAGCUGUCAGAGGAAGGUAGUCAAAAAGGUCCGUGAAGUACUUCCACACGUUUGCAUUUCCAUACUUUCGCAGACAUUCAUCAUAGAAACCGUACCUGCAAUCAGUAGGAGAUCAGCUGAGAGAUGGGUGCAUACUCCGGUUAGCUUCAGAAGGUAGUAUUUUAGGUGCAUCUUAAAUUAUAUAGCGCAAAACAGAACGAUUCGAUUACGACUCCAUGACAGUGCAUACUCGAUGUCAAUUAGUUUAUAUACAGCCCAGUGCUAUUUAGACAUCGUUUAUAUUCAGUAAAGGAACAGUGGAGCUACUUACACUUGAGUAAUCUGCCUGCUCUCGUGAUUCCCUCGCAAAAUUGUGAUCCUAUCUCUAUACCGCACCUUCAAAGCCACUAACAACGACACGGUCUCAACAGAAUAGUAUCCACGAUCUGCAACAGAACGAACAAGUGUAUGGUUACCUAAAAUGUCCAUAAACAAGACAAAUCGAACGCAUCUGGGAGGAACUAAACCUUUUCCAAAAUAAAAAGCUACAGGCCUAGAUUUGGCGACUAUCUCUCAUCGCUCUAUAUCAGAGCACUAAUCAUUGACAGAAGCCUACCACAGAACCCUGUAGUCUUGUAGUACUUUUCCUUUAUCAGGUACAGCAGUCUUUCACUGAAUCGGGUUGACCUUGCUACAGUUCCAAUAUAAGAAAUUUGGAAUUGCGGCACCAAGCACACAUGGAAAAAUUCCUGUCACACGACACGGCUUCUGUUUGGAAAACAGGUGGUCAUGUACAGGGAGUGUGAUGAAGUUUUCAGCUACACUGGAUUGCGUUCCGAAAAUCACGCUGGCAACUGCGUCAGACCAUGUGACCAACAUGUUUACUUCCACCAAAUCAAAUCACCAAUCUCACUAACACAGGAUACGAUAAACUACCCAUUGGAAAGUGCCAUCUCCCGAAGGCUUUCGAAAAAACGGGCGGAUAAGCACAUUCGUUAAGAAGCUGCAACACCUAACCAGAAACAACCAGUACUGACCAGCAAGAUGCUAAGAUUAAAAUUCCCCUGAUCCAAUUAACCAAAAACCGGAUAUAGAGCUAGUUGACGGGAGAAAGGAUCUCCAGUAACAUUAUUAAUCUUAUCACAGGAGCAUGACUUCGGAGUAUGUCAAAGUUAAAAAGCCAAUGCGAUAAAGUGGCAAGUGGAUCACACAAUACAGAUGCGAUCCGCAGCCCAGGCCUAGACUGAACAUCUGCGAUGAUCUGUCGGUGUAAAAGUAUCAGACAGCUACACACUCACAACUGGCAUUUAACAAAUGAACAUGUACACAGUCCCAUUUUCUGGGUGAGAGAUUCGUGCAACAAAACCACCGUGUAUAAAAUUGCAGAUAAUCUCUUACGCCGGUUCCGAAAAUGACGUGCGUACAACUGGCCAUGAGAUUACCACGUUCUGAAGGGCAGGAAGCCAUCAGGACGAUUCAAGCGCUACUUGAUUAUCUAGAAAGCCAACAAAUCCUGUGCGAUCAGCGACCAGAUUGAUUCAUUACCCAAAUUCUACCGAAGCAAAUGCAAGCGCAACGCACUAUUUUGAGUGCACAAAGUGCGGAGAUCUCGUGCACGAGAAAGCUCUUACCCACGGGAGGAAGAGAACUUCCUACGAUGCAAAGAGGGAAACUGCGUGAACAGUACAACGCCAAGGCGAGAGCUCGACCACUGAGCUGUUUGGGCUAAACCUUGAGAUCCAAUGACAGACCGGAGACGAGAUAUCCACAAGGAAAAAGAUCAGUAACGAACGAUCACCUCUUUCACCACAAGUGCCACUCGCAUUGGGUCACAGACACUUUAAAGGAAGAAGAAAUUAAAAUUGGGCAUCUGAGCAAAUACAUAAAUCCGCAACUUACCCACGUAGUCGCCCAUGAACAGGUAAUUCGUAUCGGGCGCCUUGCCUCCGAUGCGGAAGAGCUCGAUGAGAUCGUGAAACUGGCCAUGGAUAUCUCCGCACACAGUGACGGGACAUUUCACAGGCUGCACAUUCCACUCCUCCACCAAGACCGUCCGAGCCUGAUCACACAGGUUCUUCACCUCCAACUCAGACAACGGCUUGCACUCCGUCAGUUGCUCUAUCUGCCGGUCUACAUCUGCAUAGGACGGCAUUGUGCCAGCCUCGCAAAAAACCCCGCCCUAUACCAAACCCUAACCAGCCCGCUUUCUCGAGCUAUUUCGAUUCCCCCUUCCCUCACCCUUUCCUCUCCAACAACACUCUACUCCACCACCACUUUCGGUCACGACUCACCACAAACACGGACUUACACUAACACUCCACACGCUGCAACACCUCCUGCUCAGCCGAUCCAGCUACUAUCGCCCACGCGCAAAGUAGCAGAAAAACCGCGAUCCCGCACCGUUUCCCAGUCCGUAAAAGCGAAAUGAAACAAAGCGAGCAGCUCUCCUUCCUGCAGAAGCAAUGCCUGAACCUGCUUGCGCCUGCCAGCUGCGACUCAGCGCAGGUGAAGAGGGCGCGAGUGCUGGCCAGGCACAACCAAGGCAGAGUCCAGAAAGAGGCAGAGUCAAAGCUCAGCGACAACCGGCCACAGCCACCACGCUCCCCUGCUCUACACCACCCCCUCCCCAAGCCCCGCCCGACGCCCGACUUCUGCUUCCUAUCCGCCGGCAUACCCCUGGCUGUCCCCUUGCGUUUCCGUGAGUCCACGUAGGAUGAUCAGGUGUGGGGUCCAGUGACAGCGCACUGGUUCGCAAACUCACACCCCGAGGUGGUUUCAGUUCGGUAUAAUCGUCGAGGGUUCGAACCCUGGUCACAGCGAGGUACUAAUCCCAUCUACUGAGAGCCACGUGGUGAUGGUUUUAGAAAUGUUUUUGAUAGUGGGCUGAUAUGUAAGAAACAUAAAACAAUAUUAGAAUUUUAAGUAUGUCUAUUUUUGAGUUUCAAAAUGAAAUACCUUAUACAUAGAGAUAUAUUCAUUUAAUUAUUGUAGACUUAAAUAGAAGUAAAUUUGGGUAUUUGACAAAGUUCUUAGAUUUUGCUUAUAUAUUUGUUUUUUUAUAUGGGACUAUUUAUUGAAAUUGAAUCAAUUAGGGAUUGGGGUUUUUUUAAAUUGGACUUAUUGUUGUCGUGUAUUAUCCAAGAUAAUUAUUUUUUAAAGAUUUAAGUGUAUGAAGUGUUGUUAAUUGACAAGUAGUAAAUAAUUGAAAAUAAGUGUAAGGAUAAUUGACACUGCAAGUGAUAAAAGUAUACAGUAAUUUUACAUGAAAUUGUUUAUCUCACCUAUCUGAAUUCAGAUAUCUGGCAGUUACAGUAAUUCUAAAGCAACUAAAUAUUCUAAAGUAGUUGUUGACCAUUGUUUUAACUCUGGCUCGUUGUUUUGUUUUAUUUUGUUCCAUGUUUUCCUUUGGGAAUUGUAGAGUAUAAAAAGACAAUAACUGGUUGAUGUAGUCGUGAACGAUUUUUUUUUUUUUAAAUAAUAAUAAUAAAUAAUACGAAUUAGAAAUUUUUAAAAAAAGCUGUUAAGACUUGGCUUGAAGUACCAUGAUUUUUCCUUGAUAUAUAACUUACUACAGUAUGUUGCACGAUUUCACAUUUCAAGUGGAGAUGAGCAAUAAAACUUUCAUUAAUUUUUUUUUUAAUAAAAACAUUGCUCCUGCAAUAACGUGUCUAUGUGAUGAUAUCUGAAGAUUGUCAACCACGCUUGCCUAAGUGCAAACACUCAUUAAUGGUUCGGAAUCUGUUCCUAAAAAUAACAAAACCUGAAUAAUCUGAGCUCAAUCAUCUCCCACGCUUAGUGAAAAAUGAUGAAUCGUUAGUUAGCUUCGAGAUUGUUUGCGUUCACAUUGAUGUGUGACCAUGGUUGUAUAAUUGACGCUUUUGUUUGAUGAACAGCAAGCCCUUUGCUCCUGUGCAGGCUUUCGAAUGAAAGCACAAUGUAAACUUGAACGGAAAACUCACUGCCGCACUUCUGGAUCCAGGUCUCAUGGUUAAUUUCAUGGUUGCAGCGUUCAUCUCCAUGGAAACUCCUGACAACGAGAAGGUAACAACCCGAUUUUGCCGUGUUCGUUUCUCCAGGAUGGAAAUUCAAGGGAGUGAUGGGUCCAUGAUCAGUGGAGUGCUCUUGGUUGUGUGCUAAAUGGAAAAGAGUGCGCACUUCUGUGUAUAUAUAAACAGGGGAUGUGUUAAUCGUGUGUGGAAUUUGACGGUGCAGGUGUGUGGUCCUCGACUACUCACAUCAGAACAUCCACAGGCAAACCCACGACGAAUCCAUUUAAAUCUUAAACAAUGGGUUUUAAGGGUGAAUUCCCAGCAUUUGCUUACAACAAAGACUCGAGUGAUUCCCCACGAGAUUUUCUUACUCGGAGUAUGAAACCGGGAUACUAAGGGUUUUGCACACUUCAUUGGAGGCCGCGCGACACAGGUUUCAGGAGACGUUACAAAUGGUCGACUUCAAAGAUGCUAUGCUUUCAGUUUACCGUUGACGUGCAAUGAUGUAGUGUCUCAACCAAUGCUCUCUUGACAGUGAAGUUGCAUUUUGAAUUAGCACGUUUGUUCGAUGUGAGGAGAUUAGAGAACUAAGCGGUUGGUUCAGCAAUAGUGACACGCAAUCCGUGGAUGUCAGUGACAACUCUCCUCCAAAGCUUUCGAAGCUGCGCAAGGAUACAGGAUGAUCGUUGAUUUAUAAUUCAUGACAAUUGAUCCCGCGUCAUUCCAAGGCUAAGGUAAUUUAGUGAGGGUAUGUAAUGUGAAUACAUCUACGCUUCUGUGUAAGUGAUUUCAUUUGCGUAGAAGGAUGUGAAAUGUGCAACGUGUUUCAUAGUAGAAUCAAUUUUUUUAAUCAAACAUUAAUUCUGAUGUUAUUGUAAUGUUGUUAUCAUUACAAUUGAGACAUAAUAUUCUCAUUAUUUUUUAAAUCCCUCCAUGCAGCAGCCGAUUUUUUCAUUAGCUGAUCAUAGAAUCAUUCUAUUGCACUAAAAUAUGUGUUCAGAAUGUGAGAGUAUAGUGUUUAUUACAUUUCGCUAAGUGUGGUGUUUUUAUUUUAAACUCCCAUUAAUGUUGAAUGUUGUUUAUAACGAUCAUUUCACUUGCUAGAUGGGUACCUUCUAGUUAUGAAACUAGAAAAUUCUGGAAUUUCAGAAUCUAUUUAACUUCCAAACUCAGCUGCAUUGGUAGGUGCAGAAUGGACGCCCCCACGCUCGUAAUACCAAGACGAAAAUAUGGAGUAACAUGCAGUCUCCGAUCUUCUAGGCUAAGAAAAGUCCGACCCAAUUUAGUACACAAGGCAUGUCUACAUGGACACGUCUUCGAAAAAAAUCUAAAAAGUAAAGGCAGAGUUUUAUCAUACACUUCGUCCAAUACAAGCACGGGGUUGUCCUGUCAACGUGUAUUGGAGAGUGAAGUUUUCUUUCCGGUAGGCCAAGCAUGUAGAGUUUCUUCACCUACGGCGAGAUAAUACACCAGAAAAUAAUAAGUGAACAAAUUUAUACAGCAGCAAGAUGUAUCAUUUAAGGCACUGGAACACAUUUACUAAGGCUUGACCAAUAGACAAGUGUUCUAAAGCAAAGUGCACGUAAACUAAUUGCAUCCUGAACAAUCGAUGAAAAAGCAGAAACAGUUAGCAAAACCAUCCGGGAUCAGCAGAAGUGAUCGUAUUCACAUACAUAGAUCAAGCCCCAUUUUGCAGAUGAAGAGCUAGGUGCAAAAACUGAAGACUAAAACCCAGAAACACCUACCGUUUCUGUCACUAGUUAGUUACCCAUUUGUGGACUUGUGGUGAUCAUCAUCGAUGGUGGAGUAUAUAUAACCUUCAUUGACAAGAAAAUCAAUCGCCUCCCUGCAAAUUUCCACGUGAUAAGAUUUUUUUCAUUGUAGAACCGUCUAAGUGAACACACAUGGACGAGAAAUUUCAACGAAUCAAAGCAGUGAAAUAACAAGAUCAUAACUACCUGACUUGAGCUCGAGUAAAGCCAACCAUCCUCUGAACAACUUGAUCAACAUGAAGUCCCUGCUCAACUUGUCUACAGACAUGACAAAUAUUCGAGCGUAAGCUUGGAAAGUCCUUUUGAGACUCGUUGUACAUCUACAAAAGAUGCAUAUUACCCUGUUUAUGAAAUAUAAGUGCAAAAUAAAGGAGUCAUAGUCUCAAAGAUCAGAGUGAAAGAAAGGCACUGUGUAUUACAGGCUAGCAGGCUCUUCAUAUAUGCUGUGGACCCUCCUCUGACAUUCCUCCUUGGCUCCACCAGCAGGUAUUGCUGAGGAAGCAAUGGGUGUCUUCACUGGCGUAUACAUCCCAUUCUGUGGAGUUGCCAUUGUGUUCCCUAGAGCCGGUGUAGCAACCGCAGAUACUCCCCCCUAGAACAUGAUUUUUUAACAGACUGAUUAGGAUCUGUUGAAUUCUUAAAUAGAUCGAGAAUAUACCUCGCAAUAGGCUAUGCCAACAAUAGAAAGAUCCAGGAAAUCAAUUUCAAGGGAAGUGGCAUACUCACCUUCCGUGUUCGAGAAAGGUGCACAUGGAUCACCUCGAGAAAGUGAAACGUGACUUCAUUAAAAUCAGUAAUAGGCCUGCAUAAAAGUAUGUAACAGGCUAUGAUCAAACAUGCUGAAAGAACAAGAAAAUGGCUGCCAAAAUCUAUUUGCGUUGCACAUAAUUUUUUUGUUUGGCCAAUUUGAAUCCAUCCUCUUCGAAUAUAUAUGAACGAUCGUAUAACUAAAACGUUGCAUGCAAAACAGAACCAUUUGCAUGUGAAAGGCCGAUCUUUUGCAGAUCGCAAUUACAUUUGAAAGAUGAAUAUAGAAUAUGCAAUAGCCUUAACAGCAAGUACCUUACAGAGAAGGCUACUACAUUAAGCUUAUUUUGAAAAGUCCGUAAAUGACCGUGAACACGGACGUACAUAAAAUUUCUGGAGCACAACCCAGAUUAAAUUCAGUCAACACAUGAUUAGAACAUAAUGAUAAUAUUGCAGCCUGAAGAGGCAGUCAAAACAUUGCAUCCACAUUAAAGAUUACCAAAACCAGCACCUACACACUUGAUAAAGCCAAAGGGAAGAAGGCACUGAACUAUUAGAACUGUUGGAUCAAUCUCAAACCAUGCGACAAAAACCAAUUUCAUCAAUAACCCAACCGUUUUCACAUAAAUACACAAUGAGAAAGUGUGCUUACUGUACGCUUUGCAUUUCAAAGUACUCAUAUGAGUCCUGGCCAUCAAUCCUGCGGUGGAGCAUCAUGAUUUUUUUGUUACAACACUGGGACGAACAUCCUUCCAAUUAGAAAGUUUGGAAGUGCUACAAAUAGAUUUACAGCACUUAAUUUGGAUCCAUCACAGGUAAGUUAAUAUACACAGUAUAAACAUUACAUACUGGACUAAUGACUCGCCUAGCCAUUGUUGGUCAAAGACUGGGAAUUCAGAAGAUCGACCAUGAGCUGAUAGGAAAUGGUGCAAACCCGUCGCAAGAGCAUGCAAAGAGAAAGUAGCUAAACGGACUUGCGUAAUUACGAUAAGCAAUUGAUGAUCCUGAUCUUUGAAUAAAGUCAGGUACGGUACACAUAGUGUUGUAAAUGACUGUUACACGUUAACAUAAUUAUCCCCACCAACAUAAAUAUGCGGAUCAUGAAAGCAAAGGCAAAACAAAAAGAAAACUGACCAGCGUUUGACCUCGAUGCGGCCUGUUGUGUCGUCCAACAUGAAAGAAGUAUCGAUAUUUCUCUCAUCCUUGUCAUGCACCAUGCCCACUAGGGUUACCUGCAUAGGUACAAAUACAAAGACAACGAAUAAGCGUGUAAGUCACUAUGGCAUCCUAAACAACUUGCAUUGACGACCUUAAACUUGGAUAAGUAAAAAUAAAGGAUUUGAAGAGACUGAAGGUAAGAGAAACCACCUAACAGUUCAUAUUCACAAAUGGACAUUGAUUUCGCUUACAUUGCUCAAUUAAACGAAUUCAAUAUCUCACAGAGAAAGUAAGACCUUCUCAUGCAAUGAAGAAAGGACUGGAGCAAGGUAUGUAACGACUAGGCAAUAAGAGAGGAGCAGGUGCAAUAGGCAAGCUUUUCCACACGUACAUUAUUGAUCUCCAGUCCAUCGACGUAGAAAGCAUCAUCUCCAGGCUUCUGUGAAGCUUGACUGAUCAUCUUCACUGUCAAGGGCUGCAGUCCACCGUCCUGACCCCCUGAUCUCUGGAAACUCCCGCCAAAAACCUCAGUAUCAUCAGCGAACCUAAAACGAAGUCCAAUAAACCCUAGGUACCGCAAGAAUAUUACGAAUGCGACGAUUCUAAACAUUUCUAGUUAUUGGGUUGCAUUAACUUCUGGCAAAGAUGAGUUCAGCAACACUAUUAGGGGAUUACUAAGAUAGAAGCCCAGGGUUCACGCCUCAUAGGAGACAGUUGCACAAUUGAGAGAAAAAUAAUAAGCAAGCUCCAAAUCCAGUGUAAAUGAAGUGCAUGUCGUAGUUCAGCUCAAGUUCAUAAAGUUUACAUGCACGAUCGAGUUUUGAGGACCCACAAAUUAGUCGGACAAUAGUGCGUACCCUGCUAGCUCCUGAGACAGAGCUGCUGAACUCAUUGCCAGUGGCAGCUUGCGACGGCAUGAAGCCACCCCCAGCAAACAAGGACGCAUCUCCGCCACCUCCACUCUCUUGAUACAUGUCUUCUCCUUCCUUUUCUCUCUCCCUCCCUCGCUCUCUUCACAAAUCCUCAAUAUCAAACCUGCCUCAAUUCUUUGACAAGCAAACAACAGUGGCACCCUGAAACAUAAAACGACUAGAACCUCUCGAAUCACGCUGCAGAAGCGUGCGGGUUUGAAUUUUUACGCUGCAAACACAAAGCCAGAUUGUGGCGCCGUGGUUCGAACCCCCCAAAAAUACUUAAAGGAUCAAUGGAAGGUAGGGUCUGUCCCUUCGUCUCUUCUUUCUACCAACGUCUUCCCGCCCAUUUGUCGUCGACACCACGAACCCCGAUUCUUAAACCUUCGUGGACAUAGGGCACGCUGGUAGGGAUACGCAGUCAUAGGUGCAGUAGUCCUUGCGCUUUUUUUGGGUCUGAUUGAGGUAGGGAGGGAAACUUGUAAAAAUCAUCUUGUAGCACGACUUGGGAAGUAUAUCGUUGUAUUUCAGGGAAUAGAUGAGCUUUUAGUGAACAGUGCGAGACAAAUAUCAAAUAAUAUGAUGGAUCAUGCGUGAUUUGAAUGUGUGACUCGCAAGUGAAGCUGCUCAACAUGUCGUUGGACUGUGUACAUCUUGGUAGGAUUUGCUCAUCGGUAAAUGAAUUUAUGAAAUCCGAGCAUGACCGAAUCCCAAGUGUUUCAUACAACGUGUCCAGCAAUAUAUGGAUCUGCAGUUGCCAGCAUCAUGUUUCAAGUGUCACGGCACCGCCCAGAAAAAGCUGCAAAUGAAUCCUUUGAGUGUGAGAACUGAGUUGGGUUAUCCGGAAUCGAAUGCGAACAAUCGACUGCGGAGCUUCUAUCCUUGAUAGGUAAUUCCGUUCUGCUUUUGAACAGCAUUUUCAUUCUAGCCAACUGGUCUUCGCAAACCGAAGGGGGAGGUUCACACUUUGAAUUUGUCUCCGUUUGUCAUCGAGACUCAAUUUCUCGAAAUUGCACUGCCAUGACUCUCUCCGACGCAGCUAACCAUAUCUUAUUGAACUCAGGAUUAUUGCAAUCUCGGACGCUGGGGGAAUUUGUCCUCCAAGAUUCAGACCAGCCAUUGCCUGCGCAGAACCUGUUCUCUUCCUCUGAUGCAUUGCCUACCAUCGACCUUUACUGUGCAGGCGCAGCGGAGCAGUUGGCCGCAGCCUGCCGGGACUGGGGCUUUUUUCAGAUUCAAAAUCAUGGCAUCCCACUGGAACUUCUAAACCGACUACGAGCACAUUCUCACUCAUUCUUUGAGCUGCCAUUGGAACAGAAGGAGCGAGCAGCCGCAUGUAGCGCAAAUAGCUUCUAUGGCUAUGGAAUUGCGAAGGGACGUACGUACUCCCCCAACGCAUGGAUGGAGGCCUUUCACAUGGAAUGGACACCUGCCUCACAAGUGCGCAGGCACAUGGAACGAAUUGGGAUUCCCCAACCUCAAUUCGAAGGUUUCUGGUGAGCAAUUCUGCGGUAACCUGGUUCAGUUUUGUACAUGGAAUUUCCAAGCCUCUCAAAAUAUGGAUUCUGAUGCUCUCAUGCUAGGGUUGACUUCGGGCGACUUAUCAACAAUCACUACGAAUUUUUCGAAUUCUAACAUUUGUUAUCGAUGCGCGAGAUACUUUUGAAGUGAGGCGGUGGAGCAAUACGCUUCUCAGGCGGAGAAGCUGGCCGUGCAGCUCAUGGAACUUGUGGCAUUAGGUCUUGGCCUGGACGCAACAACCUUCUCUCGGCACUUUGCAGGGUCGAGCACCUCAACUGUGCGCAUGAACUACUACCCACCUUGCCCACAGCCCUCUCGGACGCUAGGAAUCUCGCCACAUUCGGAUUUCAACAUUUUCACAAUCCUGCUGCAAGACACCGUUGCUGGGCUGCAAGUGCUUAAGGACAAUGACGAGUGGGUCACCGUGAAGCCAAAUCCUAACGCACUGGUUGUCAAUGUCGGCGACACUUUACAUGUGCGUUAUCGUAAAACCAAAACCCUCAUAUCCUUGAACCAUCAUCUCAACUUCGUAACGCUUGUCUAGAAACCAAGCUUCUGCUUGAAAUUUUGGAGCUAGUAAGUCACAUGCAUCUUCUAAUGGAUGCAGGCUUGGAGUAACGGGAGAAUCAAGAGCGUGAUGCACAGGGCCCUCGUAAACACAACAGAACCCAGAUUAUCGGUGGUUUACUUCUUCGGUCCUCAUCCUGACACAAAGAUAGACCCUAUACCGGCGUUGGUAAGCAGUGAUUGUCCCCUACGAUAUAGAAGUUUUGUAUACAAACAAUUCGUCGAGCAGAUCCUGCAGAAUCGCGGUAAGAAAGUCUUCGAGAGUCCCCUCAACUCUCUUCUUCUGUAGCUUUGAAUCUUUCAUGGUUUGCUGCAAAGGUUACUUUUGCUGUUGCAAAAAUCACAUCAAAUUGAGAGCCUUUAAUUAAACAGAAGUUUGUAGAUGUACUUUCUCCAUUAGAGUCCAUAUUAUUGCUUGCAUCGUGGUGUUCAAUAUCCAUAAUCCAGCCAAGGACUGCAGAAGUCUCGAUGAGUAUUUCUGGGUUUCAACUGAUGAAGAUUGAGCAUAAUUUCCCAAGUAAAUAGUGCAUGUCGGAGAGGGUGGGCAGCCUAUAGCAGUGUGGUGAUAAAUGUCUUCUUCGAUGAUUCAAUGGAGAACUGUGAAAGACUUAGCAAGCUCUACUUAACUCAUUUACUCCUUUUUUUGUGAAUGUGUUUUUGGGGUCCAGAUUCUUUUCCUCUUUCUCAUGAAGUAACGAAUUGACACUUUAAAACAUCUCCUGAAUUAACAAACAUGCAAUGUUCUGUGUUGAGAGCCAGCUAAAUAAGCAAAGCACCAGAAUCGAACUUUGGAGAAUGGCCAUUUGGAAAAUCUUUGCAGAACAGCACAUUAAUUUUUUGUUUUGCUUUUCUUGGAGUGAUAAAAGAAAAUUUUCUAGAUUGUUCAUCUUGAGGGAUGUCUCUAGCAAAUAGUCCUACAGCAUUAUGAUAUACAAUAUUAUACAACAUUUGAGAGUUGUUGUAUACAUUUAGCAUGUGAUAGAGGUUUUUCCCUACACAACGUAUAAAUAUACGAUUUUAAUAACUUAUUGCAUAAUAGUUAUUUAUUUGAUAGCACAUAAUUGUUUAAAUUUCAUUACUUCUUCUAUUUUGCAAUAAAUACCAUAAGAGCAGAACUACAUAUUUAGAAUAACCUAAAUUUAUUUUUCAAAUUUUCAAUCUUUGUGUAAUUUUCAACACCUAGCUAUCCACAUGAAAAUUGUAAUUUUUUCUUCUUUUGUUUACUUUUCAUGUAAAGUAUCUUCUAAUAAAUAAAAAUAAUAAUAUAUAACAAUUAAUAUUCCAAAAAAACAUAAAGUCUUCAACAUGGCCUGCCUGUUGGUUAUUAUGUACAAAGACAAAACUAAGACCACUCUUUAUAUUAUCACUAGCUAUCUUGUAUUUUAUUCUUAAUUCAAGAUUAUUUAAUCCUUUAAACUUGGUAAUAACUAUUUUAAUAUCUUCUUCUUUUAUAAUCAUAUUUACUUUCAUUUUUAAUAUAUUUUUUUUGUAAAUUUAUUUUUAAAAUUUUAAUAUGUUUAUAUUUUAACAUACAUAUUAGCUUUUUAGAAAUGUUGUUAAGGAUUUUUGGUUACAUAUAAAAAUGAUUGUAAUAUAUUAUUUAUUACUUAUUAUGCUUUUGUAGAUGUAACAUAGUAUUAAAAUUUAAUGCUUAAUUAAUCUACUAGUUUUUUAACUAUUUGUAAUUACACAUAGAUAUCAUAUUUUUAAAUUUAUUUAUUUAUUUGUAUAAAUUUAAAGUUAAAUUUAUAUUCUUAUUUGAUACUAUUGCAUUGUACUUUGAUUAUUAUUAGUGGUGUCACUGCUAUAAAAAAAAAUUAUUUUAAAUAAUUGCACAAUGUCUACUAAACUCUAUAUAAUUUUUUAAAAACCAUGCUUUAAUAUAUAGCCAUCCCAAAUAAGAUGUUCUUUUAACCAAUAUGUAUAAAAAUAUAUUUUGAUGUUUCUAUUUACUAAUUGAAUUGUUUUUGUUGGUUUUAACAUCUAGUCAACCCUUUUGGAAUGCAACUAAUAUUCUAUCAUUAUUAAUAAUUCAUUUCGAUUUUUAGUACCUAAUUGGAUCUCUUUAUUUUUAAUGUAAUGAAUUUAAAGUAUUUUACUGUGCCACUAGACACAUAAGUAGAAUAUUACACUUGUGAAUUAGAGUAAACUCAAACAUUAAAGAACUAAGUAACUUUAACAAAAUUUGCACAAACUGCAAUGCUCCGGCGAGCAUCUCUGUGAUGCAAAACUGACGACUCUACGUUGACAAGCACGAUCUAUACGUGUAUUUCGGCUCAUUCAGAAAACAACAAUCAAACAUGGAGUUAAUAUACUAAGCAGGGUUAUAUGCCGCAGCCUUGUGAUAGCAAUUUCACACCAAAGACUGCAUGUUUUACAUGGAAGAACAACCACAUACAAAUAUGGUCAUUACACAUAAUUGACGAACAGUGAGAACGUCAAACAAAAUAGCGCUUGUUUCCAUAACCUUUUAUGUUUGUUCCAAAUUGGUGCACAUGUACGAGUUGACAAGUGAUAAGUCGAGAAGCCUUACACAACCCAUACAACGCAUUCUUAAUACUAGGGUGAAGAAUGAGAGCAACGAGGAUCAAACAAUCAAACAUAUCCUUUACUGCUGAAGGUAUAAGGAGUAACAACUAAUGAUCCCCUCCAACACUAGCAAAAGAUAUAAGUUUUGUGCCACUCAUGACUGCAAUACACACCUUAGGGAGCAACAAACUAAGACGCUUCCAUGUUAGAGACACCCAAUUCACCUAACAGAGCGCUGUGUAGCUAGUUGUUUAUCAAGAGCUUCACGUUUCUGAGCUCGCUUGGCCCGGCGGCCAGUAGCCUCUUUCGGAGAAGCCUUUUCCUUGCCUUUUCCUGGACGGAAGGAAGAAGAUCCCGCUUCAUCAGCUUGCGCAACUGCAGCUGCUAGAUGCCGGACGCCCACAGGUCGUGCCUCGCGACGGCCAGCACGGACAUAACCAUUGUCACCCCAACGUCGAUUCCCAAUGCGCACGUUAGACUUGAAAUAGUAAUCAUCAAAUUCUUCAUCUUCAUAGUAGUCCUCGGGUUCUUCUGGCUGGGCGAAAACGGGCAUGCCUUCAAACCAAGAUGCUCUCAGCAGAAGGCAGACGCUUUCUUCAAUUAGAUAAUCAUUGAGGCUGUACACAACAAUUGCUCCUCAGAAAACUCAUUCAGAAAUAUAUACACACACACAUAUAUAUAUAUAUAUAUAUAUAUAUAAGCAUGUCAGCUGAUUAAUAAGAAUAGGCCGUAAUAAUGAAACAGUUCAAACACCUGCACUGAAAUUUACAAUAUUAAACUCCCGUACUAACGUAUGACCGCAGUGGCAAAGAGUUGCAUGUAGAUUGACCAUAAGUAGCAGAAACCUUGAGGCAAUCAACUGUUGAACAGACAGAGGCAUAACUCUGAAUAAAAACAUCACGUUCAGUUAUGCUCAAAGAUCAUGACGUUUGUGCGAACUUUACACGAGUUACAUUAAUCAUUUGAAGAAGAAUAUGGAUUCUACAACACAAUUGGACUAGGUUUGAGACACAAACCUCCCAUCAAGCGAUCUGUAUACAUACAUCUCGGUGAAAGGAAGUCGGCACUGAGGGCACCAGGUAUUAUUCUGAUACAGGGCCCAUCGUAAUAUACAAGUAACGCUGCAUCAAUUAGAUAAACAGAGGGUUAAUUUACUUCAACAAGCCACAACCAACAGACGAGCCCCAGAUUACAAACAUUUAUAACUUUCCAGGGUAACAUGAUAACUCCUUCAACACAACCAGAAAAUCUAGCUACAUAUUGGUUGGCCACAGUCAUAUGCAAAUAAUGAUAUUUUGUCAAUCAAAUACGCACAAGCGAGAUCCGCCAUCGAUUCAAUUCUGGAAAUAUUACCAAUAAGAGUGUUCGCAUCCUUUGAUUUGAGAUGUCUCUGCUAGCUUAAUUCUAUCUAAGCAGAUGGCACAAAUAUCAGGAUCAGAUGGACCUGCGCUCCCGCCCACCUGACACCCCCCAAUGAACACAACUUACUACACGAAGAAGUCUCAUACCUGCAUUGCAAAUCAAACUGAACUCCAAAAAAUCAUUAUUCGUCAUUCAAAGAAUGACUCAUGUGAUAAAGAUAUCAGGCAAGUCCUGAGUAAAAAAUAAAAAUAAAACCCACGAUAGUAGCAGUGCUGAACGCAUAGCUACGUAACAAGUUGUUAAAAUGAAAUAAAGAAUUAAACAUGCAACGACAAUUCGAAACUCACCACAUCAGAAAAAGUCAAGGCUGGUACACUAACACUAGCCUGUUCCUCAAGUUUCUCCUCAAGGGCGGCAUGUGUAUGCACUCCUCCCAGAGAUUCCUUGGGGCCUGUGCUUCCUCCAGGAACUUCUGCUGCUGACGAAAGUGAGGCCACAAUUCCGGAUAACUCCUCCGUGUUAUAAGCUUCAUCAUACGUACCAUGACUAUCAGCUGAAUCACUAACCGCACCACCACCAACUGCAUCAGUCCAUACCUCAUUGACAGACAUUGUGUCACUCCUUGCCACAAUUCCGUCCAUGUCUCGAGAAUUCCAGAGUAAACCCUGAAUCAGCUCUAAAAGAUGCACAGUAGACUCGACGAUCUGAAAAUUGUGUACACCAGGUUAAUUCCAAUUGAGAGGGAAACUGCAACGGUGCAGGUAAUCGUAUUACUCCGCUACUCUGUUUCUUGCCCGCCGAACUCGUGAUCACUAUCACACCAAAAGCAGCUAAGGCAAAGCUCGUGCCAAGUGGUGGAUGCGAGCCCCAAAGUUGUCAAUUCCUGAAAUGUCCGCAAUUAGGCUCUAUACCAGCUCCAAUCAUGUAAGUAACACAAGUGAGAGCCCUUCAAUGUUAGUAGCUGAACGCGACCUCACGGGAAUCCACCUCCUGGGGCGGACUUUCGUUAAAGAAGCACCCAGGGGGCCCAGGGUCGGUAGCGACAACGCGUGCCGAAAUAAGAUGCCAAGCAUCGGAACGAAGUCUGUAACAGAACCAAGCCUUUAAGGCAAUGAAAUUUCUUCACCAGGAAGAUCCACGACCUUGAAAAGAACCGAAACGCUCACUGCACCAGAAUUCUAGGUCGGAGACUGUCCCAAAAUUCCUGAGCCAAGGAUCAACACAUCAGCUUUCGACGCAGCCAUGGAAAAAGCCUGAGUGCCAAUUCCAAUCCCUCACCACACCAACUCCACAUAAAAACUUACUACCUUAAAUAAUCCAACUAAAACAAUCAUCGUAGAAUACUAUUUCGGCAUUCAAAUGCUGCCUCGCUCCAUCUCCCCACCUCCGACAUGACCACCUUCAAAGCCUGUAAAACUUUCUAAAAAGCACAAGAACUGUCAACACAAGGUCCACCAAGCCAAUUCAAUCGCUACAAACGUCAAAAAACCACCACAAACACUUCGCGCUAGCCUACAAACCUCUAUUUCUCGCAGCAACUUCCUGCGCAAGCUGAACCACAACACAAAAACUCACCCACUCAGUGUCCACGCAAAUUCAAACGGCUGGUCCGAUUCCCGAGGAAGAGAGCACUUUGCAACCGCCACACGACGGCCACAACCAAGCCACCUAACACCGACGCAAUCACAGCCCGCAGCUCGAUCAGAUCGCUAAACAAAACCACUGGACAUGGCUGCCGAGGGUUUCACACAAAAGCGACCAUGGAAGAGCUCGGUGGAGCCCUCCUGAGCUGUAGAAUUCGAGACCCACGUUCAAGCCCCACCGGUGGCCGUCGGAUUUCUCUCCCGGAGUCUCAGCGGUCGAUACCAGUUGGUUAGACCAGAGAAUGUGGAUUAUGCUGUGUUUUGCUCUGUGAUUCUGACAUAUGUGUUACCAUCUCUCGUUGUGAAAUUACGGACUAAUCUUCUGGGUGUGUCGAUCGCUCCGACAGCCAUGCGUCUGGAAGUAAUUGCUAAAUGAAGUUGGGGUCUUUUCGAUCGAAGUGGUGACAUGUCCACCGUCAUGCAAGACUCGUUUUCACCACCAUCUGAAAUGACGCCAUGCCUACUACUACUCUGAGCUAGGGUGUCCGAGUGGCACCCUAAGCCCCUACCUGGAGGCGUUGAUGUGGAAAAACUAAAUAUGUGGAAGACUUCAUGUCUCCGUGUUAUUGUGAUCUCAUGGGUUUUGAGGUCCAAACAGAGAUUGAACGAUAUGUUGCUGGAUUCAAAGGUUGAAGUCACGCAGAAGACUUUUACAGUCAGCACUAUCCUUGUAGAGUCAAGUUAAGACUUCAUAGAAAAAGCUCUUCCGCUUGGACAUGGGUCAGCACUAGUCAAACUUAGUGAUUGCGGGAUGGACAAUUCAAAGCGUAAAGAUUAGCAGAUGUAAAGUUCUGCACAUUUUAUCUCUAAUUUCCUGACUCAAGGAAAAGCUACGGUCGUACUGUCUUGAUAAUUAAAAUAAGAAAAGAAAAAAGUGUAGCAAGACCUGUCACAGUGACUUGCGAUUCUUUCAGAAGAAUCGGGGAAUCAAGAAACUAACCUUCUUUUUACUUUUUUCUUUUUUUUAAUGAACCUGCAUUUUUUUGGAACUAUCCUAUAGAUCAAAGUAGGAUAUCCUGCACAACAUUUAGCUGGUCGACGUAACUACUCUUUGUAUUGAUGCUAGGAAUAGCGUCACCCUCCGAUUAAUAUCGUUCUCGAUGAAAUUCUGCUUCACAUGAGUUAUGUUUUGCAGAAUGAAAUGCGGUGACUGGACUAGAAUGCAGAUCUCGAGGAUUGUGAAUGCAGAAUUUGCCUUUCAGAGUAUCUGAUCUGUUCUGACGUCGGUUGCCGGAAUGCCUGCAUAUAUUGAGCGGAGGGCUCCAUCCCAUAGCCUGGCUUCAAUAGCCUGCAAGAAGUCCACUCAAAGAGGGUAGUCUGAGUUUAAAUUACCCAUUGAAAAAUUAAUUAACAAAUAUUGAGUAAACUUUAAAGCUCGAAUUCGAGAUUCAAAAAGCCUGAAUAUCAACUGGUGACAGCUAGCAAAUGUGCGAAAGUUAGAGAUAGUGCAAGCACAAACUUGGUAUCCUGGAUUAGGAAGACAUAAAAUUUACUACAUUUUGAGUACGCACUGAAGAGGAUGUUACUGACCUUUGAUCUUUGGUGCUUGUAACCCUACUCUGAAUGUUGGUUUUUGCCACUUGCAACGCACGCAGCACAUCACAUAUGUUUUUAUUAGGUUCAGAUUUUGGAGAUCGUUGUACCGCGGAACCUUCUUGCGGGAAAUCAUGUGUCGGCCCGUAUCCAAGACUUAGAAUAAGCUCAGCACUGGAAUAGCCAUUUCGAUGUGAAUGCUGCUGUCUGAGAUCGCAGUCUAUCUGUUUUGCCAAAAGAUAUAACCAAAUAUUAUUCAUAUCGCCAGCAUGUCGGAAACAUUAGCAGCAUAAGAAGGAAUUGUCUUCCAGACAGUACUUAGAGAUUUAGUACAAAUGUACUGAAAAUAUUUCUUGUGAUCUACCCUAGCUAAUCAGAUUCGAAGGCUUUAGAAGAUGAAGCAUACACGAGUAGACAUGGCCAAUAGUUGAUUAAAAUGCAUAUGAGAAAGACGCAACGAUGACUGCAAGAUGCCAGCUUCGAACGUAGCGGAGAUACAGCAACUCCGAGCAGUACUACAGUCCAGGCAAAGUUCCACAAAUAGAAUCUAACCUUGGCAGCAGGAAAGCUGACCCGUCUCUGCCCACCUGCCCCAUGCACACUUUCAUCAGAGUAACGCCGAUCGUCAUAAGAUCCGGAGGCCCUCUCAAAGUUUGUAUGAGAUGUAUUCGAAGCCAAUGCAGCAGGAUGCCGAGGAUAGGACUGUCGUCUCCCUAAACCAGGAUUUGAUUCGUAGCGUUGAUGAAUCCCAUCAUACUCUUCCACAGCUAGCCAGCCAUUACUAUCAGAGUGAGAACUUUGAUGACGAUGAGCACUCCCAGGUUGAGAAUUAGUGCAAGACUCCUCUCUUUCGCUAUCCCUGCCACAAUGACUACCAUGGAAUUAUGUCACUAAUGAGUGCCAGUUACAAGAAAACUUCCAACACAGCACCAACAACACAGAAUACACAUCGAGCAUUGAUGAUAUGAUUCAAGUUGAUAGUUCAUCCACGUAGAAGCUAUUUAUUUCCAUUUGACAGUUAGCAUCGCCAUACCCAGGCUGAGCUUGCAGAUGACGUUCACUGAUACCCCGAUCAGUGCCCUCCCAAAUGGGUUGUCCAACCCUAAAAUCUGGUUGAAAGCUUCGGUAUACAUCCUCCUUUGACCUGUCAGAAAAAUUAAGAUCUCUCACGAAGACCUCUGACGUAUGGUAGUUAUCCAGAUAUCAAGUAACACUUUGGGACUGGCUGUGGGAAGAAGCCCAUAUCAGAACUACAAGUGCAGUGAAAAAUCGUCAAAGCAAUUGGUCCUCGGACAUGAAGUACGAAUACGCCUACACACUUGAGGGUUUAUGGAGAUAUAAAUGACUCACAUGGAAGGUGCAGCAGCGCGAUCCUUGUACAUUCGAGUACUAUGGUUCAAGUAGGUAGGAUCAAUUGGCACUUGCAUGUAUACUGCUUCAUGAUGUGGGCCACCAGCUCCAUGUCUCAACGGCUUCUCCCUAGUCGAAGAGUCUGGUUCAACGAACGGCUCUUCACGGCGAGGUAAAUUUAUUUCUGAAUUUCGCCCAUCGGAUCCCGUAGGAAGGUCCAAUGUGCUUUUGCUUUUGGCCAAUCUUGCCUGAUGAGACCUCAAGAAAGACGAACUAUCUGCGACGUCAUUUGCUUCAUGCCUAAAUUCUGCAUGUUGAUGGUGCCGAUGCCGGGCAGAAGCUUUUGGUAAUCGAUUGGUGUUAAGAUCAUUUCCCUGCCAUCAAAAGGUAUCGAUCCAUUGAAGCAUUGCAAUACUGACGGAAUCAAGACCAAAACAGUGAUGGGUACUAUCUCUGCUCGUACAGUUUUCCUACGUUCCAGUUCGCAGAGGCUAAGUGUGAAAGGGAGGUGUGCACGUACCUUAAACUGCUCUAAUUUCCGUUGAGAUUCCACGUAGUUUCUUUCCCAUUCUCGUUGCACAAUUUCUUGAGCUGCGAACUGUUCAUGCCAGAAUGCUGCCUUCUUCGGAUCUCCCUGCCACUGGCCCUUUUCUUGUACAAUGUGUGACGACAGCUCUGCAUUUUUCAAAUCGAAAAGAGACUAAAUGAGUGACAUCGCUCAAGGAGCACCUGAUUAUCAUCGUUGCGUUGAAUAAAGCUUCCGAAGAUAAAUGGACAGACAGCACAAUACGAUUUGACCACCAAAAAUAGUUAGUUGCCAAAAUGGCGUUCCUGAAUGGGGAGUUCUAAAUCCACUCUACAAACCUGGAUGAUCUUCUACCAUUUGCACUGGUGCAUCCUGAGAUUUCAUUUUUUCAAUUUCAUAUUUCAUGCACAUAUCAUGAGAGGGGCUAACUAGCUUCUUAGGAAUAAUAUCCUGGAGCACAGUAGGUACUUGGCCCAUCCAGCUCAUGAUCUCUUCACGCUCAACAUCUUCGUUGCUUUUCUCUUCGGCAAGAGCAGCAAUCCCUUCACUAAUCCCAUUCCAUAAGUCUCGUAAGCGGUUUUCAAUGGCAACCCUGUCCAACCACAUUUAGGGGAUUAAUUAACGUGGCUAUCCACCACAAAUUAAAUAUGAGUAUUUGUUAACAAUUCCACAAAAAGGACACGAGAAGCUGCCUCACAGUGAAAUUGAUCAAGUGAUUGUGCUAAUAUUUUGAGAGCACAGGACCAGCUCACUGGAAAAGAGCCUCAAUAAAAUACCUACAAGUUCGAGAUCGUCAUGGUCAUUGCAAUUACCUGUUAUCCUGCUUCUGAGGAGUCCCUUGAGAUCGCUCUAACGUUUUCAGAGGAGUGGGUCUCUCCCUGAGUCGAACUGGCACAGCUGAACGUUCUUCAAUCUGACUAGCAGUGUCUGGAAACUUUUUUUUAGUGUUGGGAUCCUCAUCCUCAACAGGAGCUCCAUAAGAAUUUGUCUGCGACAAUUUUUCAAAACUGCUUACAUCGGGCCGUGAGGAGCACUUGUCAUCCUCUAUACCCACCCUUGGCAUUGAAAGCGAGGACCCUCUGGUCAAAUUUGGAAUGUAUCUAUCUGAUACCUCGCAUGAUGUCCUUCCUGUCACUGGAUUGGAGCUUUCUGCAUCCAAAAUAGAUUAAAACCUGUCAUCCCAUAAAACUUAAAAUCUAAAACUUGGUUCUUGAAUUAGAAUGAACAAAAUUAAAAUAUGAAUCUCUUUACCCAGUUCAACGUAUGCACUCUAUUGAGCUGCAAGCGUAUCAGGUUGCCACUAUUCCACGAAGCAUCACAUUUAACUUCAUUAAAUCUCGCAUUGAUGACAAAUUCUCCGAAUUAGGACCAGUACACGGGAGAAUGGCAUGUAUUAACCUGCCAAUUUCAACUUCAUGACUGCUUCCUGGGUAGCGACCUGUGCUUUCCUCCGAUCUUCAAUCGCCUGGUCCAGCUUUACUUGCAGUUCAGAAACCUGGCAAUGUACACAAAUCUGCAUGAGCUGCUAACUCUUAACUCUCUCUAAUAACAUCCUCGCGAACAGAACUAAAAUUAAAGAUGAGAAAGGCCGUUACGGAAUAAUGGAAAGUGCUAAGUAAAGGAUCUCUGGAAGGACAUAGAAAGAGAACUCAUUAGCUUCAUGAGUUUAUUGAAGGAAUAAUGAGAACUGAUCAACCAACAUUGAUGAGAACUGAUGAUCAACAUUGCAGUUAUAAUUUGGUUAAGGUUAUUUCAAAUUCUUCGCAAAGCAAGUGACAGAGGGUGCUAAAUUAAACCUAUGUCUAGAACCCUACGAAUUACUACCUUGUGUUCAUUCUAAACAAUACAAUCUUCCGAAAAAUACGAAGUAAACUUCACCUGCGCAGCAAGCUGUCGGACUCUCAGUUUCGCAGCCUUUGAUGCAGAACGUUCAGACAGAAGCCUAGAUCGUAAGCAUUCAAUUGUCAUCGACAUGACAUCGUCUCCUGAAGAUAGCUUCCUUCAAGACGUUGCAUGCAAGAGCACAAACUAGUUUCAGUUUAUGCUCAUUUGAUGACAAAAGCAAUCAGCGAUAUUCACAAGGUUGUCUAUCAAAUUGUCUAUCAAACAACCUUAGGAAUAGGACUGAUUGAAGUUUUGCAGCAUUGAUACAGAUACCAUGAGCCUUGUUGCCGAAAGAGAGAUCUGUCACACCAGACAAGUGGCGAAGAGAGCUUGUUCACAAGACAAGUGCAAAUAACGGGAGAUUGAAACGAGGGCUAGUGCAAAAUAGUUGAGGUACGUCCAAAGCACCUGUCCAGAAAUUCAGAAGACUCAAGGCCAGCGAUUUCAUCUACAUUUCCUGCUUGCGUUUGUCUAUCAAGCUCAUCAACCGACUUAAUCUGAUCGAUUGGAGACGCUCCACCUACAGGUGUGCCUCGUUGCUUUUCCUCAGCUGGUCGUCCCUCCAAAUCAUUCUUUACGCUUGGCUUGCCUCCUGGACACUCAUCAUGAGGCAUGCCAACUGAAGCCGUCAAUUCUAUCCCCGAGGGUUCCAUAGCCAUCUCUUCCUCUUUUUGUUUACAAGGGUUAAAUCUCCACCUGAGUGCGGUUGAGAGUGUUAAUGGUGUGAUAUUUCUAACCGUCAAAGAGGGACUGCCAGCUCCGGAUUUCUUAUCAAGCUGCCCGAAAGUCCUUCACCUUUCGUAAGAGGACAUCCACAUGACGCAUUACACGGUCGAUUCCGAUCACGCCCUGGGUUAUCAAAAGCAAAAACUCAGAACAUUAAGUAAGUACCUUGUAGAAACUAAAUUGCAUCUCAAUAUAUGAUAAACCAGAACGUGUUGAUCAUGACAAUCCAAUUUUUAAUAUUCGACGCGAUAAGUGCAAGCAUUGGUGAAAUUCAUUUAAAAUCAUUUGAGCUUUAAAAGUGGAUCUCUUCAUCCGAUGGACGUCCCCACUAUUCAUGUCAUGGUUGAUACGUCACGUCUCUCACACUUUCACACUUACUAAACGCCACCAUGUAAAUUACCAAUAUCUGCCCUCAAGAAUCCAAUAACAAAACUCUAAAACACUUCCACAAAAUGCACCUAGGUUGAAUCAUUUUGGCCUUGAGGUGAACUACAAAAGACAAAAUGUUUUACAUCUUCCUAAAAAAAACUACCAUUAACACAGCAGGUAACGCUCAAGCAAGAUGAAGCGUGAGGCUCAUUGCUGUUAGAUGGUCAACAAUCAUACACGAGUGAGGUAGAGUACAAAAGUCGCGGCCCCAUUACCUCAUGGGAAGCUGGCUCAAGGGGCUCAAGCCUGUCCCACCUUCGACCGCUCCUUCGUUCGACACAGAGAUACUGGAAGAAGCCUAAUCCACAGCAGCCUCAACAGAAUCAUUCUGGGAGGGUCUUCAAGAGACUACUCUAUGCUCAUCAACCCACUAGAUCGUCUGCAGGCAAGCAGAGAUGCCAAAACCCGAAACAUUUUUCCCUUCAAUUCUCCUCUCCACACACGAGUAAGCAAUGAUCAAGUUAACUUAAUUUUCGAUCCUAAGAUUCAACGAAAGUCACAAACCACGAUAGCAAUUAAUGGCGAUGCUCAUGUCUGUUGGUCCCCUCCCCGAAUCCUAACAUUUUGGAAAUUUCUAGAAGCUACGGUUCACAUGACCUCGCCUUCACAAAGGGGGAUACAACACAACCUCCGGCGUGGCAUCUGCAACCACGGGCAGUCUCGCAAUGUGAAUUCAUAAACCCGCUCCAAUCGGCAAUGUGGGAUUCAGGCGUCACUCAACCUGGCAGGAUCCACACUUGUUUGCAAUAGGUCUUCCACAAGAACAUAGACGACUAAUCGUUGUCUGCAGAAACAACCCAAUAUUUCAGAACGUUCACAUCACCACCCUGCAUCCCAGCAACGACCCCGGACCAUACAAAUUUGACUCUGAUCACAUCAAUGAUUUCGCGAUCGUACCACAUCCGAAUCCACGUAAAAACGAACGUGAUGAGCAUUUCACCAUAGUCGCUACUCAACCUUUCGUGUGUAGUAUAUCAGCAUCCUACAUGACAUAUCCGAAACGAUCACCAGAUUUCAAAGGCGUAGUGGCUCCUAGCUGCUCUGAGGUAGUAAUUGCAUUACUUGUGAGAGGAAUUGUUCGUCUCUAGCCCAAAUCAUCAAAAUUAGAGGUGUCGUAGGUCAAAGGGUGCUUUCUUAACCUCUGUAUCAAGCAUCAACAUUCGGGGAAUAGAACCCACAGAUUACACAAGCUGCUAGCUCGGUGGAAAAAAUCCUCUCUUCCUCACACCGACUUCCAAUGCGAGGAAGGCUGUUCGCCAGCCACGAUUGCUCACCUUGUUCGUAAACGCAACAUCUAAAAAAAAAAGGCAGGCUCACAGACUAGACCGUCUUCCCACCCUUCAUCGUCAUCCUUUAUUUCAUAAGACUUGCUUCGCCACCCAGUGAAGAGAAAAAGACGAACUCCAGAACUGCAAUCAGCCCUGAAUAUCCUCAAACUCAAGCUCCAUUGAUCAAGUACGAAAUAAGAAACCCGAUCACUAUCGUUCACACAAUGAAGAAUUCGGUGAAGAGCUGCCUAUCUCUGACAUGCGAGAAUGCUGAGCUUAUCCAACACUUUGCCAGAACCCAAUAAAUUCGAAAAAAAUCCCCUAAACACCUCUCCCUCCCCGCUGUGGUCGCGCACACACACACAACCCCACCCACUAUGGCAAAAAUCAUGCGCCCCACAUAUCCUCAACCCACAAUCGAAAAGAAAACCUCACCAACUCCACCACCAUCAUGCAUAAAUCAGCAUAUCGCCAUCCGGCGCUCUAAUUCUUCCACCCACCUUUCCCAGAAUAUUUCCCACACAUUUUUCCAGAUGUACACUAAUGCAUUUGACCAAUUCAACGUCCACCGCGUGCAGGGCCAAAAGCGAAACCCCCGAAUCACGCACUAGAACCCCUGCUGCUGCACUCAUUCCCGGUUCCACGCCCCUCGACACUCUCACCGAGCAAAUGAACGUGAUUACACCAGUUGCAAAAACAAUUGCAGACACAAUUUCCACACACCACUCGCCAUCGUCGCAAGUCACGUCAAACCCACUCUCAGCAGCGGUAAGCAACUUCAAUACAAAACAAAUGAAGCUUAAGAAGAAGGGAAAAGUUUACCCAUACCACCGAAUUUUAACUAUCACACGAUCGGCCUGAAUGGCUACGGCGCCACACAAGCUCCGCCAUGUCCUGCCAUUACCAUUCUCCCCUUUCUACAUCUCUCUCAUCCUCUCCACGCACCAUCUCCAUCGCUGUACAAACUUUUGCAACAACAACACAAAAACAGCUUUGCUUCAAUUCCAAGUACAGUAAAACUACACUCACGUUGCUUCACGUGAAGCUUUUCUGAAUGCAGCCAUGGAUAGAGAAAGCGACACACACACAGACAGAGUCAGAGACAGAAAGAGAAUCGACUUCAUGAAUCGUGCUCCAUGCAAAAUGAGUCGGCACUCACAUUCCAUGGAAUUCGUUAUUUUGUGGCAGAAGAUUCUGCACAUUAAAUGUCAUGGCAUGAUUCUCCAGGACGGCUACGAACAUCAUUGCGCACACACACACACACACCGCCUUUGCUUUGCCCUAAAAUUAUAAAAAAAAAAUUAUAAAAAAAUAAAACGAAAAGCCCUCUUCUGAGUCUCUGCUUUUUGUUUGUUUUCUACAAUUGGGUUGCCCGUAUUUAAUUUUUUUGCUGAAUGGAACUGCAGAGGAUGCUUGUCGUUAUAAAACUAGUAAAUAAAACUCUUCUAAAGAAUAGAUUUUGAUGUAGCUGCUUCUGGGCUUUGUGCUAUUCGCCCUUGGAAAGGAGCCAUUUACUUCCAUUGGGUGCAAAGUGUUUGGGAAAAUGAAAGAGUGAAUUUUCGGGUGAUGAUUGUUACUGGUAAAUAAUAAUAAUAAUAAAAAUAAAAGGUGGUGUGCUUCGAUCUUAUCUUGAAGGAAUUAUUCUAUACUCAUCUUGCCCCAUCUUUUGUUGAUCUUACGAAGGUUUUGUUUCUCUUGUUCUCACUUGCUCAUCUUUUGCUUUAUUGUUUUUUUAGAAGGUUUUCUACACUUAGGGGAGUAAGUGUCAGGUCACUAGUGCUUAUAAGAUUCAAUUUGUAAUUUAUAAGCACUAAAAUUCAAUUUGUAACUUUGGCAUUGAUAUGAAGUACAAAACAAUUUAAUAACAAAUUCUAUGGAUUAGAAAACAUAGAUGUAUUCUUUUGAAGUAUGAUAGGCUAUUUAUAUGUCAUAAUAUAGAUUCAAAUUGCAAAUACUGAAUGGAUAUGUAAUUUGUAUGAAAUUUAUUGUUGAUCUUGUGUGUAAGAAUGGUGCCAUUUCUAAAUAAACAACCUUCCACUUCAUUGUCUAGUUUUUACAUUGUUCAAAAUUAAUAGUGUUAUUCUUAAACAAAGCCAAUAAUUUCUUGUUUAUCUUAAUUAGAUAAUAAUUUAGAAAUUUUUAAGUCAUUUUAACAUUAUAAUAAAAAAAAAAAAAAUUAUAACAUGGUAUUAUGAAAUUUGAAUUGGAUAUGAGAUUAUUGAUUAUAAAACAUUUGUGUCAAAUCAUCAACAGUUAGAAAUAUAAAUGACAUCACAUAAAAAUUCUUCUUUAAAAUAGAUAAAAGUACUACAAAAUAUAAAAAUGUAAAAAAGAAUCGUAGAGAUUAUUUUCAUUAUAACUUACUGAAAUUAUUUUAUUAUGAUGUAAAAUAAAUCUAUAAAAGAAUGUUAUUUUAUUAGUUUUUUGCUAGCUAAACCACCCAAGAAUAUAUCCAAGCAUUAUCCACUUCUAAUGUAUCAAUAGAAGCACUAAUCUUCUUUAUUGAUUGGAAAAUAAAGCAAAACAUUCUUAAAGCAUCCAACCUUCUAGUAUUACAACUACACCAACACAUAGUACUCUCUAUCUAAGAUAUAUUAUUUUAAACAUUUAAAUAUGUCUUAUCUUUUACUCUUAUAGUUUUAAUGCCAUUAUAUAUUAAAAUAAUAGAUUUUAAAGUACAAACAUCUAAAGAACUAUAAGAAAAAAAUACAAGGAAAAUUGAAUUUGAAAAAAGAAUUAAAUAGUAUGGUUAUGAUUGUUUUGAAGUAAAAAAUAAUCUUAAAAAUAUUGAAAUGUCUAAAUAAUAAAUGAGAUUAUAAAUAAUUCAACUAAUAAAUAUUACACAUUUUAAUUUUUCGCACUUGCUUAAAUUUGGUUCUAGACAACUUAUGUAUCUCUUCAAUUGAAUGUCUUUAAAACUACUAAAAAAUGCUUUCGUGCUUUCUUCUUGAUGUGUGAGUGCAAUACUACCUUUUAAUUGUUUUAUGUAUUUUUUAUUCUAAAAAGAACCAUGUGUUGUAAAAUAAAAUGGACUAAGAAUGAAUAGACUGUCACUGUCAAUUUUAUUUGAGCAUUAAAAACUAUGGCAAUUAUAAUACAUAUGGAUUGUGUUUUUAUUUAUUUAUUUAUUUAUUUAUUUAUUUAUUUUAGGAUUUUUUUACACUAUUGAAAUUCCUUUCAAAUAAAUUUGGUUUUUAUUACAAAGAACUAUACUUUACUAUAAAAACAAUAUGUAUAAUUUUAAAGGAAGGCAUGUAAUUUUUUUAACAGAGGGUAUGAAGAACUCAAGUUAAAGACCACAAUCUGUUGAAAUUGUCUUUCAAAGCAAUUGCAUCAUGGAUGUGUAGCAUAGAAUUCCAUAAAAAGCAUCUAUCUAUUGAACAAUCACUUUUUUCAUUUUGGAUAUUUCGUAUGUGUGCUUGAAAAUACCUCUUUGAAAAAAUCAUAUAUUUAAUUAUAUUAUUAGACAAUUUAAAGAAAAAAUAAUCCAAAUUUAGGGGUUAUUAUCAGAAAAUUUUACAAAUACAGUUUUAUCUCAAUUACAUAAGUAAAAAUCAGCAUUAUAUUUGAAAAUAAAUCAAUACAAAUUUUCCUUACCUUUUUUUUUCAUAUUAUAUUUUUCUAUUUUAUUUUUGUCUUUUUCUAAGAGAGAAAAUUAAUUUAGGCAUAUACAUUUAACACAGUUCCAUCUGAACUUUAACACUAAUAUACAGAAUGUGCUUUAGUGUAAUUUUUAAUUAUCUCAAAAAAAAAAAUGUGUUGAUUGUUACAUCACAUCAUAGAUCUAGUUUUGUGGACUAUUGUCUUUUUGGCUUUUGCUUAAGCUCUUCAAUGUUACAUUUUUAUUAUAGAGCAAUAACAAAUGACAUCAUGUUCAAAUCUUUUCUUUUAAAACACAUUAAAAAACUUUAAAAUUCUUGAAAUAUCUAUGAUUAGCUAUAGAAACUUCAAGAUGAUUUAAUGCCAAUGUUUGCUUAGGAUCACAUUUUAUUAAGAGAAUUAUUGGGUGAACACUCCCCUUUUGGUGCACCAAUACCUCCCACACAAAAUAACUAGUUUUUACUUUAAAUCUUGAUACAAAUUGUGUUUAUUACUAUUUUCUCCAACUUAAUAUAACUUUAUUUAUUUGUAUUUUAUUCUUCAAUAUUUUCUCACCCUUUAAAAUUUUCAUCUUUGCAAACCUUUGUCAAUUUUCUUUUUUGAAUGGUAAAACCAUAAAAGAUUAGGUUUUAAUAUUUCACUAAUACAAAAUAAAAGCUAAAAAAAUCUCAUUUAAAAUCAAAACUAUUUAUUUUUUGUGAGGAUAUGUGUGUGGAGUGUUCACCUAGCAGUUCCCUUGUUUAAAUGUGAUGCUUUAAAAAAAAAAUAGAAUGAAUUGAAAGUAAAAUUUAGAAUAAUAAAUUAUAUAUAUAUAUAUAUAUAUAUAUAUAUCUUCUCCCUCUUUGAAAUAAAUAAGAGAAUUUAUGAUGAUAAUUUAAGUUCAAUAAUAAAAGAAUAUUUAUGAAUAAAAGUUUUAUUGGUUUUUAAAAAUUGCUAUAUUAAAUGUUUUUUUUUCCAAUUUGUUUUCCUCUAGUGUAGCAAAUUUUCCAAAUUAUUAAAUAUAUAGAACAAGUAUCUUCAUGAGAAUUAAAUUAAAAGUCACUCAAGUACUUAUAUGAUUAAAUACAUUAUUAUUUUUCAUGAAUAAAGUUUCAAUAAUAAUUAGUAUCUAUUUAUCAAAAAUCAUUGUGUGACUUCUUUUAAAAAUUGAUUUUUAAAAUAUUAAAAUUAGAUUUUUGAUUGUUUUCCAAAUUGAAUUGAGAACACCAUCUGAAAAUCACUGUGAAAAAAUUAUAAUUAUGACAAAACAUCCAAUUUACUUGUUCAAUUUAUGUUUCAUGAUACACUUUACUAGACUUUAUAUGAAACAAGUGUAUACAUGUUUGUGUGUAAGAUGUAUAAGUGUCUUUGAAUCCAUUUAGAAUUAAUAUAAAAGGAGAAUCUUUAUAAAAAUUGGUAUCACGAAGUAAUUGUAUAAUUCUUUCUUAUUAAAGAUAAUACCAAGGUGUUAAAACAGUUAGUUGGGUCUUUGAGAUAGCUUUUAAAUCAUAUAAUAGCAAAAUAUGGUUACAUGAGAAUAUAGGGGAGACGAGCUAAAAAAAAGUAACUAUGUCUAUUCCUUUUCCUUUUUUCUUACUUUUUAUUUUCCAGUUAAAUUGGAAACUAAGACAGAACAGAGUUCGUUGCUGAUCGACGGCAGAUUCCGCAACGAUUCUGGGCAGAAUUUGUGACCAGGGGUAGGACGUGACGUUCUGCUCCAGAACCGUCGUCGUCUCCGAAUGGAGGCGUUUGAAAACGAGGGCUUGUGCCGAGUGGGGUCCGGGACACAGCCUCGUAUCUCCGCAGCGGAGGAGGAUUGCUGAGUUGCCGCGAUUGCAAUUAACUCAAGACCGACUUCAGUGAUUACGCACAUUACAACUUAUGAUUUGUGAGAAGAAAGAAGAGUUGGUGAUGCAUCAUUCCUGUUCGUGACUCGUAGCCCUUUGUAUCAAAUCUGGAGGUGGAAGUUGUCGAAUGCAAUUGCUGCCGUCCUUUCUUCACAUCAGGUUAAGAGAAGUUGAUACGUGAAUUUCUGUCCUUAUUCUACAGUUAGAACGAUAUGCCAAACUCAAUUUUAAAUAAGAACACACUUCUCGUGAAUUUUGGACCAUUAGUCAGUGAGAUUGAACUAGACCGUCCACCUUGGAACCUACCAAGUUUCUAAGAAUUAGCUUUGGCUUGCGCUCGUAAUUACCAUGCGGGAAGGUCUGCUUAGCGCGUGAUCGUACGCUUUCACAUUCUAUAUGCACUGAUCUCGAAGGUGUUGUUAGUGAAUGAGUUCAUGUCUGGCUGUUGAUUCCUCUAUUUCUGAUUGUGAUGGUAAUUCUAAUUUGUAACCGUUGUGUUGUUUAGUGUCUACAAAGUUCUGAAAAAUGGCGUCUCUGGAUGAUACCAAGCUAUCUACUCCAGUGUCAACGAGACACUAGCGUUUGGUAUUAUACUUCAAGCAGAAAGCUGAACCAUUUUUCGGAACUGGCACAUGUUUUGGAAACGAUAUCGGUUGCAUCAGCACACGACCUAGGUUACGCUAAUGAUUUGAUAAGAUGCAUCUAAUCACGAGGAGAGACAUUGGAAGUUUGUAGAAAACAAAGCUGAAGAGUGAAGACGGCGGUUCAGGUUUUGGUAGUCCAUGUGAAACGUUGGUAGAAGACAACUUAGUCUUUGUGCUGCCUCUGGAGUGAAACUUCUGGCAAUAUUACCGCCACCUAAGGAAGUUCUGCUCUCAAUCCUUUCUUCUUCUUCCGAAUCGAUCUUAUUCAUAAGCACUUUUGCUGGGUUUACCUUUUCUUAUCGCAAAUCUUGCACAUUGUUCAUCGCUUAAUUGUCUGAAACGACGCGGUACUGGAUCAGCAUAACCACGGAGGUCUCCAUCUUAAUCCAAAUCUCGUGUAGGCAUGCUGUUUUAAGUCUUAUGAAAAACCUUUUUAACGUGGAGAUUGAAGUAGGGGCAAACAGAUUUCGAUUCGAAAAGUGCAAAUUACGGUGAAGGUACGUCUUUCUUCAGAUUUCUAAUUUCAAGAACCCGGAAAUGUUGACGUUAGGGGAUCAUGAAUUGCUGCCAGAAGAGGCGCUAAGCGUCAUUGUAGAUAUGGUAGAUUACAGAGGCAGAAUUUUUACAUCGCCUGGAAAUAGAUUGGUUUUAAAAAAUAAUUAUUUUUUAUUUUAUUUUUAUGAAAAUGUAAUUCCUGACAUCUGUCCAAGUGAUUAGGACAGCUGGAAGGAAGUGGAUCUGCGAGAAAGUGGGAAUUAGGCUAUUAUGCCUAUCAGGAUUGUUCAUCGAAGUUGCAUGAUCAAGGAGGUCCUGAUGUUGGCCAUUAUCCUUCAUUCCGAAAGUGAUCCUCCGCAUUAUUUCAUGAAUACUUGAUCACGAUGGCCUCGUGAAGUUCAGCGAGCUGGCUCAUUGGUCCCUAUCCUUCAUCAUGAUUUCAGAGCCAUAAGCAUGUCGAAGAGUGAUGUAUCAUAACAGUAUAUGUUGCAAUUCGGUUCGUCCACUCCGAUUUCAGAACAAUGGGGAGAUUCAGAUCACACGUCCAAUUCAAGAGAACAAACUCGACGCUGUUAGUCUGUACGGGAGCCUCCAUGGUCUUUCUUUUGAUCCCUCCAACACGCAUGCAUUGUUGCGUGCUGUCAAUUCACUCCAAUCUAUCAAAGAAUCUCAACGGUGUUCGGCGCAAACCAGCUGCCGAGAAUCACCCCAUCAAUCCUCUUCAAACUCUUCCUCAACCAGUUCCCCUGAGAAUACCACUGAUUCCAUUCCUACCUGCAAUGAGCCAGAAUCCUGUCCUAACCACAGAAGUGGCCAAGCCCCGGCUGUUGCUGACGCAGGACCCACGCAGACUCAAAGCUCUUCUGGCCCAACAUCUCAAGGCUCUUCUGGCUCAACAUCUCAAAGCUUAGAGAAUUCCUCUGAAAGGGGCAGCCGACAAAUUCCAAUUUCAAAGGGAUCCGAGCCUGCUCAAGUAAGCGUUGGUACUGCGAGCAAAGGCUCGGGAAAAGCUGGUGUGACAUGGAUUGACUGGGGAUGGCCAGGGACUCACGACAAUUGCCCUUUCAACCCACGACACUCUGUGGAUGAUAGCCUUAUCCGUCAUGAACGGGUAGGUUCUGUACAGGAACAGGCGCAUUUCUGUUGCUGCAUACCUCUUCGGAUUCGCAGCAUCUUCCUGAAUUUUCUCUUUUGGCUCGUGGAGUAGGAACACGUUUAUGAAACGAGUAUCGUGAUGGGAUUCCGACCGUUCACGGGCAAAUGAGUGGUUAAGUAUAUAUAUAUAUAUUUAUCUGAGGUAAUAGGAUAUCUUUCUCACAAGCUCGAGGUAUGGAUGCAUAUUCCAUGCGUUUCUUUUAUUUCUUUGUUGCGUUGGUUUUCAAUUUUCGAAUGCCUGAAGUUUCAAGCAUAGUUUCUUAGGAAUAGGUUGUAGUCCAUCAUCUCUUCUUCAUCUGAGCUCUCCAACGAUGCUCUUUUCUGAAUUAGACGUGGUGGAGUAGGUUGAAUCAUUGCGAAAAUUAUCCGAAUCCCUCAGGAGAAGCUACUGAUGUUGCAAGGUGGAAUGUGUUCUUGCAAUCGUUUGAUACUCAACUUCUUCAAGCGCCCGUUGGAUUAGCAGAACAUCUCAAAAGACCAGGACAUGAAACGACCUAUACACUGGCUAUAGUGAGAAGUUUAAUGGGAGUAUCUUCUAGUCCAAGUCUGUACUGAGUGAGUAGGUUUUUGAUGUGUACAGAUUUUCUGUGAAAGUUCGAACGGCAUAUUGAGAACUUGUUGCCCCUGCAUCAGGAAGUUGGUGAAAUGUUGCAAGUUACGUGUACGACAACUGAAAUCAGCUAUGAGUGUGUGUCAUUGACAUGAAUUCGGGUAUACCUACACUCUCCCUCUCUGUGUUUUGUCUCUGCAAGUUUGUUUGGUUUGCUUUGAAGCGUGGUUUUCAAAUGCAUUGAAGUAUCGCCCAUCACGAUUCUGUGCCAAUGAAACCACCAAUCACGUGCAUUUACAUGUAUCUAGCUUGCCAAAAUCUUAAGUACAAGGAUGAACCAGAUCCAAUAUAAGAAGCAACUAAAUCGUGCUUUCAGAUGUUUGGCAGGUCAAAUUUGCAUGAGAAUAUUUAAAACAAAUUGUAUCAACCAAUUACAGUGUUGACAGUAAAAACUAUAUCACCUACAACAAUUCGAUACUUUCAGCUUUCCUGCGGACAUAUCUGAUCUUAAGCAUUUGGAAAUCAAGGUAUAUCAUAUUUAACAACAUUCUUACAUGAAGCCUUGAAUAUGGAGAUGAAACAAAAUUCACAUGGAUACUUUGUACAAUUUGUUUGUAUGCAAAGGUUUAGGGUUUAGGGUUUAGGGUUUAUGCCAGCCCCACUUGUAAUUUGAUUGAUGCAUGUGGAGUAUGAGAGUAUGUUGAAGACAAUUAGAGGAAGGAAGAUGCAAUGCAAGACAAUACAAGGCUGAUUAUGUAGAAAGGAACUUUGAAAGGUUUUUAUGGAAUUUCAAUUUAUUAGCAUGUGUAAAUUUUGAUUAAAUUUUGAAAACUUACCAACACAGUUCACUCCAACAUAUUUAGCUUGUGUCUUUAUUUCUUAACAUCUACUAAAAUCACACUUAUAUCAAUCUAAUCUUAAUUUUAUUUAAAAUAUUGAGAAAUAUGCACACAAACUUUACCAAAUACCAUUCAAUAUUAAAAUAUGCUUUAUUAUAAAUCUAAAGACUUUGUGUCUUUUUCUACAUUUUUUUUAUCCUUUAAAAUAUUAUUAAAUUUAAGAGUAUUCAACUAAAAUAAUGGACAAAAAAACCUAAAGAAAGACCAGAUUUUAUACCAUUUAGAAUGAUUUGAUAAUAUAAAAUAUUUUAAACAUGAAUUAUUGGAUUUGUAAAGAUAUUGAAAUGAAUUGUUUGCAUGUUUUAAUUUACAAUCAAAUGAUUUAUUUUUCUACAAUGAUGUCUUUUUCUAAGAGAUAUCUUUAAUAAAAAAUGCAUAUUUCUAUUCUUACAAAUAAAUGUUAAAUUUGAUCCAAAUCAUCUAGUAAUUAGUUUUGAUAAUUUUGAAAGAAAUUACAAAACAAUGCCCUAUUUGAUACAAAGUUAAAAUCUUUGUAUAUAAUAUUUUAAUUUAACAUUUGUAACAUUACUCUAAUAACAUGUUUAAUGUAAUUUAAUUUAAUUUUUAUUGAUUAGGUCUUGUAUCUUUAUAUUAAACUUCUAUUUAAGAUAUUUAUUAAGGUUUGUAAACUUAUCAAUACAUGUCAUUAAAAUAAUUUUAAAUUGUAAUUUAUGCAAGCUUUGAUUGAAGAAAAAUAAAUCUUUGUCCAAAGAAAUAUCCUCAUCAAUAAUAUGAAAAAAACAAGAAUUUUUUAAAGAGGAUUUUCUUAAGAGAAAUUAAAAAGGACUUAAAAUUGAUAUAAAUUAUGUUUGUUAGUCCAAUUGGAUCAUUCUAAUUAUAAACAACAAUAGUGGUAAAAGAUGUGAAUAUAUUUUUCUCCUUUAAGAGAUGUUGAUAUUUGAUAUCAUAUUGAUGUUGAUGUGAUAUAUAUUUAUAAUCUAUUGUGAUAUAUAAAUUAUAAAUAUAUAUCACAAUAUGUAUAAUUUUGAUGUGAUGUAUAUUUAUAAAGUAUUGAUUUUGAUAUUUGUAUGUAAACCCUUCCAAUAGUAACAUGAAUUGCCUUUGAAACUCUCUUGUCUAGUACAAAUCCUCACAAUCAAAACUUCAUGUAAUUAAGUCUAUUACAGAAUAUAACAACCAUUCAAAUGAGAAUUUGAUCACAAAUUAUAAAUUGAAGUUGAUACCAACAUUAAAAGCAAUAAAUCAUCAACACUAGAAAUAUUAACAGUAGAGCUAAUGUGCCCAUAUUACAACAUUUCAAUGUGCACUGCAAGAAGAGUGAAAUUCAGCUGCCGCUAAGCAUUCAAUGGAGGCAUGUUACCGUGAAGAGAAACGCAGUUCAUGUCACCCACUUUCAAUGAGAGAAAGAGAGAGUGUCAUUGUAGACCGGAAGUAAAAUGAAUGCAGAUUUGUCAUUUAUGGGGUGUUACGAUAUCGUGUAAAAAUAACAAUGUCGAACUAUGAGUCCAGAAGCGUUGACAACAAAUGUAACAUCUGAAGACUUGGUGACAAAACUGAGCUGAUAUACUUUAGAUUACUACGCCGUAGUCGCAUUUCGACUCAUUCGGCCACGAGAAGGUACUUAUGAUCAGAGAGACUGAUAAGAGUAGAAGGAAAAAUUGUGUUCAACGCACAGUACGUUCGCACAUGGACGCAGAAUGUUAUGUAGUUUUCUUAGCGAGAAGACACAAGAUUGUGGCUUUUACGAGGAAGCACUGAGGCAAAUCGAAGUAAGCUUCGUUCCGUUCAGCCACACACAAGCUUGAAGACCGUUCUGUCCGCAGACGCCCGUGCCGACGACAACCGUAGCCCCUGCAGUGAGGAUUCUUACGAGGUCAUUCGAAGACACCACGUAUCUAACUUCACAGGACACUAUCGUCAGGGAAACAAGAGGGAACCGUGUGCCUGCUGGAAGUGUGAACCGUUCUCCACUCGCAACAACAAAAGUCCGAAGCUGUCCCCCCCGCACAGCAUAGAUAAUUUCAAUGGGUUCGUUCAGACUGUUUUCGAAGCAAAGCCCGUGCGCGCCUGCAGCACAGCUCACCAGGAGUGUCGCAGCCACCACCAGGACCGCCAGUGAGUUGAACAUCCUGAUGCUCGACGCCAUGGUGAGCUGUAAUCUGCGCAACGAUUGAGGUCGAGCGUGAACUAUCUGCUGAAACUCGAAGAGAGUUGAAUGAAUAUGCAUAUCUAUUCCUGGCUUGCAUAUCGUUUAUAUAGGAUUUCUCGACACCAAGGUCGAGAGCAGUCAUGCCAUGAGGAUUUAGAUCGCGCAAAAAGUUCAAACCGACGUGCUGCUGAUAAAAAUCAUACUGUCGCACCGCAACAGUUAUCUCAGGACGUUCUAGUGUGUAGUGGGACUUCGGCGCAGUCAUCACAUUCUCAUGAAAAUCUCUCGAUUUCGAAGAACAUGCCAGCGACGACAUCCUGAAGGUUACGACGAAAAUAAAAGUAGGGGAGUCAGGCCGACACGUGCGAGUUCUGGCUGUGUGUGUGUGUGUAUGUGUAAGUGUUGAUGUUGGAAAAGGCGAUUUUGCGGCGAGAAUCGUUCGAACGUGUCCAGGUUGAUGAGAAGGAGGGCUGUCGGAGGCGCGGCCCGCAGCACACUCCGCAGCGAGACAGAUUGUGGCCAACUUGAUGGGUCCGUUCAUCUUGUCCCUGCGCAUUUGCUCCGAUUCGUCGACGUGCAGUGCAGCUCCACAUCACGAAUCAUGUCCUGUCGAAGUUUGUCCGUAGUGCAACGCCGACGCUAAUCACGGAAGACGAUGAAAAAUGGAAUCACGGAAGACGAUGAAAAAUGGAAUCAAUGCAUUCUCAAACGUUCUCGCUACACAUCUGUAACUAAAAAAUGUGUUCUUGUGUAACAUAUAUAUAUAUAUAUAUACAUCUUUCCUUUGACGUUUUAGACGUAUCAUUUGUUCUGAGUUUCAUGCACAGCUUUCACUUUUUAUCUGUGAUGUUGAUUCUGUAUUUGAUGUAUACUAAAAGCUCAACUAUGCAUACUAUUACAUUCGUACAAGUAAAUCGCUUUGAUUUUGUUACACGUUUGUAUGUUUGUGUAUACAUGUAUUCCAAAUUCCACCUUCACAGUUACUUCACCUACUGCACAAGGAAUUGACUGCUAGCAUCUCCAUAACAGCUUCAAGUUGUGGGUCCAUUCUUGAUGUGUAUGGAACUCAUCAUAAUUUUGGGAGCUAAAGUCGAUUAGAACUAACCAGUAAGACCUUCGAUUUCAACCGUUGUAAGGAACUAUUCACCACUCACGAUUCCAGCCUCCUAUGUUUGCCACCGAUUCAUCAACAUUCAGCGUCUUUAGUAUAAACAACAUCAAACUUUUAUCAUGUGUUGUGGCUUACAUUGGGUGCAGGCUUUGGUCAAGUUCUAACCGCAGGUUGUCAUAUUUUGUUCAAGCAAUAUUCUUGGUGUUUUGAACUGGUGACAUCCAGAGCACACAAAUCGGGCGCCACAGUGAGUCUCAUCUUAUGAUCCAUGGCAAGAGCUCUGUCACUGGCUUGUGAAUUUGAAAAACUAGGAAAACAACGAAUUGGUUUUGUUCUCUCUGCUAUCAGAAACCUCAGUGGUCUUCUUCUGUGUAGUGCACCAUGUUUUUCUGCUACUGUUGAUCAGAUUGUAUUCAUUUUGGGUCUAUCUGUUUUGAGACUGCAGUAUCUCAUUUCUGCUUUCAAGUUUCGUUGAUCACCGUUGGAGCUAUGAAUUGUGCCAAAACAGGCACCUUUCAAUAGAUAAGAUACCCAAAUGAGAAAGAAGCUUUGACUGUUAUGUGAAGGUGUGGCAGAGCAGUUGCUGCCAUCUACAGCUGCAAAACAAGUGAACUUGUGACAAUGUGAGGUCCCUCAGUGAUUCUAUUCUAGCAUAGCUGACGGCAACAUAAUGAAAUGGACCUUCUGAAUGCUAAAAGCUUUGGGAAACCAACGACAUGAAAAGUGUAGAAUUCAUCACAUUCUAUGCAAACGAAGUAUCUCGCAGUUCCACUUCAAUGGUAUUUGUCCCCUUCCUGUGCACAAAGAGUGUGUCCUUUGUGCAACUUUGUCAAACAACUGAAAAACUAACUGGUCGUGAAUUUCUUGAGGCCAAACAUAAUAGAUCAUUUUGAUGGGUACAGUCUUGUACAGUGUUGUACCUACCAAAUUUGCAGGAUAUUUAUUUGUUUGCUGAUAAGUAGCAGAUUUUUGAGAGAAAGAAUGUAUUUGUCCACCACAUUAUUUGAAUAUAUAUAUAUAUAUAUAUAUAUAUAUUAUUAAGGUAGGAAGGUGUCUAUCUAUUAUAAAACAACUUUAUAUAAAAAGACUAUUUCAUAUUGUAUAAAGGUGAAUACUGUUUUGUCACAAUAUACUUACAUGUAGCAAAGGAAAAUAAUAAGGCAUUCAAUAAUCCAUUUAAGAAUGAUUCAAUAACACCAAAAAAACAAUCAAUGGACACAAAAAGAUUUAUGACUUGUUUUAAUACUAUUAAGUGUACCAAGUAUCUUCUAUGCUACUAUGAAUAUACAAGAAAACUUGGUAUAGUUUUUAAAUCAUAUAACUUAAUUUAUCAAUUUUACAAAUCUUUUAAACAUGAUUCAAGUUCAAAUCCUUACAAUUUUUUAAAAUCGUAAUUUAACUUAUUCAAUUAUGCUUAAUAAGGUGGUAAAAUUAAAGUGUCUUGUAUACCUUGAUAUUUUACAAGAUACACUUGGAUAGUAUUUAAGAGUAAUCAUAUGAUUUAAUUUUAAUAAUACAAAAAAAAAAAACUGAGAUGUUUAUUGUUUUUUGAGUGUAAGCAUAUUGGCAUUUUUAAUUCCUAUUCAUAACAUUUUGAUUAACAAAUAUUUUACAGAUUUUUAUAAUAAUGAUUGGUGUAUAUUUAUGAACUAUUCCAAGUCCACCAACUACAUACAUAAAUAUAAAAAUACCAAUUAUUUAUUAACAAUUAUAGAAUGACAUUACCCUUGAUGUUAGAAAGUUGGUAUGGAUGGAAUUUUUUGUUGUUUAGAUGAUCUCUUUCUACCCAUCUACUUAUAUUAUAUAUAUAUAUAUAUAUAUAUAUACAGGGGAAUGUUAAAUAGACUCAUAUUUUAAUUAAAUCCAUCUUCCCAUGAUGAAGAAUGAAGAAUAUGAUAAUCAUGAUGAAAAUUAAUCUAGAGGUCAUUUUUUUUCAUGAUGGGUGGGUCAAUUCAGUAAAAGACUUGAUCUAUUUUACAUUCCCCUACACAUAAUAUAUCUAUAAACAAAAUAUAAUAUAUUAAAAAAAAUGCUAAUAGUAAUCCAGAAUCAGAUAAUACUUCAAAUUACACACCCACACAAAAUUUGGAUAUCUGCAACAGUAUCAUCCCAAAUCUCUCAUGAGCUGAAGAACUCACCUCAAAUCUGUGAAAAUCGUCCCCCAGCACCAAACAAUCACCAAAAAGGGUCACAAUUUGAAAGCUAAAAAUGGGGACCACAAAAAGAUAUAAGAAAUAGAGCAUUCACACUAACAUUCACAAAAAAAAUAGAAUUUCCUCACUCCAGAGCCUAAAAUGCGAGAUAGUGCCUGGUGGCAUAAAAGCAUCGACAAUGGAAGUAUUGAUGAGGUGGAUUGAGGAAUUGGGGAUCUGUAACUGUGAAACCCUAAUUUGAGAGCGAGGUCGAGUUUGAAGCAUUGCUCCUCCUUCAUUUUGUUGGUUGCAACGCGAUCAUGAGCCUGUUUUGGUAGAGUCUCUGAUGAUUCCAUCGCCGCGCACCUCGCAUUGUGCGCUCUGCAUUGGAAUCUCAACUUGAAUUGGCCGGUUGUGAUUGUCAAUUCGCCAUGUGAAUUUGAUUCAAACUCCGUAUGUCCUGUUUUUGUCUGUGGUUGAUUUGUGGAGCUUGAUAGUUAGGGUUUCGGUUUUGUAGUGGCAGAAUGUACGCGAGGUAAGAAGCUCGUAAUCGAAUUCUGACAAGAUGCCUCCCAAGAAGACCAAGGCGAAAAGAGCUGGCAAGGCGGGUGAGUCCAGCAAGGGAGCGAAAGUUGCCGCUGCUGGGAAUCAAGGAGCGAGCCGUGGAGCUGCCCGAGUGAAUUUGUCGUCGGAGAAUGAGGUUCGGUUGCGUAGAUUGCUUCUGAAUUCCGGGGGCGGUAGUCAAUCCACGCCUCAAGCAGAGGAAUCUCUUACUGAAGGGCAGAGAAGGCAGGCUGUGAAGCGUCUCAAGAAUAUCUACGAUCACCUCGUCGCUGAAGGAUUUACCGCCUCCCAAUGUGAAACUGCACUUUCCAAGCUUCCCUUGGUAUACUCACCGCCUCUUGCUUUCGGCUCAAUUCAAUUUCUGAUCGUAAUGCAUGAGACAUUGGCUGUGUGGACUGGAUAUUGGUUUGGAAGUAGUGGAGUUUUUUCUGAAGAAGAACUAGCUCUAGUUUGGUUUUACAGAAUUGUCCGUUUUGAGAAGUCAGUGAUCAAAUCCUAGCUCGGCAAGCUGUAGCGAAAUGCAAACGACGUUAGACUGGUUUCUUGGGAACCUUGUCAUGAAAAUGGAGCAAAUCUCUUAAGACUCGCACUCUGCUUUAUGUAGCGCCUCCAGUCAUAGAUUCUCAUGCAUUUGAAGUUUGAGUAUCCGAGAGGUUUAUCACAGCUUGGCUCCGAGUCUCUCGGAAUCAGUGGACCUUGAGUCACGAUUUCCUUGUAUUACUCCCAGGACCUAUGCUGGUACGCUGAAUCGUUUUCUUGUAUGAGUAGGGUGGUGCAACACUUGAGGCUGCUCUUGACUGGUUGUGCUUAAAUCUGCCCCCGAACGAGCUACCAUCUAAAUUCAGCAGUGGUGUUCAAGUUGCAAACCCAGAAGGUAUUGAAAUACUUCAAUUGACUUGGCUACCAUUUGCAAUCCGAUAGAUUUGUUGUCUUUCGUAGUUUCGCAAAGCCCGAAUACCACAAUGUAUUCGAUUGUGUUGUUUGAUUUCUUCUGAUCAGAUUAGGUCACAUUUCGUCACUUUUUCAUCUGCAGUGGCCUCGUAUUUAUCUUGAUGGUCUUUGCCAUCAUGCUAACGGAAAAGCUGGUGUCGUGGUUCCCAGGUGGUCAAGCUCAGGUGCUAGCGGUUGCGCGACCCAAUUGGACUUACGUUGAGAAGAAGAUUGAGAUUCCGAAGGAUGUGCCCUUGAUUCAGAAGGUUCAGAAACCUAAGAAAUCUGAGAAUGAAGUGAAAGCAGAACAGGCCGAGUGGAUCAAGCGAUACAUGGCUGAACAGGCUGAGGUAACUGUGCGCAGUUCUUCUAGUUGUUUAUUCGUAUUGCGGCAAUGAGUAGGGAUAUCAGCUGUUUGAUCACUCAUAUUUUUUUUUAACGAGUAGCCUUCAUUUGGUCAUGAUUGGCAAUUUAGGACUCGGAGGAUGAAGAAUUGGAGAGCUCUGAAGAUGAUUUGAAUUGGGAGGUACGAUUACUAAGUUUCUUUAAUUCAUUGUUUUCUCUCUGCUUAUCUUUGUUCUAACUUGAUUCUCGUGCUUGUCCGACACUUGUAAUUGAUUCUGGACUGCAACUUUCUUGAGCUGUUGUGAAGUAGGUUGUCUUCGUAAUUUUGUGGAAAUCUCUCUUGGUUCAGCUUCUUAUUGCUACUCUAUACUGAUGGUUCAAUGAUUAGGUGUGGGGAGAUCCUGGUGAACAAAAUCGGCGCAAGCAACAAUCGGCUCAAGAUGUACUUAAAUUUUCACAUCUUAACUUAUGCGAACAUUUGAGUUAUUUGACACCAUUGUGAUGAACUUUGAAAGUUGACUAAUGAAUUUUAUAAUUACCAUGGGAUUUAGCUCAUGUGGGGUUUCGGGCAGAAAUUCAAGGAAUCAUUCUCUGUACUCUACGCUUUGUGUUUAGGAGUUCUUGGGCUGCCGGAUCAGGAUGAUCAUGUACACCGUUUGUUUCAAUCACUGCGAGCCGCACUAAUAACGAAAAAUAUCACUAAUUUCGAAAACUGAGGUAAUUUGUGAGGCGCACUCAUAUAAGAAUUCGCUAAAUUCUAGGUGCACCAAGGUAGGCUAGGGACAACAAGAUGCUUAUUAAAACGUGUACACUCAAACAUCGUACCUGAAAACAAGUACACCUAAUAUAGUUUACCAUUACAAUGUAUGAAAAAAACAUUCACAAAACGUGGUAUCUCAUGAAAGUUGAUGGACUAUCUAAAACUUGUUGGACAGUGGCCUGCGUUGCAGGCCGCUGACCCGGAAGCGAAGAAAAAGGCUGCAAUAACAAGAUAUCAAGCCGCAAAGCAUACAGCUUCGGAUGCAAAAGCGAAAGGAAACAAGGAGGGUCAAGCAGCUGCAGGCCGCCUCAUUCGUGAACUCAAAUCCGAACUCGCGUUCCUCGGUCUGCUCUUACUUUUUAAAUUUUUUUUAUUUGCCCAAUUUUUACUUGUUUAAUCAAAUUGUGAAGCUAGUACUGUUCAAGAAAUACAAUGAUAACCGGCUUUAGCAUAACCCAACUCAGCACAAUGUUUUGUUACUACUGCCUACUCCAUAGAAAACUUUUUUUGCCCGACGCAAUUGGUGUUUGUGUUGUGCUUGGUACUCUACUAUUUCAACCUAGUUGAGAAUUUGUUGAAUCGGUCUCAUACAAGCUGAACUGGGUACCGUAUGUUUUUGUGCGUGACUUUUUUUUUUUUUUUUUUUUUUUUUUUUUUUUUUUUUCAGUACCGCAUAUUUAUUUAUUUGUUUUAAAAAUUAUCUCAGUGUAUAGAUGUAUGUCUCAUUUUUUUCCAGGUUUCUGUUCAUUUCAUGCAGUGUGACUAAGGUUCUGUUGUCUACAGGUUUGUCAGAAAAAGAUUAUGAUAUACCUGCCCAACCAAAGGUGCGAAGCUUCGCAGAUGCAGCAGCAUCUCGGAACCAAAGUGUACCUGCAUCAUGGGAAGUUCGAGAACUAAGUGCAUCGGGAAAGGCUGAAGAAGAUGAGUUCGACGAAAAUCCUUCAGAAAACAUAUAUGCUGACGAGAUGCCUGCAGGAAAAGGUAUUUGUUUGAUUUUAUUUCGUAUAAUCAUAAAAGAUGCCAUUCGAAUUAGGCCAGAAUUUACAAUUAAACUUUUUUUAUGUUUGACUUAUUUGCUUUUGCAGGUGCGAAUGACCUUUCAAAAGAUGAUGCUGAGAGUAGGAAGGCUAAACAGAUUCCUGUGAAAGAGGCAAAUAUUGUUCAACCCGCUGCCAAAGAGAAAGGUGCUGAACCAGUCGAAGAAGGUGGAGGACUUUUGGGAAUGUUUGACGAGGAGGGACCUUUGGAUCAAAGUUUGCCUCAAAGUGUGGUACAGAUACAGAAGCGUGAGAUGCUCACUGCAUGGGGAAGCUAUGGUGAAUCACCAGCCAGUAAGAAAGUCGCAGCAUCAAAGAAAGGCGGCAAAUCCGUGCCUCAGGUUUUAUUAUUAUUAUUAUUAUCGUCUUCUCUUUUUAUUUAGUUGUUGAUUUUCUCCUCCUACGUUUGAGUCUUUGUAACUCAUGAUUGCGCUUUGGACUGAAAAGUUCUGAUAUCGGCAACAGGUAGAACAGCAGAGACUACCGAAGGCAGUGUUGCAGCAGCAUUGUCAGAAAAAUGGGUGGCCGUCUCCCAAAUAUGAGAAAUUUCCAGGACAACAUUCACAGUUUUGCUAUUCAGUUACCGUCGUCCAGCCCACUACUGGUCGUGGAAAGAAUAAAAUCGUAGGAGGUCCCGUCACUAUUAGGUUGCCCGAGGAGGAAGACCGUUUCAACUCUAUUGCGGUAGCUUAACGUUCACCCCCAUGUCCUUGUUUUGAUUAUUGGCCACUUCUCAUUACUGCUAUUUAAUUCUGAUGAGUGUUGUUUUUAAAACUUUUUGACCCCGUUGAAGAUCCUCAAGACACCACUAAUUUUUGACAUCUUUUUUCUAUUACAGGAAGCACAAAAUGCAGUGGCCACACGGGCAUUAUUCUGGCUCUUUCCCGAACUGCCUCUGUAUCGCAACUUGCCAGAGCCUUACCGUACAAUGUGCAUGAAGUGGCUUGCCGAUGGUUCGUCUUAUCGAAACAAUUUACUUUAUGUUCUCCUUAAUAGUCAUAUUUUACGUCUUUUUUUUUUUUUUUUUUUUUUUUUUUUUUUUUCCCUUUUCCCAUACAUUGGAUUCGUCGUCAUCACGUAAUAGCUUUUUAAGUGCGUCUUGGUGGAUUGUUUCCUUGCGUUUAUUCCACUGUUUCUUUUGCAUUGCUAACUUUUUAUUUAAUUCUGAAAGGUCAAAAUGCAAAGACUCAAGAUGUAGAGGAGCAAGUCGGGAAGAGGAUUGCAUUUGUAGAGUCGUUGGUAAACACCAGCAAAAGCCGUGAUGGUUCUUCAUCUGUGGGCAACAAGGCGGCUGAGACUCCAACGGAAAUAUUGAACCAACAGAAAGAGGAAAAUGUGGACCGGAAGGAUUUGAAAAAUGAGGGUAAUGAUUGCUUCAACUUCAUAUUGGUGGCCAAAGAGAAAAUGCUAUAUCACCAAUAAUACUUUGAGUUGACUUCGAGCACGUUUAGAAGUCAAUUCUAUCCGUGACUUUUUUGGAUAACCUGUUUAAUGGUAAAACAUAGCUAGUCAUGGGCCUCGUUGUCGAAGAGCAUUAUUUUUAUGAAAGCCGUAUUUGGGAAUAUAUUCUUAGUAAUUUGGUUAACUGCAAUCGACAUCUUUGCCCUAUCUGGUUGCACAGGGAGUAAGGCGAAGAAAGAAGCUGAAAGUGUUCGUCUUCUACGUGCAAGAAAACAACAGUCGCAAACCAAAGAAUAUCAGGUAUGUAAUUUAUCUUUAAGUUCUAUUUUGUAAGAAAUCAAUUGCAUUACGAUCUCUUCAUCCGUGUGUACUUUCUAGAAUAUCUUUGAAACAUACUUCUUUAGUAUUCGAGAGAAGUCAUUAUUGAGCUGUUUUCCCAGCAUCUCGAUGUUGCCGGAGCAUUGUGGAUGAAAUACUUGAUCGUAUGUACAAUUUGAACAGGCAAUGUUGGAAUUGAGAGCGGGCUUGCCUAUGAGUGACUUAAAAAGUGAGUUACUUGCCAAAGUGGAGAGCAACGAAGUUGUCGUGGUGGGUGGUGAAACAGGCUGUGGCAAAACAACUCAAGUAAGUCUACUGUUAUGAUAGAACCUUGAUUUUUAGUUCUUACUAUCCUGUCCUGUACCAGGCUGAUUCAAGGUUUCUUGGAACAGGUGCCACAAUACAUACUGGAUGAAAUGAUAGCUGCAGGACGGGGCGGCUUCUGCAACAUUGUGUGCACUCAACCACGGCGAAUUGCUGUAAGUUGCCUUGCCUCUCUCCAAAUUCAGUUCAUAUGUGAAGUACAAGGAUAGCUGUGAAUGACUCAGAUGUAACACCAGUGCCUAUAUAUGGCUUGUGCCUGUGUAACUGUGGCAAAAAGCUAAUUUUUCAUAUUAAUUCUUUUCGAUUUUGGUAUCUGAGAGAUAAAAUGAAAUAUACUCUUAUCAAUUAAUAGAUGUUUUUGUAUCUAAUUGCCAUUCUUAUAUAUGAAAUAAUGGUGGUGGUCAGGCGAUUUCAGUUGCUGAGAGGGUGGCAGUGGAACGAUGUGAACCGCCUCCUGGCAAUAGUGGCUCAUUAGUGGGCUAUCAAGUGCGUCUCGACACUGCCUGGUAACGUUUCUUAUCACUUUGAGGUGCAUUAGGUUUCCUGAUUCUAUCCCGAUUCAUCAUUGUCAAAAUGUUUGCUUUUUUCUGAGCGUAUCUAGCAACUUACCUUAUGUACAUGUCAGAGUGUUCAUCAUUGCUGUGAGCUCUCGCGAGAUAAUUAAAAGUAAAUUCUGACCUGGUUUAAGGUGAUAUUGACAAUUUGAGACAAAGUUUUGUAACAAUACACGCAACCAAUGUUAGUUUUCCUCAAUUUGACAUGGUGAAAUGUGCUCUCAUAUAAUUGUGUUACUUGGAUUUGUUUCGGUCUCGUCUUGCUGAAGGCAUCAAGGAACCAAGCUUUUGUUCUGUACAACGGGUAUUCUACUCCGAAGGCUAGCUGUGAGUUCUUUCUGCGGUUGUUUUUCACUACAUUGCGAUUGCUAAUCAUGCUAAUUUGAUUGUCGUCUCGUUAUUUUGAACUUAUGCUAGUGCUGUUUUGCGAAUGUUCAACUUCGCCAGCUGUUGUAGUUUGAGGUUCUUCUUAAGCCAUGCUCCCUCUCCCCGAUCGCUUGGUCGCUUGCAAUGCAUCUAUUCGUUAAUGUAUUCUGCACUUCCAUUGUGUGCAUGUACGCAAUUGGAUCAUUAUGGUGACGUGUUAUUUGUGAUGUACCACAGGGAGACAGUGAUUUGAGUCACGUCUCACAUGUCAUUGUAGAUGAAGUUCACGAACGUACUGUUCUGGUACUUUUCUUGACUUGCCUUGAAAGUGUGAUAUUAGCGUGCUCUAGCAUGCAAGCACCAACAGUAAGCUUGGUUUUUGCUUUUACGUAUACACGUAUAAUACGGCACUUUUCUGCAAGUAUUUUCAUUGAUUAAUUACUAUUUUUUAUUUUUUUUGCAGGGUGAUUUCCUAUUAGUCAUAUUGAAGGAAUUGUUGGAAAGAAGGCGAGAAAGUGGAUUUCCUUUGAAGCUUAUACUCAUGUAAGUUUAUCUACCUUUUUUGUCCUACUACUUUAAAGAUUAAAAACUAAAUCGCCAGCUUAGUCAUCUCUCUAACGUGCUUUGUUAGUGAAAUUCAGUGUAUUGCAACUCCUCAAUGUUUUGCGCAAUAUUGCAAUUUUCAUUCAUGUUAGUUUUCUCAUCUUAGAGGAGACCAACUUUGACUGAUAUCGCUUGUUUUACAAUCCAGGUCAGCAACUUUGGACUCUAAUUUAUUCUCGAAUUACUUUGGUGAUUGUCCCGUCAUAUCUGCAAAAGGGCGGACUUUUCCUGUAACAACUUACUUUUUGGAAGACGUUUAUGAGCAGCUGUCUAAUUACAAACUUGCAACAGAUUCUCCAGCUGCAAUGGGUAAUGAUUACAAAGCAAACAGGAAAAAGGUACCACACUCUCUCCUCAAUGAUUGUAUCUCUAGGCAGUUUAAAAUUUUAUUUUUAUUUUUUAUGAGGGACCUAUAUCUUUCAGAUAUGAUAUAUGCUUGAGUUUUCUGGAGCAUGUUUGGAUACGGUACACUUGCUGUAGUAUUUUGGUUCUAGCAAGUUCAUAUUGUUGAAAUUCUUUGUAUAAUUUUAGUAGUUAAUACAUUCAGGAACAGAAGCUACUGACUGGAUUGUAUUCCUCGUUAUUUUUGGUCCAUUGACCAUUAACUUUGAUGAAUGUCCUCCUACAUGCUUCUACAUAUGCCUCUACAGAGUAUUAUUCUUUUUCAAGGUUUUUAUAUCUCUUUGCUGAUUACAGGCAUCAAAACGUUUAGUAGAUAAUAGCAGGGGUAGGCAGGACCUGGUAAAUUCUGGUUGGGGUGAUGAAUCAAAACUGGAGGAUGUACUGGUGAACCCGCAUUAUGAUCCAGAUCUUUAUCGCAAUUUUAGUGAACGAACACGAAGAAACUUGGUAUGAUUGUCAAACCCAAUCUUACUUCUGUGUAGGGUCGCUUGUUCAACAAGAGUUAUUACUAAAUGCUUUUUGUGUUUUUUUGUUGUCAAAUGAUUAACCAGAACCACGGCUGGUUUCUUUUGGGUUUACAGUACUAAAUGCCGUUUAGUAUGUUAAAAUUGAUGUCUUCGUAGCAAAAAUACGUACAUUGUUUUUCGUUGAAUUGCUACUAGCCUACUAGAAUUUGUACUUCAGUUCUUAGUUCUAAAUGGUACUUGGACAGCCUAUUGAUAUGACUUGCAUUUGCUGGUCUCAGGAAAGACUGAAUGAAGAUGUGAUAGACUAUGAGUUACUUGAGGAUUUAAUUAUCUAUAUUGAUGAGGAAGGCGAAGUAGGUGCAGUGCUCGUAUUUUUACCGGUAAGUCGCAUAUGUGAUCUGAGAUCUUCUCUUUUUUUCUUUUGUUUUUAUUUUUUAGUUAUUUUAUAGUCAGCUUUCAAAUUGGUGAAAUAGGAUAUACAUUUAAAGAAUACCUUAUCGUGGUUUUGUUUCAUAAGUCACUCAAAUCUCGAACUUCGGAAUACGAUUCCAGGAAUCCAUUUUUCAACACCUACGAAGAUGUCCAUGCCGGGCCGAAAAGCACAAUUAUAUGUUGAUUUUGAUUAGCCGAAUUAAAAACGUAUAAACAGUUGAGCUUGCAGUCUUGGUUUUAUAACAAAAUCCAACACAGCAUCGUAGCCAUUUUGUAAUCUGAAUGGUUUUUCCCAUAAACUUCACACCUGCUCAUGAAUAUGCCGAUUACAGGUGCGGCUUUUAAUAACUUGAUUCUUGUUCGGCUGUCACUUCCAAUGGAUUCAGAUACUGUAGAUUAGUUGUGUAAAUAACUUUCUACGUGAAAAUUCCUUUUUUAGAGUAGAUGGUUACAUUGAUAAGCUUAUCGAUUUCUCGUUUGGAACGAUGGUGGGAAUAUCAUUGGGUGUUACAGGGAUUGGCAGAGAUACAGCUGCUUUGGGAACGCCUUUCUGUUUCUCGAAGGUUUAGUGGGUCUGCUUCAGAGUGGCUGAUCCAGUUACACUCCUCGGUGGCUCCUGCGGACCAGCGACGGGCAUUUCAAAGACCUCCCAAAGGCAUCCGUAAGGUAUAUUCAUUUUAUAUGUAUGUAUUGGGCGUAGAGAAGAUCGAACGUUUCUGAUGCUUUUACAGCGGCUACAAGUACAUCUGUUUUCAGCACAAUAGCGAGGUUCUGACCCAUAUUAUUGUUUGUACAGAUAGUUCUGGCUACUAAUAUCGCAGAAACAAGCAUCACAAUCGAUGAUGUGGUGCAUGUUGUUGAUUGCGGAAAGCACAAAGAGAACCGUUUCGAUCCUCGCAGGGUAGGAGCUUUCUUGCAAUUUGGGAACAAUACUUACCGUAAAAUUUAAUGGUGUAUGUAUUAGUUUUUUUACUGCUUAUUUUUUAUUGAACGUUCAGGUUAGUUUGGGGGGAUGCUAGUAAUAUUUGUGACUGGUUUUCGUUUCGCGUUGGAAGAGAUUUUGUCUGUAGAUUAUAAUAUCUCACGUUUUAAUUGUUGAUUUUUCUGGCAGUUUUAAGCCUUUGAGUACGGGAUGCCUUUGCUGUGCAGGGCAUGUCAAGCAUAAUCGAGUCUUGGAUUUCACAAGCUAAUGCAAAACAACGUAGAGGUAGAGCUGGGCGUGUACGUUCUGGCAACUGCUUCUGUCUAUUCACUCGAAAUCGACUUGAGAAGUUGAUGCGGCCUUACCAAGUACGUUGUUUUCUCGUUUGUUGAUCCAGCGUCCAUCCUGCAUCAAAAAGUUUGAUUCUUGGAUUGUUGUACUACGAAGACAUUGUAGUUCUAUUUGUACUCUUGGUAUUAGGACUAGACUUGGGCAAAUUAUUUGAGCUCAAAUGGACGCUGCAGUGUAAAGUCUCAGGCAUUAUUUAUACCAGAGCCGCAUUAUGUUCAUGUUCAACUAUGCUUAUGUACAUGCUUGACCACAGCUUCCAGAAAUGUUACGAGUUCCAUUAGUGGAGCUGGGCUUGCAAAUCAAGCUUCUUGGACUUGGCAACAUUGCUGCUUUCUUAGAGAAGGUACGACAAUAGUUAUCAAAUUAUUACUUAACAGGAUCUUGUAUUUUUACUCAAAUUUAAUCAUUUGGUUUCCUUUUUUGUUCCGAUCGUGCUACUUACUUCACAAUUGGUCAUGACAUGUUCUGUGGUUUUCAAAUUUUAUUGUGGAAUUAUUGCAGGCUCUGGAACCUCCGCAGGCAGACGCAGUGACGAGUGCAGUUUCAACUCUUCGUGAGGUGGAUUUUAUUCCGCUUGAUUCUUCUGUACAUAUGCACCUAUCUAUAUCUGUUUUAAUGCUCUUCGCUAUUUGUUAUGCAUGUAGUGAGAAUGCUAAGACUUGAAAUGUAUAGGUUGGAGCUAUAAAUGAAGAAGAAGAGAUAACCGCAUUAGGUCAUCACUUGGCUGCUCUACCCGUUGAUGUCCGCAUUGGCAAGGUGAGCAAUAUCUCGCAUCAAAUAAUCUGGGUUGUAUAAUUCAUCGUGUAAAUUUGGUAAGUGCAUUUUAAUAAUCACAUUAUUAUAAGAAUGUCAUGAAGUUAUUAUUGCAGAGUUCGAUGAUUGAGUAUUAACUCCGUCCUUUCUUCAGUCUACCUUUGAGUGAUCUGGGAAGUAAGUGCGCCCGCUUCGGGAUUAUUGUAGUUUGUUCACAAUUUUCUUAAUCCAGGCACUAGAGGUUUGGCUUGUAUGCCAAUUCAAUGCUCUCAAAUUUUGUGUGACAUGGACACUGUGCUGUUUAGAUGAUGCUGUAUGGAGCAGUCUUGGGGUGCGUGAGUCCUGUUCUCACAGUGGCAGCUUGCUUGAGUUACAAAUCACCUUUUGUUUCACCAAAAGAUCAGGUUAUCAAUUACCCUAUUUUGUACAGUCUGGAAGCGAGUAUUGGUCAUGCCUCCCAUUGAUUUAUAGGAGCUUCAUUUUCUUACCCACAUCAUUGAUUUUUGUGGUGGGUUGUAGUCAUGAAGGUGGAGGAUUUGCUACGGUCAUGAUAGAAUGUGUUCCAAAAACCUAGACACUAGUCGAUAGGGCAUCUCUCUGUUCACGUGGCUUUUAGGUUGAAUGUUGGAAAAUGUUCUUUAUGCUUAUCUUUAAUGCAAUGACAAGCAUUUUUGCUGACUCCGCUUGACACCAGUACAUACUUUUGUUCAUAAUAUGGGGAAUGUGUGGCAGAGAGAGGCUGCUGAGAGGGCAAAGCAAGCACUUGUCGCAGAGAGGACCGAUAAAAGCCUUCCCGUGAGUAUUGCAAGCGGACAGCAUUCGGACCAUUUGUGCAUGGUAGCAGCGUACAACAUGUGGAGCCACCUUUCUGCAGUGGUAUGCAAUCAUGGAGAGCUGUGCUUAUCGAUGAUUUUGAAUGUAACAUGAAAGCAUAAUUUUAUCGCCUUUAUGGUGCGAUUUUCCUGGGAGGAUAUUCAAAGUUUCAGUUGGUACUUAAAUUUGUAAGCAAUGCUAAUCUAGCCAGUAGCACAAUCAAUCUAUUCCUGUUAGACAUGGGCUCUGCGGACAUGUUUCCCAGAUGGAAUUGAUCUGUAAACAGUUUAAAUAACCUUAGUCUUAGGUAUGUAAUGAAGCCUAUCUUUUGACGUCUAGGUUUAGUCCUUGUUCUCAUUGGAAAUUAUUGGCGUUCAGAAUUUUAACUUUGGGGUUUGUCUUUGGAGCAGAAAGGAGGAAAAGCUGCACGUGAAUUUUGUCACGCUAAUUUUCUUAGUAUAUCCACUUUGAUCAUGCUGAGGUGAGAGUAUUCUGUUAUAUCAUUUUUAUGCUGCACUGAACGUUUGCGAACGAAUUUACAAUAUGAUACUGACUUCUUGUCUUUAUAACUUAUCAGGGACCUACGGAUUCAAUUUGCCAGCUUGCUAGCAGACAUCGGCUUUCUGACUUUCUCCGAGGUUUGUGGGUUGUGAUCGUGAUUGUAUUUUUAGGAGUUGUUACAAAAUUUGCGUCGUUGAAUUUGUAGCCUUCCAUAUUAUGGUUUUCGUCGCGUGUUGAUUACUCACCUCUUAAUUUUGUACACAGGGUGGAAAAUCUAAACAUGACACAGGAUUUGAAAAGUGGGUUGAUGGUAUGAAUCAACCUUUUAACCUAAAUUCACUUCAACCAUCUGUAGUGAAGGUAAUUCCGCUGUAAACUUCGUCCACGCUCUUGUUUUCAUCCUCGUCUUUGAUUGGACAUCAUGCGAGCUCUCAUCUCGAAAACCGUUUUAGCUCGAUAAUCCAGUUGGAAUAUCAACUCCUAACUGUUGAUCCUUACUGCAAUCCAGGCAGCCAUUUGUGCUGGAUUGUAUCCAAAUGUUGCAGCAAUGAGCAAAGAUAGUAUUCAAGCAGGGCAUGCCAGCGCCCAAAGUCGACGGGCUGGCCUUUCUCCGGAUCAACGCCCUCAGUGGUCGGAUGGUCGCCGCGAAGUUUUCAUCCAUCCCACAUCCGUUAAUCAUAUGGUUUCGGAAUUUCGUCAACCCUUUUUAGUAUUUCAUGAGAAGGUCAGUGCUCAACUUCCCCAACUUAACACACAAUCACCUAUAUAAUCUCAAGACUUCAGUGGUUCAGAAAAUCGAACUUAAUGAGCUUCGGUUGUCGUUCUUCCAAAUAAGGACAACCCUUCAAGAUUUAACGAUCGAAUUUCUUCGAUUCCAAGCUUGUGCUCGACAAGGGUCUGCCAAAAACAAUUGUUUGAAUGCAUUUGUAAUCAGAUUUUGCUCAUAUCUUUCAUGUAUGAAGACUCUUGAUCGAUUAGGCUAUUGAUUUAUAGGUGGAGACCAGCAAAGUGUAUUUGCGGGAUACGACUGUUAUUUCUCCUUAUGAUCUACUUCUAUUUGGCGGAGAGAUCAGUGUUCAACAUCAGGUUGAAUCUUUUUCAUUUAUUGCGUCUUAUAUCAUUCCCUGUUUCUAGUAGACGUUGACACUGCAGCAUAAGUUAGUUCGUCGAGCCAAGCAUUAUCCUGACCCUCGGAGAUACCUCUAAAUAAUGCAGCAUUCAGAUGUCUCUAUAUAACUCCAGCUUCAAUUCAAUUUUUUCAAAUAUCCAUGGCUGUAAAAUGGAUGCCUUAGUGGAAGAACUAAUGUGUUAAUGUCACAGACUGGACGAGUUACUGUUGAUGGAUGGUUGGAGAUGAACGCCCCUGCACAAACCGCCGUUCUUUUUAAAGAACUCCGUGGUGCUCUAAGUGGAGUUUUGCAAGAGCGGAUUGGGAAGCCAAAGGUGUAUAUAUAUAUAUAUCUAUCUGUCUAUAUAUAUAAAUAAAAAUAAAGAUAAAGUUUGAAAAAGUUUCUGACGUGUUUGGAUCAUAGACUUCAUAUCUGCAAUUAACUCUUGAUUUUUUUCUUGGAACAGGGAAGCAUCUCAGAAGUAGCCAAGGAGCUCAUUCCAUCUAUUACGCAGCUUCUAGUGGACGAAGAGAAACCAGUGUGACCUGUACUUACUGUUGUUUCAACCUUGAUUCGUCAUUGACCAAGAGAUGAAAUGAAACUACGAAACACUGAAAUUUCGUAUGUGGCAGACAGCGUUAGUACCAGGGUUCUUUUCACUUUAUUUUCCUGAACUGUGAUGAUUAUGUGAUUACCUAUUUUGUCUUCAGAACCAAAAAUGGUUAGGUAGUAUAUCAGGAGCACACCAUGCCUUGAUUAUGAAUAACACUGUAUGUGCACGUUAAAAUUAUUGAAUUGGGGCACAGUUUAAUUCCUACAAUUGUAUUUGUGCCUUGAAACAAAUUGGUAAUCUGCACACCUCCAACUCCUACAUGUAGUCUACCGUCAAAUUAACAGCUUGUGGGGGACAGUUCGAGCAUGAAAAGUUGAACUUUUCAGUCAUGAUCAUGCACAGCUUGCGGCCCGUUUGCACGACUUCAAAGCCCAACAUAUCAAGCAGUGUUUUUAACGCAUGCUUCACUUGCCAACUAGAAGCUGGCUAUUUGUGAAUCAGAAAUUAUAGCUGGUAUUCAUUAUGGGCAUUACGUCCAAAAGGCGUUUAUUUACCCUUUUCAGUCAUGAUCAUGCACAACCAUCCGUUCCACAACCAACAUCGAUUUUAACAUCCACCACAGCAGUUGGUUUUAUAAAGUUACAAAUGAUGUCAAACAACAAGCUUGAGGAGCCUGUGUUCGAUCAAAUUUCAUUUACUGCAAUCCAUGACUAUACAUUUACUUAAAUAUGAACCCAAAAAUAGUAUAAAUAAGAUAGAAGUAGAUUUUUGUUCACAUCAAUUAUUGAUAAUUUGGGCUCAACGUAUUAUGGUGUAAACAUAUCAAGGAUAAAAAUUUCAAAAAAUGUUGCAAAACAAAAUAGUAUGGGCACAAUAAAGAAUGGAGAAAAGAAAUCAAAAUAUAGGAAUAUUUUAAAAAUAUAAAAAAGUAUUGAUAAUUGCAAAGAUUGGAAAGUUUUGAAUUAAGAUUGGAAUACAAAGAAGUAAUGAAAAAACCAAGAAUGGCCUUGAUUUUGAUUCUAUACGAUUGCCAACAAAAAAAAAUUUAUAUAAUUUUUUCUAAAUCAGUAUUUUUAUGGAAUCAAUAUCUAAGAUGUAAAAUACAUUUUUUUAGUAGAUUUUCACAUCAAAAAUAAUCCUCAAAAAAUCUUUAUUAGUAUAUAGCAUAUCAAACAACUAUUUAAGAUCCAAUUCAUAUUUAAAAAAAAUUAUAAUAAUUUACAAAAGAGAUAUUAAUAAUCUAAAUUUCUUCUAUUAAUUUAAUUAAUAAAAUUAUUAAUUAUAAUUAUUUCUUUCAAACUUUUGUUUCAUAAAACAUAAAAACAAAAUUCUAAAUUCAUUCACAAGGCAAGGAUUUUCAUAAUGUAUCAAAUAGCAUUUGCACUUAUUUUGAUUUGUAUCCUAUCUAAAGUAGUUGAUAGAUCUAUUUAGUCAUUGAUCAUAUCCAAUACUUAGUAGAAAAGUUUUAAAAUAUUUUAUUCAUAUUUUUACAUUAAAAAUUUAGAAACUUUUUAAAGACAUAAUCCACUUCCAACAAUAUUAAUCAUUGGUCUGCCACGGGUUAAUAAUUAAUAAUUUUAAUUAUUUCUCUCAAGAAGCAGGUAUUUGAGAUUUACAUUCUAUUCCAAUUAUGAUGCUCAGCCUACUUUUGAGAGGAUCUCAUCUUGAGUUGUUGAAUAUAUUUAUCUUUUCAAAUGUAAAUUUGCACACAUUGUAUCUUAUGAUUGCUUUAAGCAAGACUUUUACCUAUUAAAUAAUACGAGGUUGUGUGUUCUUUAUAAUAGUUUUUCAAGAUACAUAGGAUUACUGACAAUUUAUUUUUGGGAGAGAAAUGCUAGAUAAGCCUUACAAGAGAAAACUUAAAAGGUAGGAUAAAGAGAGUAAGAAAACAUGAUGGUAAGAAGAUAGGAAAUAAAGUUAGGAAGGACAUUGAAUCAAUGAUCGUAGAAGAUAUUGAGUGGCUUGUAAGAUUCAAAUGAGCUUUUAAUUUGGAAGAUUCAAAAACUUGAGAUUGUGGAUGAAGAAGGAUAUUAUAUGCCAUCUCGUAAUUUCACUUGUAGAUCAUUAUUUCUAUUAAAAAAAUACCAUCAAACGAUGAAAGAAUCUACCUACAAUGCUCAUCCUUGACAUCAUUAAGGUGAGUUAUUUACUAAUCUUAGGCAACAAUCAACGACAAUUCUUACUAUGGAUAAGCUACUUAUGUAAGAUAUUGUAUUGUUGUUUAAGUAUAUUAGAGAUUUCAUGGUGAAUAAUACUAAUAUUGAGAGUUUCUGAAAAAAUCCAUAGUUUGAAUUGUCCAAAGUUAUCUUUGACUAUGACUCAAUUCACUUUAAGACUACUUCAAGCUUUUGGUAUCAUGACUUUAUAGAGGUUCUCUUGUAUCACCAAUUAGGAUCUUUGAAUCAACCAUUCAACAAGAGUGUAAUCUUGCAUCUAGUCAAUAGAGUAUACUACUAUCACUUAUAUCAAAUUCACACAUCACAAUCCACCUAUGGUGUUGUGUGGUAAUAUGAUUAUAUAGUAAAAAAUAAAAAUAUGAAUGUUAUUAUAAAAGAGCUUAGUAUAAAGAUGUAAAAAAAUAAGGAUAAAUGAUAGAAAGAUAAUAAAAGAUUUAGUCUUAAUGCUGCUUUUUGUAGAAAAAACUUCUAUUUAUUUUGUAGAGGCAUAAAUGAGCCAAAUCAAAAUAAAUGAGAUAAGAAAUUAAUAUAGACAUGUUUAAAAAAAGAUUAAAAAUAGGUUCAAGUAAAACUUAUCUCAAAUCAUCAAAAAUUGAUACCUAGCGAGGACGAGUUAACUUAGAUCAAAAUCAGACCCCGAGGCACAAAGCUAUAUCUAUACGACAAUUCUAAGGUUCUUUUAAAGAUUAAAGAAUAGAAUUUGAUAGCAGACUUGAAGAAAGAUUUUUGGACAAUAGUUUUAUGUCAUUUGAAUCAAUAUUGAGAUUUUAAAGAAUUUUCAAGAUUAGUGAUGUUUUUAGUAGGUUUAGGUUUUAAAAAAUAAAAAUAUAUUUAUAAAUUUGAAGGUUUCUUGAAUUUUGUAGCAUUUGUAUAGGUGAAAUUUUUGCAACUUGUUGGUGUACUUGUUGUAAAUGUAUAUGCAAAAUUUGAAGUCAAUUGAACAAUUAGAUUGAAGCAUAUUAGGAUUUUACUGGGUUGAAGUCUCAAAAAUUGAAUGUUUAUAAGAUAUUCAAUAAUUUACAAAUUGGAUUAGAAUAAAAUUAUUUAUGUAGAUAAUAGACUUGUUUUUCAACAUUUUUAUAAAAUUUGAAAGUAAUUUAAUAGUUUAAGAAGGAGAUAUUAGCACUGGAAGUUCAACAUUAAGGUUGGAAUAGGAAGUCCUUCAAUUUCUAAUUGGAUUAUUUUACAUUUCUCUUAAUUGAUAAAUGCAAUCAAUUUCAUCUUUCUUGUGCUUAUUUUUAACUAAAUUAUUAAGAAGUAUCCAAAAUUUGAAUUGAUUUCGAUGAUUCAAUCAUUAGUUAUUGAGGUUUUAAUUUGCUGUAGGAUUUAUUAAGAAUUUGUUUAAGAUUUAGAAUUUGAUUAGGAUUUGAUUUAGGAUUAAUUUAAGAUUUAGAGUUUCAUUAGGAUUUCAAUUAGGAUUUGAUCAAAGAUUUGAUUAAGAUUUAAUUAGGAUUUCAAUUAGGAUUUUAUCUAGAAUUUGAUUAAGAUUCAUUAAGAUUUUAGUUAGAAUUAAAUUAAAAUUUAAUUAGAAUUUAUUUAGUAUUUUAAUUAAGAUUAAAUUAAGGUUUUAUUAGAAUUUAUUUAAGAUUUAUAUAUUUUUUUAUUUCUUUAGGAUCCUCUAUUAUUUCUUUAAAAUUUUCUAUUUCUAAUAUUUUUUUGAGAUUAUUGUUAUUUCUUUAAAUAUUUAUUUUGUAUUUCUUUGAGAUUCUUGUUUUCUUUUUUGAAAUUAGUUUAGGACUUCUUUGUGUAUUUUUAUAAAUUCUUUUAAAUUUAUUUUGAAUUAAUCAAAGUUUGAUUAGGAUUAUUAAGGUUUAUUUAAAGUUUAUUUAAGAUUCUAUUAAACUUAGUAGGAUUAUUAUUGGAUUUCUACCUACCUUCUAUAACUAAAUGCUCAGUGCAUCUUCAAGCAAGAAAAUUUAUGUAAUACGACAUCAGUGGUGAACUUGACGUGAAUGCUUAAGGUAGGAGGCAUUAGAGUUUGUUUAUUUUUUUUAUUUUUAUUUAAUAGAUAAUAAGAGUAAGAAUUGUGAAGGAGCUAUGGAAGGAACUUCGAGUGGAGUUGUAGAGUUUCUAUUAAAAGAUAAGAUAUGUUUAUGGAUCCAAUCAUUGCAAGCAUGUUCUAAGUUUUUAUAUUGUCAAUGCAACAAUAGCAAAGAAAUGAUUGCAUGAAAGCUUUGGCAAUCAAAGCAUUGCAAGCAGUGGUUAAGAAAGUUGACUAAUUUGAUGGAAGAAAUACCUCAAAGUAUCUUAGAUCUUAUAUAGGAGAAAUGGAAUUAAAUUGAGUUUUUGAAAAGAAGAUGAUUGAACUAUUUGGACUUGUUAUGAUAUUUGAAAUAUGAAAAUAUAUUAUAUCAAUUAUGAAGUAUUAUUGGAGUUCAUGGCAGAUAUUUUCACAUAUAUUAAAAGAUGAAUAUUUUUUAGAGAACAUUAAUUAUGUUAUUAAGAAAUUAUUUUUAAAAUGGAUUGAACGGCCUAACAAGAAUUUACAAGAAAAAAAGUUAUUAAGGGAGUUUUAAAGGAAAUAUUUUCAAUUAUUGAAGGUGGAAGGAUUUACAUUGGAACUAAAAAGAUUGAAUUAUUUCUUUAAGCAACUAAUAGAAAUUUACAAGAAAAAUUUGAGUUGCUUCUUGAAGACAAAAAUAAAAUAUGAAGGAUAGAUAACAAAGUGAAAAAAUAUUGAAGAUGCCAUAGAUUUACUUGCAAAAAAAGAAAAGAGAAAGGACAAGGUUAAUAUUCAAAGAGUAGUAUAUGCAUCUAAAACUCAAGUGUAUACAACAUGAUAAACUGUCAAGGACAUGAACUGGAAGAAGAUGCAUAAAUCCAAGAAAUUUAUAUCAAAAGAAAAGUGAAAAAUAGAAAUAAAGUAAUAUAUAUAUUAAAAAGAAAUUGGAAUGGCUAUUGCCAAAAAACAAGGAAACUAAAGAUUCUUGAAUCUAGACUAAAAGCAAGAAAGGAGUUGACAAGAGUAAAGAAGGCUUUAGUCUUACCUCUAUAUAUACUAUCUACUUAGGAUCUAUGUGGGGACGUUCUAUAUAACCUCCAAAAAUGUGUUGACUUUCCAUAAUAUGUAUCUUGACUUGUAAGGUAAGUUUUCUACAUGGCGGCCACAUAAUUAGCUUAUUUUAUAAGCUACCAAUAUAUGUGGGACAUGAGUACCUUGUUGACUAAGGUUCUAAGCUAUCAAUGAACUAUAAAUAUAUGUAAAAUCAAAAAAAUGUCUAAGAAGCUUCUAUGAGGCUUUUCUAGAGGGUAUUAUGAAAUUAAUCUACUUUUAUUUAAUUCUACCUACCUAUAUAAAUAAGUAGGUAUAUAUCCAUGACAUUACUUCACUCUAUGAAUGAGUUCUAUGAAGAGCGGUGAUUAUAUAUUUCUAUAUAAUUGUAGUAUUAAUUAUAUAGAAACUACAAUUAAAGAUAGAAGAUAGAAUGCAAUCUUUCUUAAAUUGAGUUUCAUUUAUAACAAAGGUUUGUUAUCCUUCAUCUUGAUUUUAAUGGAUGUCAUUGAUGAAAGGCCUCUAUUGUCUUUAUUGGCUCCUAUGUGUCUUCACUAAUAUCAUAUCCAUACCAAUGGACAAGAUAUUCUAAUUUAUUUCAGUACUGCCUUGAGUCCCGAACUUCUUCUACUUCAAACACUUCAUUAUUUUGUACAUCUAUUGUAGGAGUUGGAACUUGUCUUCUUCUUAGUAUGUUCAUAGUCUUAUAUGGUUCAAGAAGAGAUAUGUGGAAGAUAUGAUAGAUCUUCAUUGAUUCCAGUAGAUAUAAUUGAUAAGCAACUAGAUUGAUUUGUUCACAAAUAAAAAAAGGUCCAAACUUGUAGUAGUCCAACUUAUCACAAAGACAAGUAGUUUUGAUAUUACAACAAAGUAAUCAUACCUUGUCACCUACAUUGAAUUGUGGUUGUUACUUUCAAUAUUCAUCUACUGUCAUGAUGUAAAUAAAUUCAUGUAUGGAAUCUUGCUUGAAUAACUUUUCUUUGAACUUUUAUUAAGUUCUUUUUUCUUCUUAUCAAUCUAGUUUUUUUUUUGAAAUUUUGGCUAAAUUUUAUUUUAUCUUUAAUUUUAACUUUAUUUUUGUUUUAGCCUUAAAAACUUCUUUUAUUCCUUUUACUUUCUUUUUAAUCUUUGAUUUUAAUAGAUUCAAAGUUACCUUUGUGGAUGUAAGAAGAACUUUAACUUUGAGGUUGUAUUUAGGUUUUUAUUAAGAAUAAAUGGGAGUUUCGUUAGUAUUAGUCAAUUGCCAUUAAUAGUAAUGACUUGGAAGAUUAGAUUUAGUAUUUGUUUAACUUUAAAUUAUUAGUUUUUGACUUGGACUUUAAAGACCGUGGCUGUGGCUUCUUUAGCAAGUUUGGAAGCAAAGAAGAGGGAUUUUUUUGCAAGUUGAAAAAAAAUAUUCAAAAAGAAGAGCUUCUUAAUAUGGAUUUAGGUCGAAAAAAAACAUGAAUUGGAACUCAAAUGAUAGAAAUAUGCUUGUUUUAAUCUUAGGCUACUAAUUUAAUACCUAUUGUCACUUUUCUAUACAUAUUAAGAGUUUUAAGAUACUAGCAAGAAAUCAAGGAAUUGAAUAAAAAACUAGACUUUAAUUUGAAUAUUUUAUGUCUGAAUAUUGAUAGAAUUGAGUCUAAUAUAAGUGAAAUAUGGGUAGUUAAAACUAACAAAUUAAAACUAGGAUUUUGAAGAAAUUAGAGAAAUAGAGGGUUUUGGUUUUAAGCUAGAACUUGAGCUUCAUGACGAAUUUGAAGUUUUUUUUUUUUUUUUUUUUUUUUUUUUUUUUUUUUUUUUUUUGUAUAUGUCACUUAUGAUAUAAAGAGCCUAUGUCUAAAAUCUCAUGUCAAUUGAGACUCUGACUUGGAAGAAAUGGCGAAAUUUAUUCUUAGGUAUCUAGGAUUUUGGCUUUUAAAAUUACAUGAUAAGAAUUUGAUAAUAUCAGUCAAUUGGCAAUGAAUUUUCAGCUGAUUUUUUUUUAAUGAUGAUCAAAGGUAUAAGUUCUAUAUUGCCAAAUUUUAAGCUUAUUUGAAUAACUGAAUCUUGAGAUAUGAAUUUUCAAACUUCAAGUUUGUUGGUUUAUUACAAACAUAGUUUUGUAAAUAUUGGAAGGAAAAUUUCAAAAGGUUUUGUGCAUAUUGGAUCCAACUUAAAUGCAAAGAAAGACCAUACAUCUAUUCAAAGCAGACUCUUGCUACAACACAUUUGGUGCUUCCAUUGAGAAUUUCUUUAAGAGCAAUCAAGUAGGUUAGGAACUAUAGAAGAUACAAAUUUAGGAACAAAUUUAGGAAAAGGACCAGAAAUGGUUGGAGCCAUGGAUCUUUUGAAGGCAUUCACCAUAUUGGUGCAACAAUAAUAAACCCAUUUGGAUGGACAUGGAGCUAUAAAGGCACAUCAAGAAAUCAUUGACAAGGUAAGUUGGUUUGAUGGCAGAGAUGUCACCAAAUUUCUUAAAGCCUAUGUUUGUGAAAUGAAGACCAUCAAGUUCCAUAGGUGUUAGGGACAUAGUCCUUAGACCUUUCUAGAGACAAGUUUCUAGAACCUUCUAGAAAGAAGUCGCUAGAAACUUCUAGAAGAUUCUUUAAAUAUUCUCUUAGAAUAUUCUUCAAAGAUUCUCUAAAGAUUCUUUGAAGAUUCCUUAAAGAUUCCCUUAGAACGCUCUAGAAGAUUCUUAGAAUAUUCUAAUAGAUUCUAAGAAGUUACUUGAGAAGCUUCCUAGCUCUUGGGUAGUUGCUCGAGAAGCUUCAUAGUUCUUGGGAAGCUUCUUGAUGAGCUUCUUUAGAACCGUAGGCCAAUAGUAUAUAUAGGAGUCGAGGCUGAAGAGUUCUUCAGUCUCGACAAUACAUCUCUUGAAGCUCUAGCUCAAUUCUCUUGGCGUUGCUCUUGUACUCAUCUGAUAAUCUAGUACUUGUCAUUUCUUCUUCAACUUCUUGUUUAGAUUUCUUGUUUGUAUUUUUGGUCCGUGACAGUUUGUCGAGACUACCUAUAUCUUAAUAUCUGAGCUGAAUCCUUCUUGUUUGAGAGCGGAUUAUGCCUCUUCUUGAAGGUAUUCUAGCGCUUUAGGGGUUGAGGAUUACCUUCCUCUGAACUGAUAUUUUCUCAAUCACAAUAUCAGAGCUUAGUUCUUUGAGGCAGAGAGUGGACUACCCCUUUCCUCGGAGAUACUUGAGCAUUCUAAGGGUUGCGGAUUACCCUCUCUUGGACUGAUAUUAAUUCCUUCUUUUUGUUUAGCAUAGCUAGUAAAAAAGACCGUUAACAUCGAUUUUAGAGCUUUGCCUUCUUGAUAGAGUGCGGAUUACCGCUCUUCUCGAAAGCAUUGAGGCAUUUUUAGAGGUUGCGGAUUACCCUCCUCUAAAACUUAAAUCGUUUAGUAUUUUUUUUUUUUUCUUUUCUCCGAGUAGGUUUUAGUGACAGGUAGUGCUACAAUUUUCUCCAAGAGACUUAGCAAUUUCUUCUUCUCUCAAAAUUUUAAUCCAUCUAUUCUCUAAAUAUGGAAGUAGACUAGGUCAUAGACAGUGCAUCUCCACAAGUAGACAAUAGAGUGGCAACUCUUGCAGAUCUUCAAGCUCUUAUGAAUAGUGUACGAAAGGAGAUUGCAUUUCUUCGCAAUCCAAGUAAAGAACCUCAAAUUGAUCUAGUGACCGAAGAAGCUAGACGCGAAAUUCAUAGCCUACAACAAGAGAUUAUUCGAUUGAGAGAAGCAAGACAUGUGUCACAUACGACCCCUAUGGAUACUUCAAGGAUUAGUACGAAAGAACCAAAAGCGAGUAUGUCAGACAAGUUUGACGGAACAAGAGCCAACUUCCGAGGUUUUGUGCAACAAGUACGGCUUUACCUACGCCUAUAUCCUUCUCGUUAUCCGAAUGGAUUUACCCAGGUUGCUUUCAUAGGUACUCUUCUAUCAGGAAAUGCUCGCUCUUGGUUUGCUCCACUAUUGGAGAAGGAUUCUCCAAUAUUGUACGACCUAGAGGCUUUCAUAGAGAGACUUACUGCUGCGUUUGGAGAUAGCGAUCGAGAAAGAGUGGCUGAAAGAAAGAUACAAAAUCUGCGACAAGGAUCACGUUUUGCUGCAAUCUAUGCUGCAGAAUUUCAACAGCUUACAUGUGAUCUUGAUUGGAAUGAUAAGGCGUUCAUGACACGAUUUCGAUAUGGACUGAGAGAUGAUGUCAAGAACUUAUUGAUCACCAUGCCUAAGGCGGAUACUUUAGAAGAACUUAUAUCUCAGGCAAUUAUUUGUGACAACCGCCUCUUUGAAUUACGACUUGAAAGACGAUCAAGCUGGAGAAAUGAUGGAGCAUUUGCUACAUUUUCAAAAGGUCCAGAGAAUCACUCCACAGAUCCUGAACCCAUGCAAAUUGAUGCAAUACGUUUCAAACCCCUCACAAUUGAGGAAAAGAAGCGACGGUUUGAACAAAACUUGUGUUUAUAUUGCGGAGAAGCGGGCCAUAAAGCUGUAGAUUGUCGGAAGAAACAGAAGCCUCAAACAACAAGACUCAAGACUACAAGCAUGCAGGAAAACAAGGACGCCCAGCCACAAUAGGGACCGUGCGGCUGGACAUCUCAACAUCCAAAAAUAAUCAAGGUCCCUUUCUCUCAGCUCAACCUUCAGAUUGUUUUAUGGUACCUUUACAUCUGGGUAUUCAAGAACUACAAGUUGAUGCUUUAUUAGACUCGGGUGCAUCCGCUUGCUUUAUAGAUGAAGAGUUUGCCAAGCUUCACAAUAUUUCUCUUGUAAAGAAACUUAAGCCUGUCCAUGUAGAAGUCAUAGACGGACGACCAUUGUCUUCGGGCAAUGUUAUCCAUGAAACUAAACCAUUGAAGGUACGUCUUGAAAACCAUGAGAGCAAUAUUGUGUUUAAUGUUAUCAAGACUCCUUCAUGUCCUAUCAUUUUGGGACUAUCUUGGCUUGAUAGAUAUAAUCCAUUGAUAGAUUGGAAGUUGCGGAAAGUGACAUUUCCAUCAAACUCCUUGAAGGUGGAAUCUGCCAAGACAAUGUCUAGAAACAAAUUCUUGUUUAUAGGUGCAAGGGCUUUCAUGAAGGAAGCCAAGCAAAAUACACCUCUUGUCAUCUUUGCAACUCCGACUCGAGAAGAUGCAACUCCGACUUUGGUUAUUCCAAAGCAGUAUGAAGAAUUCAAAGAUGUCUUUGAAAAGAAGAAUGCUGAUAUGCUACCAGAGCAUUGACCCUGUGACUGUGCCAUUGAAUUGCAAGAAGGAGCACAACCACCUUUUGGACCAAUCUAUAAUUUGUCGCAGAUGGAGUUGACUAAGUUGCGGAAGUACAUUGACAAGAAUCUAGCCAAGAACUUCAUCCGUCAUUCGAAGUCGCCAGCUGGGGCACCAAUCUUAUUUGUGAAGAAAAAGGAUGGCUCACUACGGAUGUGCGUGGACUAUCGAGGUCUCAACAAGGUGACAAAAAAGAAUCGCUACCCACUGCCUUUGAUCUCUGGUCUUCUAGAACAACUUGGGCGUGCAAGGAUCUUUACAAAGAUUGACCUAAGGGGAGCUUACAACCUUGUGCGAAUUAAGGAAGGAGAUGAAUGGAAGACAGCGUUCCGAACAAGGUAUGGCCAUUUUGAAUACAAUGUCAUGCCAUUUGGUCUUACUAAUGCUCCAGCGGUCUUUCAACAUAUGAUGAAUGACAUCUUUCGAGAGCAUCUAGACGAUUUUGUUGUCAUCUAUCUAGAUGAUAUUUUGAUAUUUUCUAAGAACGAGGAAGAACAUGAGAAGCACGUUCGUCUGGUACUCAGAAAACUAUGGGAGCGAGGACUCUAUGCCAAAUUGGAGAAGUGCUUAUUUCACCAAACUGAGAUGGAGUUUUUGGGAUUCAUCGCGACUACGGAAGGCUUGAAGAUGGAUCCAAAGAAGGUGAAAGCAAUCAUGUCUUGGGAAGUUCCGAAGACGGUUAGGGACGUACAAUGUUUUCUUAGAUUUGCUAACUACUAUCGGAUCUUCAUGAAGAAUUAUUCUCAAGUUGCUGCCCCCCUCACUCGGUUAACGUGUAAGGACAAGCUCGAAUGGGGACCUAUCGCAGAAAAAGCAUUUCAAGAUUUGAAGAUGGUAUUUACUACAGCUCCAAUCUUGGUACAUCCGGACUUUACAAAGGCCUUUUAUUUGGAGACAGAUGCUUCGGAUUUUGCUUUGGGAGCUGUACUUUCAUAGAUGGGCGUAGAUGAGAAGCUCCAUCCAGUUGCGUUCUAUUCUCAAAAAUUCUCUACUGCUGAGAUCAACUAUGAGAUCCACGAUAAAGAACUCCUUGCUAUAGUAGAUUCUUUCCAAGAGUGGCGUCACUUUCUCGAAGGAACUGCACAUCCAGUGACCGUAUAUACGGAUCACAAGAAUUUGGAGUAUUUUAUGUCGGCUCGGGUUUUGAAUCGGCGUCAAGCUCGGUAGAGUAUGUCGCUAUCCAAGUUCGACUUUGUUAUUACUUAUCGGCCUGGGAAGCAACAAGGGUUGUCUGAUGCAUUAUCAAGGAGAUCAUAUCUCGCGCUAAAGGCUGGAGAUGCAGCAUUUGAUCAACAGUGCACGACAUUGUUGAAGCCACAGAAAUUUCGGCUCAACGCAGCUAUUGUACCAAUUGAUGCUGACUUCCUCGACCAGGUACGGGCCGCAACCAUUGAAGAUUCUCUAGCCCUUGAUAUCAAGCAACAUGCUAGUGAUGAUAAAUUCAAGAUGGAAGGAGAUCUAGUAUAUUUCGAAGAGCGGUUGUAUAUCCCAAAAGGGCCAACACGACUCCGAGUUCUUCAAUCUCGUCAUGACUUUCCAGCUGCGAGACAUUUUGGAUUCAAUAAGACCUUGGAACUUAUUUCCCGCGAUUUUUGGUGGCCUCAAAUGUGGAAGGAUGUGAAAGAUUUUGUUGUAUCUUGUGACAUUUGUUCAAGAUCCAAAAACCCUCGACAUCAGCCUUAUGGACUUCUACAGCCAUUGCCUAUUCCACGCCGACCAUGGUCUUUGGUUUCCAUGGACUUUAUUACGGAUCUACCACUAUCGAAUUCAUUUGACAGCAUUUUUAUUGUCGUAGAUUGGUUUACAAAGAUGGCACAUUUUGUCCCUUGCAAGAAGACAUCGUCAAGCGAAGACACAGCAAGACUCUUUCUUGAUAAUGUGUAUCGAUAUCAUGGUCUACCAGAUGAUAUCGUAUCGGAUCGAGGAACCCAGUUUGUGUCAAAGUUUUGGAAAUCUCUUUUUGAAAUAUUGAAGGUGGAUAUCAAGCUUUCUUCGGCAUUUCAUCCUCAAACGGACGGCCAAACAGAACGGGUGAAUCAAGUUUUAGAGCAAUAUUUACGUUGCACCAUCAACUAUCAACAAGAUGAUUGGGUCGCAUAUCUACCGCUAGCCGAGUUCUCAUAUAACAACACCCUUCAUGCGUCAACUCAACAAACGCCAUUCUUUUCCAAUUAUGGAUACCAUCCGAAACUUGACUUAUGGAGUUCGUCAACGAUUAACAAUCCGGCAGCUGAAGGAUUGGUGAAGGAGCUUUUGCAGCUUCAAACUACAUUGAAGCUUCAAUUACAAACUGCCCAAGAAUCUUACAAGGCGUCCGCGGACAAAUUUCAGAAUCAGGCACCUAAAUUCAUGAUUGGAGACAAAGUUUGGCUGAUUCGACGAAAUAUUAAGACCAAGCGGCCAUGUGACAAAUUGGACUAUCGGAGAUUGGGACCAUUUGUUAUCCAGAAGCAGAUCAAUCCUGUAGCGUAUCGUUUGGAGUUACCAGCUACUAUGAAGGUACAUCCUGUCUUUCAUAUUUCUUUGUUGGAGCCUUAUCGAGAAUCGUCUUUUCCUAGAAGAGUACAAUGUCCACCACCUAGCAUAGAAAUAGAGAACCACGAAGAAUACGAGGUAGAAAAGGUCCUGGAUUCACAGCAAAGACGGGGUAAAUUAGAAUACUUUGUGCAUUGGAGCGAUUACGAUGUUAAUGAACAAACAUGGGAGCCGGCCGAAAAUCUCGCGAAUGCGCCGCAAAAGGUACAGGAGUUUCAUCGACGAUAUCCUGAGAAACCCAAGCCGGUUCGACGAUAGCUUCUUACUGAAGCUUGCUCAUCCAGAAAACAGAAAAGAGGAGAGAGCACCACCAAAAUCCAUAGUUGAUGUAGUCAUUCUCUCCAAGAUAGCGUAGAACUUUGUUAGUAGCCCAAGUUUGUUCUUAUUAUUUUAGCCUUUGAAUAUGGAUAGCCAAGAUACUACACUUGUCAUGUCAUCUUAAACAACUAGCUCACGAAGACGAGAGCGAGAUGAAGAACCGCUUGCACCACGACGACGUCGAAGGAUUCCGAGCAACAGAUCGCUGGUGAUUGUAUUUGAGGUCGAGCCUGCCUACAAUGGUCAGCCAGAAGGAGUGUUUGCAGGACAAUUUCACAAUGAAGACACGGAGGUUCAUGCUUGGUCAGAAGUUGAAGGCGUGGGCCACUACCGUUGGCUUCAAGGACCAUUGAAUCACUUGCCUCGUGAACAACAUUUGGAGUUCAUAGCAGAGGUUAUGCGACAGAUCUUCAUUUUCUUACGUUGGUAUUGAUUGACGAUAACAUUACUUCUCGGAGACCUCAAAGCUAAAGGAGGAGGUGAUGUUAGGGACAUAGUCCUUAGACCUUUCUAGAGACAAGUUUCUAGAACCUUCUAGAAAGAAGUCUCUAGAAACUUCCAGAAGAUUCUUUGAAUAUUCUCUUAGAAUAUUCAUUAAAGAUUCCCUAAAGAUUCUUUGAAGAUUCCUUAAAGAUUCCCUUAGAAUGCUCUAGAAGAUUCUUAGAAUAUUCUAGUAGAUUCUAAGAAGUUACUUGAGAAGCUUCCUAGCUCUUGGGUAGUUGCUCGAGAAGCUUCAUAGUUCUUGGGAAGCUUCUUGAUGCGCUUCCUUAGAACCAUAGGCCAGUAGUAUAUAUAGGAGUCGAGGCUGAAGAGUUCUUCAGUCUCGACAAUACAUCUCUUGAAGCUCUAGCUCAAUUCUCUUGGCGUUGCUCUUGUACUCAUCUGAUAAUCUAGUUCUUGUCAUUUCUUCUUGAACUUCUUGUUUAGAUUUCUUGUUUGUAUUUUUGGUCCGUGACACUCUUUUAGGUAAUCUUGAACCAAUGCUCUCAUUCCUCCCUUGCCAAAAUUGGUUUGAAGAAGAUCCUCUCUAUUUUUCAAUGCUAUCUUCCCAUCUUUCCAGCAAAUAAUUCCCUGCCGUAUCAUAUUAUUAAAUUCAUUGCAAUCUUUUCUAGUGUGUGAAGCAUUAUUACACCAAAUGCAUCUUUGUACAUAUCCUUGUUUUGAAACAUUCUUUGAAUUAUUUAUAGAAGUAUUCUCUUCAAGUCUUGCCAAUUUGAUUUGAAGAUCUUGCAUUCCUCGUAUAAUUUCUUCCAUCUCCAUAUCUGCUUUCUUUGACAAGGAUGUCGAAGGUUGAACUAUAGGCAUUGUUGGUGGUGUUGUACGUACUGGAGCUUUGGGUGCUUGUACUGUUUUCGGAAUAUUGCUCCUAUCCUUCCUCCUUUCUUUUUUUGUAAGCAACCCCACCGCAUCUUCAACGUUCUUCCACUUCAUUGUCAAUCCUUCAUCUUCUUCUUUGUCUUCAAGAAGGGAUUCUAUUUUCUCUUGCAAUUCUCCAUCAGCAGCUUGAAGAAAUAGAUCAACUUUGUUCGGCUCCAAUGUCAAUUUUUCUACCUUCGAUAAUUGAGAGUACUGCCUCUCAAAUUCCCUUAGUAGCUCUAUUGCUUGCAAAUUCUUAUUGGGCCGUUCAAUCCAUCCCAGAAACAGCUUCUUAGUAACGCGAUCAGCAUCUUCCAAGAAAUAUUCGUCUUUCAAUGCAUGUGAAAAAUCCUCCCAUGAAUUGCCAUAACGAUCCGUAAUCGAUGUAAUGUGGUCCCUUAUCUCCGGUAUCGUGGCAAGUCCAAAUAGUGCAACCAUUUUCUUCUCAGAAAUCCGAUUUAAUUCCAUUUCACGAACAUAACAUCUUAAAUACCUUGAAAUAUUCCUCCCAUCAAAUUGAUCAAUUUUAUUGACCACUGCUUGCAAUGCUUUGGUUGCCAAAGCUUCCUUUCGAUCAUUGCUUUGCUGUUGCUGCAUUGACAAUGAGAAGGCUUGAAACAUACUAGCAAUAGAUGGAUCCAUGUGC